rnacentral:lncRNA from 1 species
GGAACUAAGUUCUAUAUGGGCCCUUCUUGCUGCAUUUGAGGACCUCCUCCCACUAGGCAGUGCAUCAACUUUGAAGGUGCCUUUGCUACAGGUGUUGACUGUCUGUCUCAUGGAUGGCAAAUAACUCAGCAAAACUUUUGAGUUCUCAGAGUGAUGCUCCUCACUGUUGGACUUCUUCAACGCUGCAGCUUUAUGGAAAACGAAACAAGAUUCCACAAGUCAGUUCAUAAUAAAUGUGUGUCUUGUUUAAAGUACUUGCUUAACCUGUUACAUCAUCAUUAUAUGCUAGCAUUGGCACACUUUGGUGCUGUGUAGAUACAUAUAUGUUGCAAUUUAGGCUUUCUGCAAGAUUUUUUAUGAUUGUUUUGAUCAUUUAUUAGGAAAUUAUCCCAACUGCAACAGCAGAGAAGGUGAAAACGGGUAUGCUCGAGGGUGUUGAGGCUGCACUUGGCCUACCAAAAAGUUCACUUCAGAAGCCUGUUUAUACUUGAGUCCAAUUAUGGUAAGACUCCACUUUUAAGGACAUGACCUUGUAAUUUCAUUUUUAUCUUGUCCAUUUGGAUCCUUGUGACCUACUUGGGCUGUAACUAUUUGCUGUUGGUGUUGCUUUAGAAUGAGUGGUUUAUUUGGACAAACUUAACAAGUUUUUGUGAGGACUUGUUUAUAGUCCUAGUUCUAUUUUCCUGUUAUGCUCAUUUGAAAAACAAGAUGGAACAUGUCAUUCCAAUUUAUUAAAUAUAUAAAACAACUUGAGAAUUUCAUAGUUAAGAAAAUAGUUCCUCUGUGAUGAAUUUGGUAUUUAUCUUUUUUUUUUGGUUUUUUUUGGGGGGGGGGGGGGGGGGGGGGGAAUGUAGGCGUGCAGCUAGUCCAACUAAUACUCCAAGUGUUCCAUGUAUCCUUUGAUCCUCAAGGAAGGGCCAGUAUAUGUGGCGGUUGGCUGUUGGCUUCAAGUGUAGAGUCAGCUGCCUUAGGUGGCAUGGCUCUUGCCAAUCAUGUAAGCAAGAAUAUGAUUUUCUUUUGCUUAUUGGUUUUAUUUUGUGCAUAUAACUGUAUAUUUCAUGAUUGACAUAAAGUAAAUAAAUAAAUAAAUCUAACGCAACCUUUUUGUCCCUCUAUGGACAUCUAAAUAUAAAUUUGUGGAUUGGCUUCAAUCAGAUUGAAAUAUCAGACAAGUUUAACAACGUAAGCUUGAAGCUUUGAUUAUUCUUAUAUAAAUAAUGUAAUUGGUCUACGUAGAUUGCAGACAAUUUAGGAAGUGGUGGAGUUCAUCCUGAGGAACUUGCUGUCGGUUUAUACAAUGAGUUUCAGCCACUUGAAGGACAUGAUAUUGGACAAUUUCCGGGUUUUGGAGUCCACGGGAAAAGAGGAAGUUCAAGCAUAUCAACUUACUUCUUGAAUCCCUAAGCAGGCCACAAAAAUUUCUAGUGUUUGUCAAGGUAUGCUUCUAUUGAUACACUGUCUGUGGCUUUCUGUUUUUCACUUGGGUUACUGUGAUGUUUAUUCUCUUGUUUUUAUAGCUAGGAUUAAGAAGUUUGUUCACUAGGUGCUGUUGUCCUCAUAGUUGCUAAGCAAGUAUCCUGAAGUUCUUUUUGUGUACCAUCCAUUACGAAACAUAAUGAGUGCAGAUUCAGAGUAAAGGGGACUCUUCGGGCAGCUACAUCUUUACUGAAAACUUCUUUUCAGUAGCAUAGAUGACAGGAAUCUUGGUAUUUCCCGGGCUUUCAUGGAAUAAAAAUUUCUAAUAACCGAAACUCUUUUCAGUUCUCCACAAAUCAAAUUUGAAUAUGAAGCCAAAUAUCAGAUGCAGAUUUACGGGCUUCGUUCAGAGCGACAAAGUUCAAUGGUAUCAGUUGUAUGGGUUCAAGUGAUCAGAGCUUCAUCCAGCUCAAGUACACAUAACAGAGUAUGAAAAAUAUCCAAACUUACUGUUAAAAGUUCUCAAGUUCCAGAUUUGACCCGUAGUCACAUUCAAGUUUAUACAUGACUUCUGAUAUACGAAAUGGCAAUAUUAUUCAGUUCCAGAAAAGUUACAUGCAGAGGAUCUGAGUUUUAUUUUAAUUGAAUGGGUUCAAGCUGCAAUAUAUUAUAUAUAUAUUUUAUAAUUAAUGGAGUUUGCAUUCCUCAUUACAGGAUAAAAAAGAAAGAUUAAUUCUCAGUUGGAAAAGCAUUGAAACAAGCUUCUCAUGCUCAUAAUCAGCUUCCCAGUUGCUCGCCACGGUAUCUUUUCCAUAUACACGUGUUGAUAAAAUUAUUUCUUGGUUAUAUAACCUGGAUAAAUAGCUGUUCGUUGGCAACACAAGCAACAAAAUUACACAAAUUAAUUCCAACAAAAAUAAUAUUUUUACACGAGAUAUUUGGUUGAGAGAAGAGGGUUAAUUAGAUGUUUGCUAUUGAGAUCACAAGUUUGAAAUGAGCACAGGCAAUUGAACAAGCUGUUACACAGACCAUCCAGCUGAAGAAAUCGACGACUCUUCGGCAUUCGUAUGCAAGCUUGAAAACCACUGUCCUUCUGCUAAAUUAACUUGAUAGCUAGCAACCAAGACAAGGAGGGGAACCCGGCACAUUUGCAGUUUCUAGUUUUUCAUGCUUGCCAUCUUUUCUUUUGAUUGAAAUGAGUUGAGAUUUAUUAAAGGCUUUAUCUUAGUAUGCAAAUAAUGGUUUGAAAACAGAUUAUAUGUUAUUACAAGUUAAUUUUUCUGAUAACAAUUGUUUGAAUAAGAUUCUUGUUGUAGUAUAAUUAUUAAACAUGAUCUUAUAAUUAAUGAUUCAUACAUUAAGUAAAAUAGAAACCAGGAUUUGAAAACUACCAUGUUAGUAAAAUCACUUGGAAGCAAAAGCUUAGAAUUAUCAGAUGGUGUGAAAACGGGGAAGUUCUAUGAAGAGAGAUGAUAUUUUCUGAAGUUCAACUGAAAUGAUUGCAAGAUUUAAUCCAACAAUGCAAGAAUAUAUUUGACAUAUUAAAACUUAUGAAAAAUUCUUUAUCAUUUUCUUGGAGGUAAUCAAAGUAUUUUUCAAUUAUACUUUAUUGUACUCCAAAUGUAAGACGAAAAAGAAAUCUGUGGUUAUUUCCAGAAUGGCAGAAUAUACUAUUUUGAAUAAAAGUAUAUCAUUAGAACAAGAAGGAGAACUCCAUUUAACCCCACGGUUAGUGUCUUUNNNNNNNNNNNNNNNNNNNNNNNNNNNNNNNNNNNNNNNNNNNNNNNNNNNNNNNNNNNNNNNNNNNNNNNNNNNNNNNNNNNNNNNNNNNNNNNNNNNNCUUUGAGAGCUACCUGAUAGAGUGCUCCAUUCUUGACCGAGUACAGGCCUUCGUCGUCAUGCCACAGAAUCUGAUCUUCUUUGAGGAAAUGAAUGCUUUGAUGGAAGAAUAACUUGAGCAAGAAAAAGGCCAACACGGAAGAGAGAUGAAGAAAAUCUCCAAUUAUGCAAAUAUGUUCUGAUUGGCCUGUAAGAUAACUAACCAAACUAAUCACUACUUUCAAUCUCAAUCAAAUUCCAAAAACAAUCUAUUUUCUAUUCAAACUCAGGUGGUGAUCGGCUAAAUAAAGUUGCUUGAAAACUACUCGAACAAAGCUCUGGGGAUAUAGUACAUUGUUUGUUAAAAUUGAAUAUGUAGACAGAAAUAUAAAAGCAUCAUUGUUUGUUGAAAUUGAAUAUGUAGACAGAAAUAUAAAAGCAUCAUUGUUUGUUGAAAUUGAAUAUGUAGACAGAAAUAUAAAAGCAUCUUGUUGAAAUUUGUUCGAGAUGUAGUGAUUGAUUUGGUAUAACAUAUGUAUCCAUGACCAGGAUGAAGCUUGGUCGAAAUUAAGAAGGUUAGAAUAAUAUGAGCUGACUUUCAAUCUAUGCCAUUGAUUCAAUGACUUUAGAUAUGUCCACAACUCGUCUUGCUGAUAAUGUCCUAUCUGUGACUUGUAAAAUUUCUCUUAUGAGUAUUACAUAAGCUGUUAUGAAAGAGCCUUUGUUAGAGGAGUUGAUUCUGCCUCAUGGAUGGCAAAUAACUCAGCGACGCUUUUGAGUCCUCAAAGUGAUGGUUCUCAUUGUUGGACCUUCUUCAGCACUGCAGCUUACGGGACAGGAAACAAGGUUCCACAGGUCAGUUUGUUUGUAAAUGUGUGUCUUGUUUAAAUACUUAUGAUUAUAUGCUGGCAUUGUGACACUUUUUCAACCAAUAGGCUAGGCCUCUAGUUGAAUCCAUUCAUCCUUCAGCUUGAGAUCCCAAGCUAUUGAAACAUGGUUGCAAUAAGUUCCCUUUUUUUUUCCCCCCACUUAUUUAUAUAGAGUUUGAAAUAAGAUUAGCUUUAUCUUCUCUUUUAUACUUGAAUCAAUAUGACAUUUCAACUUUUAUAGCAAAAUUUUGUGCUGCGUUGAUAUGUAUAUGUUGCAAUUUAGGCUUUCUGCAAGAAUUUUAUGAUUGUUUUUGUCAUUUAUCAGGAAAGUAUCGCAACUGCAACAGCAUAGAAGGUAAAAACAGAUAUGCUCGAGGUUGUUGAGGCUACGUUCGGCCUGCCACGUCGGAAGUCCAUUUAUACUAGAGUCCAAUUAUGGUAAGGCUCCACUUUUAUGGACAUGACCCUGUAAUUUCAUUUAGAUCAUGUCCCAUUUGGAUCCCCUGUGACCUACUUGGGCAGUAACUAUUGGCAGUAACUGUUUGCUGUUGCUGUUGCUUUAGAAUGAUUGGUUGACUUGGACAAGCAUCAAGCAUAAUAUUAAUACGAAGGUAAGAAACAAGAUUAGGCUCAGCUCGAGUUCUUCAAACUAGUGACACUUGAAUUUUUUUUUUUUUUGGUUUCUGAGUUUGUCAACCACAGCGAUGUUGGAAAUAUUCAGGUUCUUUUUACUGUGCUUUGUUGUAUCAGGGGAAUAUGGCUCGGGAGGACAAAUGGGAUAAGACCCUGCAAACCAAUUAUAUGAGUAAAGCCCAAGAACAAAUGAGAGCCAUAGUCUCUUUGUUUGCAUUUGGGAAAUAGUACAUGAAACAAUAGUCUCUUCGUUUGCAUUUUUUUUUCCAACUCGCUGUAAUUUUUAUUUAUAUUGUGGGGUGUAAAAAGUUCUUCAACUAAAUAAAGGAAAAAAAGAAAUCAUGUGUUGAUUUAAUUGUAUAUGUCUUUGUUCGUCUUUGAUUGUAAUUCUAAGGAAAAUUUUAUGAUGUCGCAAUUAAAAAUACAGUAUCAAUACCGUAAUUAUUAUGAACCGUUACAUUAUAUCAACAGUUUACAAUAAUUAUAAAAUAAUAAUAAUUUUUAAUUAAAUUACAUCUAACCGGUUAUAAGCCGGUUAAGUACUUUUUUAAAAUAAAAAUUUACCGGUAUAACUUUAAAGGAAAAAAGAAGAUUUACGUUUUGAAGAAAUAAAAAAAUAUAAAGGGAAAACUCGUUCACAUUGAAAUCCCUAAUUAACGAAUUCCAAAAGAAACCUACUGUUGCGUUAGCUUCCGUUCAGGUGCACCGGCGAUACGUCUGCAAAUUGCAGCCAUUAAGUUGAUUUUCUGUCUUGUUGAGAUUUGCCAAGAUUAUGGACAGUUAUUGGCAAGAUUAUGGACAAUUGUUCUACUGCAGUAAUGGACGUAAUUUGUUAGUCAACUUUCUCUUAUAAGCAAUUUCAUUUUCUAUUGUGUACAGCUAGCAAUCAAUCUCUUCUUUUUAGCCUUUUAGUUAGCUGACGCUUUUGUAUAUAAAUGGUGUAUAACAAUAAUAAUAGAGAGAUCUUUUCCCCUUUUUUUUACAUGGUAUUAGAGCAUUACGGUCUUGGGAGAAUAUUUUCUUAGCUUUCCUUUAGUCACAAAUGACGAAAGCUACUUCAUCGAAAACAAAAACCAAUGUUAUUAUCGAUCCUUCGGAUCCAUUUUAUCUUCAUUCCUCGGAUCAUCCAGGAAUUAGUUUGGUCACCAAGCCAUUGAAUGGUGAUAAUUACGCCACUUGGAGUCGGUCAAUGAGUAUUGCUCUAAGUACGAAAAACAAAACAGGUUUCGUUGACGGUUCAAUCGAUAAGCCACCGGCAGCCGAUGAAAAACAUGCCUUAUGGCAAAGAUGUAAUGAUAUGGUAUUAUCUUGGAUCCUUAAUUCUAUUGAUCCUAAUCUUGGUGAUAGUGUAUUGUAUACAGAAUCUGCAGCAGAGGUAUGGGCCGAUCUAAAGGAGAGAUUUUCUCAAAAUAAUGCCCCAAGGAUCUUUCAAAUUGAAAGAGACAUUGCUUCUUUACAUCAAGGGACCAUGUCCGUGGAAGCAUAUUACUCCAAACUGAAGGGCUUGUGGGAUGAGCUCUCAUCUUACAAUGACAUGUCUAUUUGCACCUGUGGGGCAAUUAAGGGAAAUGAAGAACGAGAACAACGAGGGAAGGUAAUGCAAUUCCUUAUGGGUUUAAAUGAUACAUAUUCUGCUAUACGUGGUCAAAUUCUCCUUAUACAACCACUUCCUACAAUUAGAAAAAUUUAUAAUUUGAUUCUCCAAGAAGAAAAACAACGUGAUGUGGCUGUGUCUAGAGAAAUCUUGUUGGCAGCAACACAAACCAGCAACAAUGAUAGCAGUUCGCAUAACAAAGGGAGAGGAAAAUUGCAUUGCAGCCACUGCAACAGAGAUAACCAUACAAUUGAGAAGUGUUUUCACUUGCAUAGCUUCCCCCUUGGUCACAAAUUUCACAAGAAGGGUGAGAAAUCUAGAAAUAAAUCAGGGCCUACAGUUAACAACUCACAACUUGAAACGCCAAGUUUCACGCAAGAGCAAUACCAACAAAUCAUGGCUCUCUUGAAUAAUGGUAAUGCUCAACCUAAGGCAAAUGUAGCAGGUCAGCUUUCCCCUUUUUGUCUUUCAUCCCAUAUUAGCUCCUCUCAUUCGAAUAAAUGGAUAAUAGAUAGUGGUGCAACUCACCAUAUCACAUCUACUCUUGAUUUGUUAUCUGAAGUAAGUCAUUCUCCACACACCUCUGUUAUACUACCCAACGGAAACAAGGUUCAAAUAGACUCAAUAGGCUCAACUAACUUUGGUUCUGAUUUUUCUCUCUCAAAUGUUUUCCAUGUACCCUCGUUCUGUGUCAACUUGUUGUCUGUUAGCAAAAUGACAAAGUCCUUGAAUUGUUCAAUCAUUUUUUUUGCUGACUUUUGCAUCUUACAGGACUUGGCAACGAAGAGGACGAUUAGUCUGGGGAGACAACAUGACGGUCUUUAUUAUUUUUCUCCAAACAUUACACCUUCGCCUAAUUUGCUCACUCCUCAAGUCAACCAGACAUCUUCGCAACCAGAUUUGUGGCACAAACGUCUCGGACACCCUUCCAUCCACCCAAUGAAACAUCUUGCAGAUUUAGUACCUGAAAUUUCUUUCUCUUCAAAUAAAGUUUGUGAUAUUUGCCCUUUGGCUAAACAAACAAGGUUACCUUUUGGUUUAAGUAUUAUUUCUACUAAAAAACCUUUUGAGUUAAUUCAUUGCGAUAUUUGGGGACCUUUUUGAGUAUGUUCUCUUUUAGGUGCUUAUUAUUUUUUGACUGUUGUGGGUGAUUACUCCAGACAUACAUGGAUUUAUCCUAUGCGGUUUAAAUCAGACACACAAAAUUUUUUAAAAUCUUUCUGUGCUUUUGUUUCUACACAAUUCAAUUAUAAAGUUAAAAGGUUUCACACAGAUAAUGGUAAAGAAUUUACUUCCAUGCAUAACUUCUUUAAGGAUGAAGGAAUCCUUUAUGAGCAUAGUUGUGUUUCCACACCUCAACAAAAUGGUGUACUAGAACGCAAACAUCGACAUAUUUUGAAUGUAGCCCGAGCCUUGAGAUUUCAAUCUUAUUUGCCUCUAACCUUUUGGGGUGAAAGUGUUAUUACUGCAGUUUAUCUUAUUAAUCGCAUACCUACACCCUUACUCUCUCGAAAAACGCCAUUUGAAAUUCUACAUAAAAAGCCACAUACUUAUGACCAUUUGCGUGUGUUUGGAUGUUUAUGUUUUGCUACUAAUGUCGAACCUCAACAUAAGUUCGAUCAUCGUGCCUGUAAAUGCAUUUUUGUUGGGUAUCCUUCGAGUCAAAAGGCUUACAAAGUUUAUGAUCUAGAAACUAAGAAGAUUUUUUCGAGUCGAGAUGUUAUUUUUCAUGAGAAUGUAUUCCCUUUUACAAACUCCAAAUGUGAUAUCAAUCAUAAUUUACAAGUUUUGCCUUUAUCUAUACCAGACCAUGAUGCUCAGUUAAUUCCCAUCGUUCCACAAGAAGACAAUACAUCUAAUGAAUCUCAACCUGUACCUUUACAUAACCAGCCCACUCAACAUAUGCUAAGAAGAUCUGAUCGAAUCCGAAAACCUUCCACUUGGCUCCGUGACUUUCAUUGCUCACAGGCCACUCUGUUGUCCCCCAGCUCAAUGUCAUCUUUUGUGCUUCAGUCUCGGCAAGGUACAUGUUAUCCUUUAGUUAAUUUUGUCUCUUAUAAUAAUCUUUCCUCUUCUCAUCACGCCUUUGUUGCAUCUAUCUCUAGUUCUGUUGAACCUAACACAUUUGCCCAGGCUGAGCAUGAUCCCAAGUGGCGUGAGGCCAUGAAUUUGGAAAUCGAAGCUCUUGAAGUCAAUGGUACUUGAACUCUUACUACAUUGCCCAAAGGGAAGAAACCAAUUGGUUGUAAGUGGGUCUAUAAAAUAAAGUAUCGUUCUGAUGGCACAAUAGAAUGAUACAAAGCUCGACUGGUAGCUAAGGGAUACACUUAGAUUGAAGGGAUGGAUUAUCAAGAAACAUUUUCCCCAGUUGCCAAACUUAUUACUGUGCGAUGCAUUUUGGUUAUUGCUGCUGCUAGAAAUUGGCCUCUCCAUCAACUAGAUGUUCAAAAUGCCUUCCUUCAUGGUGAUCUAGCUGAAGAGGUAUACAUGCUUCCGCCACCAGGUUAUAGUCGACAGGGGGAGAACUUGGUUUGUCGACUUAAUAAGUCACUCUAUGGAUUGAAGCAAGCUUCACGUAACUGGUAUUCCAAGUUUUCUUGUGCCAUUCGCAAAGCCGGCUUCAAGCAAUCUAUGGCUGACUACUCUCUUUUUACUAGAGUGCAUGGAGACUCAUUCACAGCAGUAUUGAUUUACGUUGAUGACAUGAUAAUAACAGGAAAUGAUCCAGCUGCAAUAACAACUUUAAAAAAGUUCCUUGAUGAACAUUUUAGAAUCAAGGAUCUUGGAAAGCCAAAGUAUUUUUUGGGAAUAGAGGUGGCUCGUUCCAAGAAAGGCAUUUGCAUCUCCCAGCGUAAAUAUGUAUUAGAUAUACUUGAUGAUAUGGGACUCCUGGGAGCAGCACCAGCUUCUUUUCCUAUGGAACAAAACUUGAAGUUUACGCCAUCAAGUGGUGACCUUCUCAAAGACCCAUCAAAAUAUAGAAGACUUGUUGGCCGUCUCAUUUACCUCACAAUCACAAGGCCUGAUAUUAAUUAUUCUGUACAUCUUCUUAGUCAGUUUAUGAAUCAACCCCGCAAGCCACAUUUAGAUGCGGCAAUUCGAGUCCUUCGAUACUUGAAAGGAACACCGGGACAAGGACUAUUUUUUCCAGCAGAAAAUAAUUUGAAGUUAAUAGGUUAUAGUGAUGUAGAUUGGGGAAGUUGUCCUACCACAAGGAGAUCAGUCACUGGAUACUGCGUAUUUCUUGGUCCAUCUCUCAUCUCUUGGAAAACCAAAAAGCAAACAACGAUUUCACGAUCUUCAGUAGAAGCAGAAUAUAGAGCCAUGGCAGCCAUUACUUAUGAGCUCACUUGGUUGAGAUACCUCUUCAAAGAUUUGCAAGUUAAUUUCGUGAUCCCUGCUAAGCUCUAUUGUGAUAACCAAGCAGCAUUACACAUCGCAGCAAAUCUAGUGUUUCACGAACGAACAAAACAUAUUGAGAUGGAUUGUCACAUGGUCAGAGAAAAGAUUCAAUCUGGGCAUAUUGCUACUGCUUUCACUUCAUCACAAACUCAAGUUGCAGAUUUAUUAACCAAGCCUCUUGGAAAAGCCUUAUUUCAUACUCAUCUUCGCAAGUUGGGCAUCAUUAACAUCCAUGCUCCAACUUGAGGGUGAGUGUUGAGAUUUGCCAAGAUUAUGGACAGUUAUUGGCAAGAUUAUGGACAGUUGUUCUGCUGCAGUAAUGGACGUAAUUUGUUAGUCAACUUUCUCUUAUAAGCAAUUUCCUUUUCUAUUGUGUACAGCUAGCAAUCAAUCUCUUCUUUUUAGCCUUUUAGUUAGCUGACGCUUUUGUAUAUAAAUGGUGUAUAACAAUAAUAAUAGAGAGAUCUUUUCCCCUUUUUUUUACAUGUUCAAAUUGCUGAGUCGCUGUCGUCGCUGCCUCUAUCUUGGUUUGGCCGUCGUCCCUGUGUAAGGUAAGUUUAAUCCUCUGUCUCGCCGAAUUGCUAAGCAAUUUCGUUUUCUUUCAUGGUCAUAAUUUGUUCACGGAAUUGAAUCUAAGAAUUAAGAAGUUGCUGCAAAGUGUUUGGGUUUGCAUAGUUUUCUUUCAUGGUCAUAAUUUCUGCAUUUGUUCACAGAAUUAAGUUCCUGUGCAAAGUGUUUGGGUUUCUUGGCUAACGCAAUUUUGUUUUCCUCCAAUACUCUUUUCCUGCCAAUCAUUGCUUUGGAAGUUGCUUGAAGCGAAAACAGAGGUGAAAAAGAAGCAAAAAAUAAUAUAUGGAUAAAUUAAAUUAAGAAAUAUAGAGCAUGCACUAGACUUUGAUAUGAUUUUUUCCUGUUAUUACAAGUAAUAUGGAUAAAUUAGAUUAAUUGAUUUAUUUUGCAGGUAAUAUGGUUGCUUGAAUACAGUAAUAUGUCCUAUUCUGAAAACACAUAUUGUCGAAUUAUGUAAUGUUCAUUUGGUUCGUAUCUUAUAAGAAUCUUAGCUGGACACUUAUGAAAUUGAUGAAAGAAAUUAGAUGUAGCUGCUUGAGUUCACUACGGGCUAAGCAUGGGGAAGGAAAGAGGGAAUAAGUUUCCCAGUUGUAGUUUUAGUGCAAUGGUCCAUCUCUUAGAGAUAUAUUUGUGUAUAUAUAAAUGGCAAUUGAAACUGAAAUUGUUGGUGAUUUUUUUUUUGUGUUUCUGUUUGUUUUAUAUUUCACUUCGAGGAGAAGAUUUGUUGCGGCGGGUUGUAAUUUGCUUUCACAAUUUGUGAUGAUCAGGUAGUUAGAGAUAUUUUAUUUAUUGUUGAUCAAUUAUUAUCGUUACUUAGGACACAUAAUUAAUUCAUACUCUCCUAUAAGAAUAUCAUUCAAUCUGAGGGUCAUAAGAAAGAUUCAAUUCAUAUUGGAGUGCCGGUCUAAUUUCACGAAACAUUAAUUUUUUAUAUGUAUCUUAUUUUAGUUUCGGUCUAACUAUUAUUCCACUGUAAUAUAUAGGUCAAUUAAUAAAUCUAUCUUGUUAUCCAUUAGAAUGUUAUUUUUUUUUUAGCCUAAAUAUAUAUGUUUAGGAUGAUUUUUGAAUAUGGGUGAAUGAUAAGAGCUAAAGGAACUCCUUGCGCAUAUUUUAUUGCCUUGUGUGUGAGCUCUGUAUAACUUGCAUCAAGAUGUCCUCCCGUAAAAGCACACUGACGGAAAAGCUUAUGAGCAUCAGCAUAUACUAAUUCCUUCAUUCGAUAUAUUUGACUUAAGCUCCGAGUGUGGGUGAAUGAUAUACAGUACUAUAUGAGUUAUGCUAACUGUUGUGACCUUGAUUUUGUAUUAUUGUGUGCAUUGAUUUUGGUUUAUAAACAAAUGUGUGGUGGCUCAUGGAUGGAUGUAUGGAUGGGGAUAAUAAAUAAAUGAAAAUAUACAUCAGACACAAGUAGAUAAACUAAGGGUAAGGGAUCAAAAUUCUGAAACUGGAAGUGGGUUUUUGUCUCAAAUAUAAUUGACGUGACAGAGAAUUAUGUGAAGUUGCAGAUAAAUUUUGGGUUUGAUAUGCUUUUGUUUAUGGCCAAAUUUUCUGCUGUAUUUGGGAUGAUUUGCUGCUGUUUUUGGUUAAAUUUUUCUUGUAUUUUGGGCUUCAUUUGCUGCUGUUUUUAGGUUAAAUUUUCUGCUAUUUCUAGGUAAAUUGGCUGCUAUUUUUCAGUUUAUUUUUUGUUAUUUUAAGAUAAAUUUAUUGCUGUUUUGGGUUAUAUUUUUUGCUAUUUUCAGGUAAUUUUUUCUAGUGUUUUGGGCUUCAUUUGCUGCUGGUUCUGGGCUAAAUAUUUUUCUGUUUCUGGGUAAAUAUACUGCUAUUUUUCAGUUAAUUUUUUUGCUAUUUUUAGAUAAAUUUUUUGUUGUAUUUGGGAUGAUUUGCUGCUGUUUUUGGUUAAUUUUUUUUGGUAUUUUUGGCUUAAUUUACUGCUAUUUUUAGGUUAAAUUUUUUGCUAUUUUUGGGUAGAUUGGUUGCUGUAUUUCAAUUUAUUUUUUUGUUAUUUAUAGAUAAAUUUACUACUGUUUUGGGUUUUUUUUGCUAUUUUUAGGUAAUUUUUUCUGGUGUUUUGGGCUUCAUUUGCUGCUGGUUCUGGGCUAAAUAUUUUGUUAUUUUUGGGAAAAUAUACUGCUAUUUUUCAGUUAAAUUUUUUACUGUUUUUGGAUAAAUUUUAUGCAGUUUUUGGGAUGAUUUGUUGCUGUUUUUGGUUAAAUUUUUAUGGCAUUUUGGGCUUCAUUUGCUGCUGUUUUUAGCUUAAAUUUUUUAUUGUUUCUGGGUAAAUUGGCUGCUGUAUUUUAAUUUAUUGUAUUUCAGGUUAUUUUUCUAUUGUUUUUAGAUAAAUUUACUGUUGUUUUUGGGUUAUAUUUUUUGCUGUUUCUAGGUAAGUAUUUUUAGUGUUUUGGGCUUCAUUUGGUGCUGUUUUUAGGUUAAAUAUUUUGUUGUUUCUGGGUAAAUAUAUUGCUGUUUUUGGAUAAAUUUACUGAUGUAUUUGGGAUAAUUGGCUGCCGUUUUUGGUUAAUUUUUCUGGUGUUUUGGGCUUCAUUUGCUGAUGUUAUUAUGUUAAAGUUUUUGCUGUUUCUGGAUAAAUUGGCUGCCGUUUUUCAGUUAAAUUGUCUGCUGUUUUUAGAUAAAUUUAUUGCUGUUUUUAGGUUAAAUUUUUUGCUGUGUUCAGGUAAAUUUUUCUAGUGUUUGGGCUUCAUUUGCUGCUGUUUUUAGGUUAAAUUUUCUGUUACUUCUGGGUAAAUUUGCUGCUGGUUUACAGUUAAAUUUUUUCCUAUUUCUGGAUAAAUUUAUUGCUAUUUUUGUGUUACAUUUUCUGCUGUUUCUGGGUAAAUUUGUUGAUGUUUAGAUAAAUUUAUGACUGUUUUUGGGCUAAAUUUUCUGCUGUUUCCAUGUAAAUUUUUGGUGUUUUGGGCUUCAUUUGCUGCUGUAUUUUGGUUAAAUUUUCUGCUGUGGUAAAAUUUGCUACUAUUUUUAAGUUAAAUUUUUUGUUGUUUUUGGAUAAAUUUAUUGCUGUUUUUGGGUUAAAUUUUCUGUUGUUUUACAGGAUCCAAAAGUUGUGAUAUUUGACAUUUCUUUUUGUGCCUAAAUCUUCAUGUAUAGGUUUGUGUAAACUUGAAAAUGGCUGAAAUGAUACAAAUAUACCCACUUCAAGGUCUAAAACAUGAUACUGCAAUGGUGUUUCAACAGAAGAUCAGGUACCUGUCUCUGGAAAUGCUUCAAUGAACAUCUUCAUUUCCUCCCCACCAAGGCCAGAUAAGAGGCAUAUCCAUGGCAAUGACUCUACAACCUGAGGAACGAAAUACACUUUGUAAUCUAAAUAAAGAAAGAAAAUUGAAUACAAGAUAAAUCUUAACAAGAGUCAUCAUAUCAGAUGAAAGAUUCUUAGUCUAUAAGCUUCUAAAACCUUAAGAGGUUGAACUUUCCUGCUAAAGUCUUCCCAGGUCAUAAAAAACUUAAGAUGGCAGUAUAUUAAUAGUAGCUGAAAGAUAGACAGAUUAGCUCACAAGCAUGGCUGCAAAAUACAUCACAGCCCCAUUCAAAAGCAAAAAAGACCCAAUUAUAUUGUCCGGUUUUGUAUGCUUUGUUCUUUUACAAGCUCAUCAAAUUGGGCAAAUUAAUGUCUAAAUAGUCCAAUUUCCCUAUGCUUUGUUCAUUUAUAAGCCCAUCAAAUUGAUCAAGGCAGUACUUGUCUCUCCAUCAGCAUACAAUAUCUAAACACAUAGUAUGUUCAAACAAAGAUGGAAAAUAAGAAAAAUUGAGUUUUUAGACAGGCAAGAAAAAAAAAUUUCAAUAGUAUAUUAUUGCCAGCAAAUAAAUUUUAAACCAAAAAGUUCACGCAGGGAAUUAUGUUCUUGGAAAACACAAUACUCUUAUUCUGCUCCAAAAGACAUUACCAAACACAUUUGUCAAAACUAUUCUUGAAAAUCAUUAGAAAACACAAUUUUCAAAUAUUCUAAGUCUAAGCUUCUUGUCUUCAUUCUCGAUAAUAAUUUGUGAAAAAAAUAAAAAUUCUAAAAUGAUUUUCCAAAUUGCUUACCUCGCAUGAUGCGCUCCAAACCGAUCUGCAAAGUUUUGGAGUUGGAAGACAAUUUUAGGGAUAAAACUAGCGGAUGCUUUUGGUGCUCUUCUUGGUUUCUUUCAUAGCCUUACCAUCACCAGAAUCUGAACGACAAUCUGCAUGUUAUCUCUUCGACAAUCUACAUUCCCAACUAUUUGGAUUGUGAUUGACGGUUUCACGGUUCAUGAGCCAGCAGAUUCAGGUUCGGAUUUGGCGAAUCUUGGCUUAAAAUUUAGGAGAACUGAGACAGAAAUUCACAUUUGGGAAUGAACAUUAGGGGUGGACAGGGCAGUGCUUUUUGUUUUGAUUUUUUUUCUUCUACAGUGACAUUGAGAGUCAAUGAGAAAUGUUUUUUUUUUCAGCCUUUUAUUUUCAAAAGAGGGGAAAAAAUCGAUAGUAUAAAAAAAAGUUUUUUUUUUUACUUUUUUGCUGUUGAUGCUGCCAUAAUUGUUAUAAUAUUGAAUUUUUUUAAUAAAUAAUAACUAUAAAAAUAUUUUAAUAAAUUAUUAUAAAUUUUAAUUAGGUAAUAUUAAAUAAAUAAAUUAUAAUAAAAGAUUAAUAAAUUAUAAUUAUAAUAAUAUUAUAAUAAAUAAUAAUGAAAUAAUUUCAUACUGAUAAUAAUAACAAUAAAAUUAUAAAUAUAAUAAUAUUUUUACUAAAUAAUAAUAUAAUAAAAUAAUAAUAAUAAUAACUUAUUAUUAUAAUAAUUAUUAUAAAUUUUGAACACAAUAAUAUUUUCAUAAAUAAUAAUCAUAUAACAAAAUCAUGAAAUUAAUAAAUAAUAACAAUAAUGAAUUAGUAAUCAUAAUUAUAAUACUAUUUUAAUAAAUAUUAUGAUGAUGAUGAUGAUUAUUAUUAUUAUUAUUAUUAUUAUUAUUACCACCAAUUGACAAUAAUCAACAAAGGGCAUUUAAGUAAAUUAUGAUAAUUCAUUCUGAUUCCAAGACAAAUUAAACGCAUCGAUGGAAAUGAAUCUCAUUCCGACUUUAAUUUCUACAGCUCAAAUAAAUAACUUAUUCUUAUUCACAUUCUUGAUUCUGAUUGUAGCCCGUUCCGAUUACUGAUUAGUAAAUGCACCAUGAGCAAAUUAUUGUGGUUUAAUUGGGUCUGUUUUUUUCAAACCUAAUUAAUAAUUAGUUUGGGUUGGAUAAAUUAUAAUUAACCAGUCUAACCCAACCAAAUCUACUAUAAUAAUAAUAAUAAUAAUAAUAAUAAUAAGGAUAAUGAUAAUGUGUUAAUUCUCAGUUGCAAAAUUAUAAAGACUUAAAUGGCUUAUCUAAUUUUUUAUUCUUUUUAAUCUUUUAAUAGAAGAGGCUAUUUCAUUCUUGCAUUUGCUGCUCUAGACUACAAUUCCUAAACCAAAAUCACACUCUCUUAUAAGUAAAUUUAUUAUUUUAUAAGAUUAAUAUAAAAGUAAGUUGGUUUUAAUUUCUUUUUAUUUUUUAGUGAAUACUUAACGGCACAUAAUUAUAUAUCACUUUCAUUUUAUUUUUGUAUAUGAUGCUAGCUAAUUAUCUAAAAAGUCUGAAUUUAGAAUUGGAAAAGGAGAUGCAUGAGAAAUAAAGUCUAUAUGCUUUUUGUGGAAAUUUUCUUAAUUUAAAGAUAGUUAAUUUAUUAACUUUCUUUAUCGUACACUAGAUAGUGAAUGAAAAUUUCAUGUUAUAAAAGAUUUAUAUUUGAUUUUAAUAAGUUUCAUUCCAAGUUUCAUAUCAUUUUCACUGUUCAAUUUAAAAUUUUGAUUUAACCUUCAACCUAAUCAACUUAACCAAACGAUAUAAGGUUUGAGUAGAAUUGGGUUAAAUAAGUUCAUUUAGUAAAGUUGGGUGGAUUUUAUCUCAACUCAUUAAAAAGUAGACCAUGUUAGAAUUUCACUAACCCUAUCAAACCCAACUCAUGCCCACCCUUAUAUUAUUCUAUCUAAAUCAUAAAUGCCAAUAAUCCAACUCUUUAACCAUUUUCACAUUGGAUUAAGUUGAGCCAAUUGACCUAAACUACAUAACUUAAAUUCCAACUAAAUGUGAAAUAAGACAAAAAAUUUCUAAACCACACGUAUGACUGGUAGAUUGAAGGUAAAACGGAUAAAUUAGCGUUAGAGUGGUAAAUUGGUCUACAAAAUUAAAAAAAUAGAAAAAAAAAUUUGUAAAUUGACAUUAAGUAUGAAAUGAAAUAAAAGAUUUGUAAUUCACACUUGGAAAUAGUAAAAAAAGGGAAAAUGAGUAAAUUAAAGUUGGAGUGGUAAAUUAGAAGAAAAAAUUGCAAACAAAAUAAAAACUUAGAAAAAUCACAUAAAUCUUGUAAAAUGACAUUAAGUGUGAGAUAAAACAAACAAUUUGUAAAUCACACGUAAGACUAAUAAAUUGAUGGAAAAAGAGAGUAAAUUAAUGUUAGAGUUGUAAAUUGCAAGAAGAACUUGUAAACAAAACAAAAAUUUAGAAAAAUGAGGUAGAACUUGUAAAUUGACAUUAAGUGUAAAAUGAAACAAAAAAUGUGUAAGCCAUACAUAAAAUUAGUAAAUUGAUGGGAAAAUGAGUAAAUUAACAAUGGAGUUGUAAAUUACAAGAAAAAAGUGUACAUAAAACAAAAUAUUGAAAAAAUGACUUAAAAUUUGUAAAUUAACAUUAAAUGUAAAAUGAAACAAAAAAUGUGUAAACCAUACAUAAAAUCAGUAAAUUGAUGGAAAAGCGGGUAAACUAAUAAUAGAGUUGUAAAUUAGAAGAAAAAAGUGUAAACAAAUCAAAAACUUGAAAAAAUGACUUAGAACUUGUAAAUUAACAUUAAGUGUAAAAUGAAACAAAAAAUGUGUAAAUCAAAAAUAAAAUUAGUAAAUUAAUGAAAAAAAUGGUAAAUUAAUGAUGGAGUUGUAAUUUACAAGAAAAACUUGUAAACAAAACAAAAACUUAUAAAAAUGACAUAGAACUUGUAAAUUGACAUUAAGUGCGAUAUGAAACAAAAAAUGUAUAAAUCACACAUAAAACUACGAAAAUUAAUGGAAAAAAUGGUAAAUUAAUGUUGGAGUUGUAUAUUUGUAAGAAGAACUUGUAAACAAAACAAAAACUUAGAAAUAUGACAUACAACUAGUAAAUUGAUAUUACAUGUGGAAUGAAACAAAAAAUAUGUAAAUCACACAUAAAACUAAUAAAUUAAUGAAAAAAUGGGUAAAUUAAUGGAGUUGUAAUUUGCAAGAAGAACUUGUAAACAAAAUAAAAACUUAUAAAAAUGACAUAGAACUUGUAAAUUGACAUUAAGUGUGAAACAAAAUAAAAAUGUAUAAAUCACACCUAAAACUAGUACAUUGAUUGAAAAAUUGGUAAAUUAAUGUUGGAGUUGUAAAUUACAAGAAGAACUUGUAAACAAAACAAAAACUUAGAAAAAUGACAUAAAACUUGUAAAUUGAUAUUAAGUGUGAAAUGAAACAAUAAAUUUGUAAAUCACACAUAAAACUAAUAAAUUAAUUGAAAAAUUGGUAAAUUAAUGUUGGAGUUGUAAAUUACAAGAAGAACUUGUAAACAAAACAAAAACUUAGAAAAAUGACAUAAAACUUGUAAAUUGAUAUUAAGUGUGAAAUGAAACAAUAAAUUUGUAAAUCACACAUAAAACUAAUAAAUUAAUGAAAAAAAUGGUAAAUUAAUGUUGGAGUUGUAAUUUGCACGAAGAACUUGUAAACAAAACAAAAACUUAGAAAAAUGAUAUAGAACUAGUAAAUUGACAUUAAUUGUGAAAUGAAACAAAAAAUGUAUAUAUCACAAAUAAUACUAGUAAAUUGAUGGAAAAAUGGGUAAAUUAAUGGAGUUGUAAUUUGCAAGAAGAACUUGUAAAUAAAACAAAAAUUUAGAAAAAUGAUAUAUAACUUGUAAAUUGAUACUAAGUGUGAAAUGAAAUAAAAAAUGUGUCAAUCACACAUAAAACUAGUAAAUUAAUGGAAAAAUAAGUAAAUUAAUGUUAGAGUUGUAAAUUGAAAGAAGAACUUGUAAACAAAACAAAAACUUGUAAAUGUUGCAUAAAACUUGUAAAUCUACAUUAACUUGUAAAUGCUUCAUAAAACUUGUAAAUCACACAUAAAAUUAGUAAAUGUAACCUAGAACUUGAACAAAAAAGAGUAAUUACCUACUACUUAGGUAACAGGUUACCUAUUUAUUUAAAAUUAAUGGUAGAAAUUUUUUAUUUAAAUCUAACGAUUCACGCCCAUUACGGCAUCAAUGCCGUAAAUUUAAUUACGGCAUUAUAGAAUGAUCCGUAAUUCUAAUUAAGAUUAAAUUUAUAAACUGCAUUGAGGAAUUACAAUAAAAGACGAACAAAGACAUAUACAAUUAUGAUAAAUUUAUUUAUCAGGACUUUUGAGAAGAACGAGAAGAAGCUCACAUCUACAGAGGGGUGCCAUUUGUCCCACCUCAUCGAAGGGAUGUUAAAGAUUUUUAAUGGGCUAAGACAACAUGGCCCUGCUUAGAUAUUUUGGGCUUUUACCAACAAGUUCCUGAUCACACCCCUCAAACCUCCUUAUCAAACCUUUUUUUUUUCAAAAAAUAAAAAUAAAAUCACUAAAUAACUAAAUACAAUUUAAUUUCUUUCUUUAUUUUUAAAUAAAAAGUUAAUUAAAUAUUUAAAUAAAUUGUUAUUUUAACAAAUAUUUUAUUCCUACCCCAUUUUAUAAUUAUUUUUGAUUUCAAUAAAAAAUAUAUUUUGAGAAAAUUAUAAGAAUUUAAAAUUAUAAAAAUAAAAAUUAUAAAUAUAUUUUAAGAUUUUAGGAUUUGUAUGUAAUUUAUGAAUAAAAACCUUAAAAAUAUACAAUUUUUUUUAAAAUAAAAAAUUUCAUAGAAAGAUGGUUAACUUUAAUAUAUGUACGUGUAUUACUUGUAUUAAAGGUAUUUUAGACAAUGGUAAAUUUUGAAUUAAUUUUUUUAAAAUUGAUUAUUUUUAAAUUAUUUUUAUUUUUUAAAAUUUUAAAUUAUUUUUAUUUUAUUUUAUUUUAUUAUAAGUAAAUUAAGAUUUUUAAAAGGUAAGGAAAAUUAUAUUUAAAUAGUCGGGGAAUAAUUAGAAAUUAACUCAAAAAUAACAUUAAAAAUGCUCCGCCCUUACAACCAAUUGUUUACUCGUCUCGGCAACCUAGGGUUGGUUCGUCACCGGAAAUAAGCUAGAUCUAGACUCUCUGUGUUAUGGGUGCAGGCUGAAAACAGAGGGGACGAAGAAAGAGGAUCUGAUUCCGACGGUUUGGAUUCAAUGUGAUGAGUUCCUUAUGAUAAGCAAGCUGAAGAGAGCUGAAGAAGGAGGCAAGAUCAAGAUCUCGAGGAAAUUCAGCGAUGGAUGAAGCGAGGGUUCUAACUCUCACUUUUUAAAAAAACUUAUGCAUAUUCUUUCAUGUGCUGUAGAUAGGCCCUUCAACCUCGGAAACCUCACCAUGGACUGGGAGCGAAGGAAGUGGGAUCUGAUGGUUGGCAUUGUAGGUGGCAAGCUGCAAAAGAAAGAUGACGUUUUCAAAGUUGAAGGGCCUUUCUAGAGCACUGGAAUCCAUUCAUACUUCAGCUUGAAAUCCCAAAACACAAGGCCUUUUGUGCAUAUUUGUUUAGACUUUGCACUAAGAUUGGCUUUAUUUUUCCCUUUUGGACUUGAAUCAGUAUAACAUUUCAAUGUUACAGCACACUUUGGUGCAGAAUAUGUAGAUCUGUAUGGUUUGCAAAUGAGGCUUUCUGCAAAGACUGUUAUGAAUUUUUUUUUUAAAUCAUUUAUUAGGAAAUUUUCCCAACAGCAACACCAGAAAAGGUGAAAACAGGUAUGCUUGAGGUUGUUAUAGCUGCCGCUUGGCCUACUGAAAUGUUCAUUUAGUCCAAUUAUGCUAAGACUCCACUUUUAUGGGCAUUAUCUUGUAAUUUCAUUUUUAUCACGUCCCGUUUGGAUCUCCGUGACCUACUUGGCCUGUAGCUAUUUGCUGUUGGUGUUGCUUUUGAAUUAGUGGCUGAUUUGGACGCGCUUAACAAGUUAUUGUGUGGACUCUAGUUAUAUUUUUUUGUUAUGCUUGUCUGAGAAAAGAGAUGGAACAUGUCGUUCCAAUUUAUUGAAUAUUUAAAAUAACUUGAGAAUUUCAUAACUAAGAAAAUUCAAGGUUCCUUUUUGAAUUUUUUUUUGGGGUUUUUUUGUUUGGUGGGAGGGGGGGGGGAAUUGGGGCCAAGGGGAUGUGUAGGGAUGCAGCUCUUCCGUCUAACACUCCAAAGUAUUUCUUGUAUCUUGGAUCCUCGCGGAAGGACUGGUAUUUGUGGCGAUUGGCUGUUGGGUUCAAGUUUUGAGUCAGCUGCCUUAAGUGGCCAGCUCAUGCCAAGCAUGUAAGCAAGAAUGUGAUUUUCUUUUGCUUAUUUGGUUUCUUUUUUGUGCAUAGAAAUAUAUAUUUCAUGAUUGAUAAUUAACAUCAAAUAAUAAAAUCUGUAACAACAUGUUUACCCCUGUAUAUGGACAUCUAAAUAUAAAUAGUAUAUUGGCUUCAGCUCUGUUUGAAAUAUCAGACAAUUUUCAAUCGUAAGCUUGAAGCAUGAUUAUUCAUAUAUAAAUACUGUAAUUGGUCUAUCUUGAUUGUAGAUUAUUUAGGAAGUUGUGGAGUUCAUUUUGAGGAGUUUGCUGUUGGUUUACAAACAAGUUUUCUGCCACUCGAAGGACAUGAUAUUGGGCAAUUUCUAGGUUUAGAGUCUAUGGAAAAAGACGAAGCUCAAGCAUAUCAACCUAUCAUUUGAAUCAUUAAGCAGGCCAUGAAAAUUUCUACAGUUGUUAAGGUAUGCUUCUAUCUACACACUGUUUAUGGAUUUAUGAUUUUUACUUUGGUUGCCCCAUAUUUAAUUCUCUUGCUUUUAUAGCUUGGAGUAUUAGAUUGCAGUGAUUGAUGAGAGUGAAUGCUUGUUUAAUGAUAAUUGAAACAAUUUGCUAUCAACAGUGUAGCAUGUGUUAAUCGUUGAAUAUUGUUUUUGUGACAACGAUUUUGUGUAUCAUUAAUUGCAUGUAGCCAUUGUGAUGCUUAGUUUAUAUGAAAAUUAGGCUAGCCCAAUCUUUUUUGGAUUUUUUGUUAUGAUUAUCUCCAUGUUUGUGAUUGAGGUGUUGUGACUUUUAAUUUAUUGAGGAAUGGAAUUAAAACAUUAACUGCUUAAUAAAAAUGGGUGUUUAUCAAAUAUCUUAGCUAAAAUGCUGUCAAAAUUAUACCGCCACCAAAAUAGGACUCAACUCGAGUUAUUCAAACUCUUGAAACUUGAAUUUUGUGUAUCUGAACUGGGUGCUCAGUUAGUCAAUCGCAUCCAUGUAAUGAUUCGCAUUUAUUUAUUUAUGUUACUAUGCUUUGCUGUACCUGGGGAAUCAUGGCUUGGGAGGAAGAAUCGGAACCAGAAUGAUAUGUCCUCAACCUCUGAUAUUUGGUCAUGCUGCUCAUUUCAUUGCUGCGAAUGAUUCUCAGUUUCGUCCAUUGGUUGACUGGAAGGUGGAAUCAGUGUUGGCAUGCGCAUACGGGAUCAUCAAUAUUGACAGAUCACCAUUCCCGCUUGUGCUAACCGUUCGAUUGACAUACUUUUACCAUGGAGGGUUGAGAUUUCGCCACGCCACCAUGCGUGGAAUACACUCACUGCAUUGGGUCAUACACCCAACCAUUCUUGUCUUAUUAGGAAGCAAUCUUGUUUGUUCAUUGUAUUGAUCCGAUGUUCCACAUUUAGCCACGUUUCCCCUUUCACUCAGCGAACGUUGUUGACCACAUCUGAACCGUUGGAUCGAGCAUCAAGUUUUCCUCAAUGCAUGCUCACCAUGAUUAUUACGGUCACAGGAUUUUAAAAUGGAAGUUUUGUCUUCGGAUUGAAUUGAAAAGGUCGCGUGAUUUGGCUGAAAUAAUAAAAUUUCUUCCCUUUUCCUUUUUUCUUUUUCAAUUUCUGGCUUUUGUAUGUAACUUUUGUAAAUUAAUUAACAAAAUAUGUGCUUUAUUUUCCACUAUCUGUGGUUAAUUUUAUCAAGGUAGGGUGAGGUGAAGCUCUUCAUAGAAAGAUAUGAUUUAGUUAAGUUUUAUUUUUUUUAAUUGGGGAAAAAAGAUGGUAAACUUUAAUAUAUUUAUUUGUAUUAAUUACACUAGAGGUCUUUUAGAAAAUGGUAAAUUUUUAUAAAUUGAUUAUCUUCAAACUUUUUUUUUAUUUGAAAAUUUUAAACUGUUUUUAUUUUAUUUUAUUUUAUUAUAAAAAAAGGAGUAAAUUAAGAUUUUUAAAAGGUAAACAGAAUUAUAUUUAAAUAGUCCAGGAAUAAUUAGAAAUUAACUCAAAAAUAACAUUAAAAAUGCUCCGCCCUUAUUACCACUAAGUCUAUGCGUGUUUUUGUGUUUGUGUGUGUGUAUACAGAUCCAUUGUUACUCAUCUUCGACAGCCUAGGGUUGGUUCGUCAUCGGAAAUAAGCUAGAUCUAGACUCUCUGUGUUAUGGGUGCAGGCUGAAAACAGCGGGGACGGAGAAUGAAUUUUCCCUUUUUAACUUGAAUCAAUGUAACAUUUCAAUGUCAUCGCAUGCUUUGGUGCAACAUUUGUAGAUAGGUAUACGUUGCAAAUCAGGCUUUCUGCAAGACUGGAAUGAAUUCUUUUUUAUCAUUUAUUAGGAAAAUUUCCCAACUGCAACAGCAGAAAAGGUUGAAAUAGGUAUGCUUGAGCUUGUUGUAGUUAGGGGUGGCAAAGCGAAUAAAUGAAUCGAAUCCGAAUUGAAUCGUAAACGAAUUGGGUUAAAAUUUUAUUGAGUGAGAUUCGAUUCGUUUAAUAAAUGAAUCGAAAUCUCAGAAUUUGAAUUCGCUUCGUUUAUUAAACGAAUAUUCGGUUCGAUUCGUUUAAUAGAAUUAAUAAACAAAUAUAAUCGAAUUCGGAUUCGUUUACUAUUUGUUUAUUCUUACGAAUUCAUAAUGAAUCGAAUUGAAUUUAGAUUCGUUUACAAUUCAUCUGUAAACUACAAUAUUAACCUUCAAAUUUUAAAAAAAUUUCAAAUAAAUUUAAGGACAAAAAAGUAAUUUAAUUAAACGAAUGGACCAUAUUCAAUUCGUUUAUAACUCAUUUAUUAAAUUGAAACGAAUAAACGAAUCAAUAUCUUUAAACCUGAAUAUGAUUUGUUUAAUUAGCAAAUCGAUUGAACUCAUCCAUUUAUUAAACGAAUCAAUUUUUUCAAAUGCAAAUCUAUUUAAUUUGUAUAGAAUCAAAUCGAAUAAAUGAAGCCUAAGUCAGAUUGCCACCGCGAGUCGGAGCUGCGCUUGGCUUUAGAAGUUGGCUUUAGAAGCCCCUUUUUUUCUCAAGAGUCCAAUUAUGCUAUGACUCCACUUUUAUGGGCAUUACCGUUUAAUUUCCUUAUUUUUUUAAUCGUGUCCCAUUUGGAUCAUUGUGACCUACAUGGGCUGUACCUAUUUGUGGUUUAUGUUGCCUUUGAUUUCGUGGUUGAUUUGGACAAGCUUAAUAAGUUACUGUGUGGACUCUAGUUUUAUUUUCUUGUCAUGCUCGUUUGAGAAACGAGAUGGAACAUGUCAUUCCAAUUUAUUGAAUAUUUAAAAUAACUUAGAGAAUUUCAUAAUUAAGAAUAUUCAAGAUUUCUUUUUCAUGAUUUAUGUAAUUUUUUCCUUCUUUUGGGGGGAUGUGUAGAGAUGCAGCUCUUCCUCACUAGUGCUCCAAGUAUUCCGUGUCGCGGAAGGGCUGGUAUAUGUGGCGAUUGGCUGUUGGGUUCAAGUUUUGAGUCAGCUGCCUUAAGUGGCCGGCUCAUGCCAAUCAUGUAAGCAAGAAUAUGAUUUUCUUUUGCUUAUUUGGUUUUACUUUUGUGCAUAGAAAUAUAUAUUUCAUGAUCGAUAAUUAAUACCAAAUAAUAAAAUCUGUAACACAACAUUUAUCUAUACCCCUAUAUACGGACAUCUAAAUAUAAACUAGUAAAUUGGCUUCAAUUCUGUUUGAAAUAUCAGACAAGUUUCAAUCAUGAGCUUCAAGCAUGAUUAUUCAUAUAUAAAUACUGUAAUUGGUCUCUGUAGAUUGUAGAUUAUUUAGGAAGUCAUGGAGUUUGUUCUGAGGAGUUUGAUGUUGGUUUGCAAACAAGUUUUCUGCCACUCGAAGGACAUGAUAUUGGGCAAUUUCUAGGUUUAGAGGCUAUGGAAAAAGACGAAGCUCAAGCAUAUCAACCUACCAUUUUAAUCAUUAAGCAGGCAUGAAAAAUGCUUGCUGCGUCUAUUACAGUUCUUUUUACAAAAUGGCUUUCAAUGUAAAUUGUUAAUUUUUUUUAAUAGAAUUAAAACCAUUCUGUAUGUAUCAUAUGUAGCCUUUAAAGAUUAUUACGACCUUUAUUGCUUUAAGCCCCACUUCUUGCCGCUGUUAGCGAUAAGUUGAAAACAGUAAUGGUUCCUUUUUAUCCACGUUACACAUAACACUCAUUCAAGAAUCUAGAGAUUACUUAACCGUGUUGUAAUUCAAGAGUAGUGUCCAACUUGGCCUAGUGGCAGCUUCUUAAAGCAAGAGUUUGGCCCAGAGGAUUGUUGCUCUCCACCAGAUGCGUUUGGACUUAAGCUGAAUUCGCUUUUGUUGCCAAGUUCCAAUGAAAAAAUGUAACUAAAAAAAAAAAACCCCAUGAUUGAAUCUUUGUGGAAAAAUGAUCUGGAUGCAAUGCUGUUGCGUAGUGUGGUUUAGUUAAUUAUCCACAACAAAAGAGUUAUAAAAAUAUGUUACGUGUCCCAUUACUUAUUGAAUCAUUUUUUGGCAUCCACACUUAUUAUAGAAUAACUAAUUUUUUUUAUAAUGGUUAUUCAAACAGUAAAAAAUGCCAAAAUUUUUGAGUAAAAUGGUCGUUGUUAUUGUUUUUUUUCCUUUUAAAACGGUGCCUUUGCUAUAUGAGGGGAAUCAUGGGAACCAGAAUGAUUGGUACUGAUUCAAGGUCCCAUAAUGAUCACAGUUACAAGGAAGAUAAGAACCUAAAAUUAAUUACAUGGUCACGUGAUUGCAGUUGCAUGGGCUGCAUGGCGGCCGACCGCUGUACCAUGACUGCAAUUCCUGCACAGUAACAAGCAAGCUGUUUUACAUAUAUAUAUGCCACGUUGACAAUUAGCUUAUUUAGACAAACAUCUUAUCAAGGCACAAACGAACUUGAACGUAAAGCAAUAAUAUCCCAGCAACUAAUUGUCUUAAAAUAAUUAUUGUAAUUCUUCAGAAUACACAACCACAAUUUUGAAGUUUUGAAAGAAAUUAAGCGACGAAUGCACCGAAAGCUUUCCUCCCUAACCCCAAUUGAUUACUUACGUAACCGUGCAUGUUUGGCCCACCUUCAGUGCAUCUUUUUUUGAUUUUGGCUACCUUAUCACGAAACACAAAUGGAAGGGGACUCUGACUUAAGUCUCAAUUGACGAAACAGUAGUGCUAAACAAACAAAUAUUGGGGACUCUGACACAUAUGUGAGGUGAGGAAAUAUUACAACAUUUAGACUAGGAAUGUAAACAAAUGAAUAAAUAAAUAUAUUACUGGAUUUAAGAAAAUGAAGCCGGUGGCGAGUACAAAGGAGCUCUUAUGUGUUGAUUCCCUAAUAUCGUGUGCACUUCCUCAUAUACAAUAAAUUUUGAAUUUUUUGUUGUUGUUAUCUAUGUCAUAAUUGUUAUAACAUUAAUUUUUUUUCAAAUAAGGAUAAAAUUGAUAGAUUUAUGAUUUUAUUAUAACACACACAGUCAAAUAUACAUCUAAAAUAUAUGUAGAACCACUACCACCUUAUAUAUAUAUAAAAAAAAAAAAGUGUUUACAACAGGUUAUCAAGGCAUACCAUUAGUACUAAAUUAUGUAAAUCAAGUUUCUUUUCCUUCAUGCCAUGUCCUUUACGGGUCGGCUGAUUCGGUUUUGGUGCUUGUUGUCGAUGAGCAUAUAAUAUAUACAUAUUUUACUCUUAAUUAUAUAAUUACUAAUUAUUAUUAUUUGUUAUUUUUAAUUAAUUAAAUUAUUUUGUUGAAUGAGGAAUUAAUUAGAGAUUAUGGAUAAAAAAGUAUAAAAAAUUUUAAUUUAGAAAGAAAUAAAAAUUAAAUUAGAAGAUAAAAUUACAGUCGAGAAUUAAUGAAAGUCCGAAACCAAAAAUCAAAGUCAACUUCCUUAAUAAUGAACGGUGGGCAUGCAUUUAGAAGACAAACAUUUGGUGAUGGCAAUUGCAUUUGCAUGACAUUAUAUAUUAUGGAAAGUAAUUUAAAGGGACCUGUGACUUGGCUUUCAAAGGUGGACAUAAACUGAUGGAUUAUGGUAUUGACAAAUAAUGAUGACAUAAAAUAGUAAAAUUGACUUUAGAAUUGGAAAUAGAAUCCCGAUUGAAUUGGGCCAAUUAAUGCAUAUGGAAUCCUUUUCAUAAUUGGUGGCCAUGGUGGAAGUGUGGCUGGUGCUUGCAAAAGAUGCAGCUGCCAUACUCAUUUCAAAAACUUUCCGAUCCAAUGAGUUCUACAGGAGGAUUUAUAAAUUAAGUAAUAUAAUUUUGUAUAUUUUUAAAAUAAAAACUUUAAUUGCGCACCACUUGAGUUCUUAUCCAAAACUACCUUUCCUGGUAAAGCCAAAGCAUUUUGUGUUUUCUUACACGGCAAAAUAUUUUUUUUUUUAAUUUUUGAAAGGAAAAAACCUUCAUUUCACAAAAGAAAAUAAGUACAGCAAAUGAGGAGGGAAUGAACCCAUCCACACAACAGUUUCAAGUCUCUCUAAAGCUAACAAAACAUUGUUUGUUACAUAAACAGUUCACGGCAAGAAGAGCAGCCAUUUUUGACUUUUUGGAAGGGAAUAAUAUUGGAAUAAGCUUUCGAAUUUACCGAUUACGAAUUACGAUGGCUUUCUAAGCAAAUGGGAUCUGAGAUGGACCGAUGGUUAAGUUGAGGGGAAAAUUACAGAUAGAUUCCAUCUUCAAAUAUAAGUUAAAAAUAUUUGAAGUUUUAAACUUAAUUUUAAAUAGAUUGUGAUACUUUAUUCUUUUUAAAUUUAAAAACGUUAUAUUUAAUUUCUUAUACUAACAAUUUAAAUUAUUUUACGAUAAAAAAUCCAUAUUAUCUCUGAUCAAUUUAAGUGAUUUUACAAAGAGUAACAUCCAUCAAAACGAUUUUUUGUGUAUGUGAUAUGAUAAUAUUAUCCUUUAUAAAUUAAGUGAAGGUAGUUCCAUUUGAUUCCAUCACAUCCUGGAUUAUCUGUCACUUUUAUUUACAUAAAAAAUAUACAUUCUCUCAUUGACAACAUAUAAAAUAAGCUUCACCAAGUCUUUAAAAACUGUAUUGCCUACGUUGUUUAUGUUUUUCAGUUUUUAAGCCAAGAAAAAUGAAAGAGAAUUAAAGAUUACAUAAUUAGGUAAUUAACUCAAAUUAUUAAAGACAAUAUUGUCAUAACACCUGCAUUCAUUUUCAUGGAUGUCUACAGAUUGUAAAAUAACUUAAAUUGAUUAAGGUCAAUAGGAACAUUUCAUUGUAAAAUAACUUAAAUUAUUAGUGUAUGGGGUUUAGUACAACAUUUUUAAAUUUAAAGGGUUAAGUGUCAUAACCUAUUGAAUCUGAGUAUAAAUAUUUCUAACUUAUAUUUGAGGAGGAAUAUGUAAUUCUUCCUUUAGUUAAGUUUCUAAUCAAUUUACAAAAUGACUUUCCAUGUAAGUUAUUAAUUUUUCAGAAUUAAUGAAACCCAAGGAGAGAUAAUAACAAUUUGUUCAUUUACAUUAAAAAAAAAAAUGUAUCCACCUAGUUUAAAUUUACACAUCCUUUAUAUGGCUGUUGUGUGUACAAAAGAAUACAGACACACACACACAGAGAAAAAGAGGGAGGGAGGGAGACAAAAAGAGGAAUAAAAAGAAUAUCUAAGUUACGAAAAAUUAAAAAUAAUAACAAAAUUGUUUUAAGGACUAACGAUUAAAGAAACAGGGAAACAAAUUUUUUCUUUUCAUUCAAUAAUCAAUACUAUUGAAAAAAAAAAUAUUUAGACUAAGAAUGUAAAUAAAUGAAUAAAAAACGCAUAACUGAAUUUAUGAAAUGGAGCUGAUGGAGUACUAAGGAGUUCUUUUAUAUAUAUGUGCGCGCGCGCACACACACACAGAAUAUAAAGCAAAAUAAAUGAUAUAUCGACUACAUCGGCAAUUAAACAGAAACGAGUGAAGAAUGAUGAUACAAGUACGUAAAAGAGAAAUGAUGAAGGAUCAGCAACUCAGGCACAAACUGAUGUACACAAGACUAGACUAGCUCAGCCCAGUAAGCAAAGCCGGACACUACAACAAAAUUGAGAUAUAUAUAGCAUCUAAAAUGUGCUACUAAAAGUAAAGGUACCACUUUUAGAAGUGAUAUGUUAGUCCAUGUUAAUAAAAAUAUAUCUUUUGGUAGCAGUUAUGGAAUGUUAUAAAUUACAUUUUGUAGCAUGAAAUAAAAGUUAUAUAUGUAUUUUUAGUAGCUUGAGGUAGACGUUACUAUUUCAUAACUCGUAGCAUUUAUAAAAUGCUACUAAAUACCUUGCCAUAGCAUUUAUAAAUGCUAUCAAAUUCUAAGUCAUAGCAUAAUAAAAAUGCUACAAUAUUCUCUUAUGAUUUAUAGCAUUUUUUUAUUGCUUAAAAUUACAAAUUUUGGUAGCAUUUAAACAUUGUUAUUAUAUUUGGUAACAAUGUAUCAUCGUUGUCAUCAUAAGUUUAAAGAAAUUGCUAAUUAGCUUGGAUAUUUAUAUCAUUCAUCUUGAUAAUAAUACAAAACUUUCACAAAUACAAGCUUAUAAUCCAAAUGAACAAAAAGUACCAUAUAUUAUAUCAAAUAUUGCAUCAAGGUCAUAAGUUGAAGAUAAAUAUCAACUCCAAAUAAAAAUUAUGCUUGACUAUGAACAAGGGCAAAACUAUGUUGCAACAUGAGUUUGGUACCCCUUCUUUUUGUCUUUUUCAAAAUCAACUACCAUGGAGUCCUGUUAUUUGUUAUGAAAACAAAAAAGCUAAAAACUUUUAAAUUUUUACACAUUAGUCCUGCACCUACACUAGCAUCAUUUUUCUCACCCAUUUUAAUUAAAAGAUAAUUAAAAUUAUUUUCAAUAUAGAAAUAGAAUAAUAAUAAUAAAUUAUUACUCUUAUUUUUUAAUUAAUUACAAAAAGAUAUUUUACAUUAAAAAAUAUAGACAAUCACUGGUGAACACUGCUUCUUUACGUGCAAUAACAUUAUUAACCAAAAGGGGUCAUGAAGGGUACCAUUAGACUUGAAAUUGGAUGAUCUACGCAAUGAUAGCCUCAAUACUAGAAAAUGGUGAUAUGUAGAGUUGCACUCCCCUUCCAAAAUAACUGCGACCAUAACUACACCACAAAAACACAACAAGUUACAUUGCACUACCACCUUUUUUCAAUUUAGAGACCGUCAUUUGGUUGUUAAAGGCAAUGAACCUUGAAAUGUCAUUUAAUCAUAGGGUCUUACUACAGUUGUUUGCAUUGGAAGGUGUCUCUAUCGCCAAUACAUCCAUUUAUCCAGCAACAUUGUCACCAUUACACAGAUAUGAGAAUUUUGAAUCUGUUGAUAAUAUUUGUUUUUCUAUUCACUCACUUUUAUUUCUUAGUGAUGAUGUCGUCAUUGUUGUCAUUGACGGUGCAAUAAAUUUUAGCAAUGUUAUUUUGAUUUUUCAUCUAAUUUACAAAACUUAAAUAUUAAUUAUAAUAUUCAAUUUUAGUCUCGUAUGCUUAAAAAAUACUAAUAUUUAAGUUCAUGGAUGGAUAUAAGAUAAAUCAAAUCCAGAGUAUUUUGGAUGGAUAUUAUCCAAUCUAUUUGGACCAAAUACUUAGAUAUCCAACUUGAAUGGAUUUGUUUGCUCUUCCUAGUUGUCAAGUCGAUUAAUAAAUUGGAUUCGAUUUUAAAACUCCUAAUAUAAUAACCCAGUUCUAAUACGAUUAAUUACUCAAUUAAUUAUACUAAUUGACUUAUAUUUUAAUUGAUAUAUAUGUCCUGAAUUGUCAUCUCUAUUGUUGUCCAUGUGCGAUGUUAGCAAGAGAGAAGAAAGAAUAGAAAAUACUUAUUUUUAUUUUAUUUUUACUACAGAAAUAUUUAAAUUAUUUUCAAAUACAGUAAUUGUUUAGAAUUUUUUUUUUUUACCCUUCUCUCAGGUAAGUUAAUAAAAGAUCUUAACCAUAUGGAUAAUGGAUGUGUGCUAAUGACUAUUUAAACUGUUGGGGUGGAGUAACAAAAAUUAAUUUAUUUAAGUGUGCAAUUAAAUUUAUUCUUCUUAUUUAAGAACAAAAACUCAACAAAAAAUACAAAACUUAUUGUUCAAACAAACAAAAAUAAUUUUACAAAUUCAUAAACUAACACUUUAUAUAUUAUUAUUAGUGAAUUAACAUAUUUUUACUACAUAAUUAAAUAAUUGAUAGUAUGUUAAAAAAAAUAUUAUGUUACACAAAGAAUAAUAAAACAUGAACUACAUAGAAUAUGAAAUUAAUUCAUUUUUGUAAUUUGCACAUUUUAUCUGCUUGAGAUAGUAAAGUCUCUUGUGCUUGAGGGCAUCUCCAAUGCUUAACACCAUUUUGGUGUAACACCAACACUAAAAAUGUACCUUUUUUCACACCAAAUUACUAUUUCAUUUCCAACCCAUUUACACCAAAAAGAAUAUUCUUCUUUUUAUUCUUUUAAUUCUCAAGAAUUAAUUCAAUUAACACUAAAUUUACUAUUAAUAUAGAUAAUUAAGUAAUAAGUAAUAUUAUAUCGAUUAACAAAAAAAUAUAGAAAAUUAUUAAAUUUGCAUUUAAUUAACUAAAUUAGUACAUUAUGAAAAUUAAACUUUACAUUAAUAUAGAAAAAUACAAUAACAAUAAUAAAGAAGCCAAUCGAUGACUUUAUGAAAUUCUUAAAAAAUGCAGUGAAGAUAGGCAACAAAAUUAUCAAAUUCAAAUAAUACGAGCCCAAAAUGAGAAAACAAAAUUGGAGAUGGUCACAUAUCGUGAAGAAAACAAAAUUUUACUUAAAGAUUUAAAUUCGCUAAGUGAUCCAAGCUUACGUCAAUAUUUUCAAAAUGAACAAAUUAAGAUUUUGCAGAGAAGAUCUCAGCAAGGCCAAGCAUCUCAAAAUACUUCCAAUAAUAUUGGCCAAUAUUUUAAUGAUAUUGGAGGAUCUAAUAAUGAUCUCCUAAAUUAUUAAAUAAUUGUUCUAAUUUAUGCUAGUAGUAGUAGCUUUUUUAAUUUGUGUUAAUUUAAUUUUAUAAUAUGUAAUCUAGUAAUUAAUGUUAUUGGCAUUUUAUUUUUAUUAUUAAUUUUUGUGUUGAAUUUUUUUAAAAUAUUAGUAUAAUAUUCAAAAAUUAAAAAAUGAAAUAAAAAUAAUAAUAAUAACUUAAAAUAUUAUAUAAAAUAGGACAUAUAUGUAAAUAAGAAAAAGUAAUGAGGAUAUUUGAGAUUUUUUUCCCUAGCACCAAAUGAAUAGUGUUGCACCAUAUUUGGUGCAAUACUAUUCAUAACACCAUUUUGGUGUUGGUUUUAUGGUUACAUUGGAGAAGCAUUUUACACCAAAAAUGGUGUAAAAAGUGAUUUGGUGUUAGUUUUGGUGUCAUAUUGGAGAUGGCCUGAGAUAGUAAAAUCUCUUGUAUUGAAAAAAAAAAAAAAGUUACGGGGUUUGAAUCCUAUUCACAUGGGUGAAAGAAAAUUGGUUGCCAUUAUAUUUAUUUAAAAAAAUCAUAUUUAUAAUUAUCAUUAAUUGCAACUAGUAAAUAACAUACAUGGUUUAACUACAUAAUAAAUUAGUUAAUUUAUUAAUUAAUAUGUAAAUUUAUUAAUUUAAAUAUAUAUUAAUAAAUGUAAGAAUAAGUCAUUUAAUUGGAAACCUAGUUCAAUAGUGUAAAAAACAAUUUACAAUAUUAUGGACUUAUAUGUCAUAAUUUUAAAACUUUUGAUUUUUCUUAUUUUGCAUGAACAAUAAAAGCUCCAAUAAUCUCAUCUAAGCCAUUAUACUACUGUAGUGUUAAAUCUAAUGGUAGAUUUGAAAAAAAAUAAAAAAAAUGAGGUACCAAACUCCGUGGGUAACAUAACUGGACCCACAAACAAAUAUGCUACUUUUAAAAUAGGAAAACAAUAAACAAAAACUAAUGCUUUGUCUUCAAAAUGUGGCCAAAACUUCUUCACUUGUAUUUAUCAUCAUGGCCUGCAUUAUUAUAAAUUGAGAAAAUAAAAAGAUAAGUAUGUACUAUCAUAAAAGAAACAAAUAAAGUGAAAAUUUUGUGUAAGCAUUUAGAUAUAUGAACUUAUUGCCAUGAGUUUUGCAUCUAAGAAUUUUCAGCAUAAUGUUUAAAUAAUAGUAAAAUUUUGGUCCUAAGAACUUUGUUAAUUUUCGACUUGUAGCUCUGGAUCAUCGUAGUUGUAAGAGGGUAGCAACUCAAAUAUUGAACUAAAAUAGAAAAUGAAGCAAAUUAAAGGCAAUUUAUUUUCAAGAACAACAUAUAUAAGAAGGAGAGUUGUAGUAAUUAAUGGAAGACAUUUAUGGCAUUUGAUUCAAAAUGUAUCUCUUUUUUUAUGCAUCACCAAAAUUGUCUUCUCACAUGCAAUACUCAUUUGGCUAAUUCAAUUAAGCUCUACGGAGAUAAAAAAAAAGCCUACCUCUAUUUCCAUAAACUUUUUUGGGAAUACAUGAAUAUUAACCGCCAAUAUUUAACUGUACUAAUAAUUGCUCAAAAAUAAGUUUUAGACAAUAGUAUUUUCAUUCUCAUAUGUGUAGUACAAUAGUUUGCUUUUAUAUAGAGAAAGAGAUGAAUAUACCAAUCCCAAAAUCAUUCACUCCAUGCAGGAUUUGAAGUGCUGAUAGCCUCUAAAACCUAAACUCAAACUAGCUUAAGUCCAUGUCAUAAUCUUGCUUGAUGUUCUCAUCUUGAAAUGAUUGAACUAGAUGGUAUAGAAGUCCCAAUAGUUCAAACAAAACCUCAUAUCCCAUAAUAGCCCAAAAUUGAUCCUGACAAAUAAAAAUGACAAUGAUCUACUACCCCAACCAAUAAGUAGAAAUCAAGUCACAUCAAUAAUAUGCAAAUACAAAUAACAGUUACACAAAGAUAAGAUGUCAAUCUUCAAUACAAACCCACAAGCACAUCCAAAUGUAAAGAAUUCUAAUCUAGUAAAGAGAGUUGGUGAAAAUUGAAGAAGCAAAAAGAGAGUGAUAAUAUGAAAUUGACAGACACGAAGAGUUUUGCAACCAAUUUAGGGGAGAUAUUAAAAGAAAUAAUAAAAAAAAAAACUUGAAAUCAAAACCCGUAAAUUACCUUUGGCAACCCAUAUUUGGGAUGAAGCUUCUCAGCAAGGUAUGGAAUUGAUUUGGGUGUACGAUUUUUAAUGUGAGAUUUUGAAAUAAAGAAACUGAAUUGAGGGAUUUUACGAAGUGUGGUGUCAUUGGCUGGUUGAGAGAAAUAUUAAAAAUAAAAAGCGUUUGUGGUUUUGUAGUCAAAUAAGAGUUUUAGGUAACAUAUAUAUAUAUAUAUAUGGAGGCUUAUUCUUAAUGUUUGGAGUUAGACAAAAUUUUUUGGCGGUAGACAAAUUUUUUCCGAUUGAGUAUUCUUGUCCUUUUUAUAGCAUUUUUCUGGUGCCACAGAACUUAUAGCGUUUUUAUAAUGCUAUAUUAUUCAAUGUUAUAUGUAGCACAUAUAAAUAUGCUACUGCGUUAGAUAUUAUUUAAUAUAAUAUUGUUUUAUAGCAUUUGUAGGUGCUACGAUGUUAAAAAUUAAAUUUAGCUCUAUCAAAAAAAAAUUAAAUUUAGCAUUUUAAAAGUGCAACAAAUUAAAUGUGAAAUACAAUUAAAAAAUUAAAAAUAUUAUUCAAUGACUAAUUGUAGUUUUUUUUUUAAAAUAAAAUGCUACAAUAGCAUGAUAUUUGGCAACAUUUAAAAAAAAAAUGCUACCAAAAUUGAUAUUUGUUGUAGUAUAUAACUAAAAAAUUGAAACAUAACCAUAGCAGGCUAGGAGAAGCGCAGGGACACAAUGAUGCAAGUGUUGGCUGGUGGGCCACAGGUGUCUACAAAAGAUGGGGCUACUCAUCGUUACAAAACUUGACAAAUUGAUGAAUGAUAGGCUUUUGGUUAAGGCCGUUAAGUUUCCUCAUCCGUUAUAAAACGUGGCAAAUUUUUAUUGUUUGUUAAAUAAUAUCUUUGAUUUGCUUUAUGUUAAAUCCUUCGUCGAUUCGAUUAUUAUAUGUAGGGUAUGCCUACCUUACGAUUAACUUCUCUCUGUAUCAUUACGUUAAAUGUAAGCUAAUGAGACUCACUACUAUAAAGAGAAUUGUAUCUUACGUUAAACGUUAUUCAUUUGUCAAUUCAAUUAAACGUUAAAUAUUAUUUAUCAUACAUAAUAAAUAAUUAAAUUAGUAACCCAACAUGUCUUAUCCAUUUACUCUUAAUGAUUAAAUUAUUGACUUUUAGCAUUAAUUUAGUUGGAGGGUACUGACCACCGCAUGCAUAGGCUUUAGAUUUUUUAGCCUUGUGCCCAUUGAACAAAGCGCAGAGGAAAAGCAUGCCACUAGAAGCUAAAAUCAUGGAUGGAGACAACGAUAAUCAGAGGAAAAAAGUAGCGUUGAAAAUAAUACUGAAAUGGAGUUAUAUACAACAUGUUAUCAAGGCAUACCAUUAUUACUAAAUUAUGUAAAUCAAGUUUAUAUAUAUAGAGAGAGAGAGAGGUAAUGAUUAUUUUGGAGCUGCUACAAGUUAGAGCACAAAUUACAGUCGCACCCGUAAAAUAAUAAAUUUUAAUUUUAUGGUUAUAAAGACAUGUUUUACAUUUUUUUAUACGUGUAUAAUGACAUAUAUACAUACACACAAAUGACAUAUCUUGUAAAUCAUUAUAAAAAGUACAGGACACAACUACAUCUGCAAUCAAACAGUAACGAGGGAAGAAUGAUUGCAGAUGUAGAUUAUAUAUAUAAAAGAACUCCUCAGUUUGUUUGAUUUAUAUAAAAGAAUUACACCUUUUUCGAAUGCCUAAAAGAGGAAUCACGAAAGAUAGCUUUUUUCAGUGUCAAUAUAAAAUAAUUACGCUUUUACAAAUGCCUAAAAGAAAAAUCAUGAAAGAUCAGCAUUUUUCAGUGUCUGUUUGUCCCGCUCGCACUGGCGCGCGCGCGUGUUACAGUAUUCAACAAAUUUCAUAGAAAUAUAAAAGAAAAAUCAUGAAUUAUCAGCUUUUCUUAGGGGCUGUUGUUACACCAUUCCCGCUAGCAGUGGUGUGUAUUUACGCUCUCCAAAUAGUAACCUUUCGAUUAACAUACUUUGACCAUGGAGGGUUGAGAUUUUGCUCGCCACUAUUCGCAGAAUGCACCUCACACCCAACCAUCCUUGUCUUGACCCGAUGCUCCAAGUUUUGCCACGUUUUUCCUUUACAUGACCACAUCUGAACCGUUGGAUCGUGCAUAAACUAUUCCGGGACGCGCAUUAGCGACUCCAGGACCAACUUUCCACUUCAGACACACACAAUUUCCCUUUCACUCCCAUGAGUGUCGUACGCAAUAUUUACUUGGCCACGACUCCCUCCCAAAAUCCAAGAAACCCUAGCAUUCAGCUCAGGCCUCAAAAUGAGAAAUAACCCAUAUCAGCUGCACUCUGUGUUCUGGGAUGAGGAUGCAAACCUCGUUCGCUUCAAGUACCCUCUUCCAAUAGGGACGAACCAAGAGGAUGUGACGAUUGAGGUUGACGAAGAUGGGAAUUUGCUUACAAUGAAAAGCAAGGUGGUAAGUUCACAUAAUGAUCCUCUCUCUUCAGCUUUUAACUCGAUGGUCAUAUCCGGAUCUUCUCUCUUAAGCUUCCUGAGGAAAAACGAAGGAGACCCCGCCACCCCGAUAAUCUCGAUGAAAUUCAAGUUGCCAGCGGGUCUUAACCUGAAUGGCUUCAAGACUGCAAUGGAUGAUGCCGGCGUUCUAACUGUUACCUUCACUAAACUCAAGCCAGAGAAGAAAAAGCUGGUGUCAGUAGCAAAGAAGAUGCUGGGAUGUUUGGCUCAUGCUGUGCCUGCUGCUUGUUUUCUGAUGUGUGAGAAGAUAUGUGAUGCGAUUUGUUCAGGAGACUAAUAAUAAGCUGGUCUCAAAUAGGUAUUUGCUUUGUGUUCAUGUAUGUUGCUUCUGUCGUUUAUCUGCUAGUGUCUGACAUAAAGUCUGGACUCUGUGAGUCUAGACCAUGUGUUCACUAAUUACUGUUGCGGUAUCUAAAUGUGGAGUGAAAAAUAAAUGCUUUUUUUAAAUGUUUGUUUUGCUUUUUUUUUUUUAACGUAUGCAAUAAGAUAUCCCUACUAUAGAAUCUGCAAGAUAGCAAGAUCUCUCUUUUUUUCUUUUUCUUUUUUUAAAUUGUUAGCGUUGGAAAUUUUCUUUAAGUGAAAUAGAAGAUCUUGUCUAAUAAAAAUGAUGAUGGCUGUAUCUCCUUUUUUUUCAGAGAAAUAGAAGAACUUUAUCUAAUAAAAAUGAUAAGUAUUGAGUGAAAAAUAAAUGCUUUUUUUAUUAGUGUUGAAUGAAAAAGAAAUGUUUGUUUUCCUGUUUCCGGCCGCCUCCCGCAUCACCCCUCACCGCUGAUCACUACCCAACCAGCCGGAAGCCCCUUUGCUAACCGUUACCGCCCCAAAACGUAAAUCCAAGUUCACGGCUUCCCCAUUAAAAUCUAGCCGCCAUCUCCUCCACCACCGUUGGUGGUGUUUUACAGCCGCUUGAACCGUCCUCUGUCACCUCACAGCCACUGUCCAGCCACAUGGUUCACUAAACCCCGUUGACCACGCAUCUCCCUUCAACGCGUGUCCGUCCAAAGCGACACAAUAAAGCCUAGUUCGUUGCCAUCUUCCCGUGGCGCCACCACUCUUCAUGCCAUUGCUGAACCUGAUGUGCUGCCGGUGGUUCACUCUACAUCAUCCCAACAGCCGCCGCUUAGCCUCCCACUGCUGCUUUUGGCCUUCUGACUCCGAAAGCCUCCUACAAUCCAAAUCCGACUCUUCACCAAACCCUAGCUCGCUUUCUCUUGGCCAAACACAGACCCUAGCGGCUGCCCUCUUUCUUUGGCCGCUCACUCCUUCACCGGUGAUGUUGGCUGCCCUCCUUUGUUUCCCUCACAGCCUCCGCACAGCCAACAAACAUCCACCUCCCAACUUGGCGGCCAUGAUUCACGCUUCCUGCCUUCAACUAGACUACAACAGCGGAGAAGGUGAUAACUGGUAUAAGAAUAUGAAUCUCUUUUGCUUAUUUGGUUUUGUUUUGCACAUAAAAGUCUAUAUUUUAUGAUUGAUAAUUUAUAUCAAAUUAAAAAAAAAAAUCUGUGACACAACCUUUAUUUCCCUAUAUAUGGAUAUGUAAAUAUGAAUUAGAAAAUUUUGUUCUUUUCAGUUUGAAAUAUCAGACAAAUUUCAAUCAUAAGCUUCAAGCUUGAUUAUCCAUAUAUAAUUAAUGUAAUUGGUCUAUGCAGAUUAAUUGCAGAUAUUUACUUAGUUAGGAAGUAAUGGAGUUUAUCCUGAGGAGUUUGCUUUUUGAAUUACUCUUAUUUAUUAAUUCUCUUGCUUUAUAGCUAGAAUUAUUAGAUUGGAGUCCGCAUAUCCCGCCACCAAAAUAGGACUCCGCUCGAGUUAUCCAGGCUUGUGAAACUUGAAUUUUGUGUUUCAAAGUUUCGUGCUGAGUUAGCCAACCACGCCCAUGUAAGUAUUAUUCAUUACUACUAUUAUCAUUAUUGCAUGUAAAUUUUGCACCACCGUAUUAUGACUACAAUUCCUGCAAUGUAAUUAGCUUGUUUAUACAUGCCGCAUAAAUAUUGAAAUGGAGUUAGGUGUAAGCAAGCAUCUUAUCAAGGCACAAAUGAACUUAAAUUCAAAUAUGGCAUUAACAUUGUGACAUGGUGUAUGGAUACAAGCUUACCCUUUGUUCUAGAUCUCUUUUGUUAAUUUUUUUUUUCCAUUGUAACGAAAAUGAUGUUUCCGAUUUUUGUACUGGACUACGAACGUAAUUAUAGUUGCUAUGGCCUUGUAGGCACGGUUGGCAGAUUUGGUAGUUUUUAAGCCAACAAAAAAAAAAUCAAAAUUACAUAAAUUAGAUAACUCAAAUUAUUAACGGCAAUAUUGUCAUAACACCUGCAUAAUAUUUCAUUUUCAUGGAUGUCUAAGGUUUGUAAAAUAACUUACAUUGAUGAGGGUCAAUAAGAACUUUUUCUUGUAAAAUAAUUUAAAAAACUUAAACUAUGAGUGUAUCGGAUAGGAAAAUUCUAUAAUGUCGUAAUGAUAAUUACGGUAUCAAUACAGUGACAAACAUAAACAUUGUAAAUUACACAUAAAAUUACUAAAUAUAAAGUAAAACUAGUAAAUUCAUACAAGAUUAUUAAUUAUUUAAAAAAUUAACAUCGUUUCUGUAGAGUUUUAGUGAAAACUAUUUUAUUCAUUUACAAAAAAAUAUUUUCUUUAAUAAAAAAAAUACUCAUUAAUUAAACAAAAAACUGUACUGAAAAAAGUGGAAUAUGUUUUAUUGAAUUUGUUUAACCAUUAAUUCUAUAUUUAUUCUAGGACAUUUGUAUACUCUUUUCCUCCCAUUUUCUAAAAUAAUAUCUAUUUAUUACAUAAGUGAAUCAAGCACAAUUAUUUAUCAUGAUAUGGAUCAAGCAAAACAAAAUUAAAAAAAAAUCUUAUAUUUCUAGACACAUAUACAAUAUAUUAAUGAAAUUAUAUCUAAUUUUGAGCCUUAUACAUACUUCAUGUAGUUUCCAACUUUUUAUCUAUACUUAGAGACCAUUUAGGAUUGUUCUUGAGGAAGUGUAGAAAGAUACAAAAUAACCUCAUUUUUACAACAACUAUGAAAGAUAUUGAAAUAAUUUUUUUUUUAAAUCCAAUUUUGAGAAUAAAUUCAUCCUUAAUAAAAUAUCACAUGUAUUACAUAAAUGUAAAACUAUCAUUAUUCAAUUUAAAUUAAAAAAAAUAUAAGGUAAUAAACAUUGUAAUGAGUUUUUAUUUUACAAUUGUGAAAUUUUUUUGUAAUAACUCUUAUAUCAAUUUAUUUAUUUUACGUUUUAUUCAUAAGUUUUAGGCGUAAUCUAUAAAAUUUAUGUUUUAUUUUGCACUUAAUGUUGAUUUACUUGUUUUAUGUUAUAUUUGUAAGUUUUCGUUUAAUUUAUCAAUAAUACAUUAAAUUACCAGCUUUAUAGUAAUUUACUUGUUUUACCUUCCUUUUACAAGUCUUGUGUUCUAUUUCCAAAAUUUAUAUUUUAUUUUUUAGUUAGUGUUGAUUUACUAGUUUUAUGUUCUAUUUACAAGUUUUUGUUUUGUUUAGCAUUAAUACAUUAAUUUACUAGUUUUAUAUUAAUAUAUUUGUUUUACCUUCCAUUUACAGGUUUUAUGUUCUAUUUUUAAAAUUUAUGUUUUAUUUUGCGCUUAAUGUUGAUUUACUAGUUUUAUGUUAUAUUUCUGAUUUUUUGUUUUAUUUACUAGUAGUACAUCAAUUUACCAGUUUUGUAGUAAUUUACUUAUUUUACCUUUUCUUUACAAGUCUUUUGUGUCAUUUCCAAAAUUUAUGUUUUAUUUUACAGUAAAUGUUUGAUUUACUAGUUUUACGUUAUAUUUGCAAGUUUUUGUUUUGUUUUCUAGUAGUACAUCAAUUUACUAGUUUUAUAUUAAUUUACUUGUUUUAUCUUUUAUUUACAAAUCUUAUAUUUAAUUUUUAAAAAUUAUGUUUUAUUUUACACUUAAUGUUGAUUUAUGCAUUUUAUGUUAUAUUUGCAAGUUUUUGUUUUAUUUACUAAUAAUACAUCAAUUUAUCGGUUUUGUAUUAAUUUACUCACUUUACCUUUCAUUUACAAGUCUUAUGUUUAAUUUCUAAAAUUUAUGAUUUAUUUUACAAUUAAUGUUAAUUUACAAGUUUUAUGUUUUAUUUACAUAAUUUAUAUUCAAUUACGGUAUUGAUACCGUAACUUUAUUCACGACAUCAUAGAAUGACCCAAAAUAUAAAGAAAAUAUUUUGAAAUUUAAAGGGUUUAUAACCCAUAUUAAUUGGGAUUCAAAUUGAGACUUAGAUGAUGGGAUACCUCAUAUUGCUCAUUUAUACUUACACAUCCUUUCUAUGGCUAUUGUGUAUACAAAAUAAUGCAGAGAGAGAGAGAGAGAGAGAUUGAGAAGGAAUACAAAUAAUAUCUAAGUUUCAAAAAGUCAAAAAUAAUAAUAAAACUAUGGUAAUAUAUCCAUGAUGAAGAACUCAAAAAAAAAAAAGAUAAGAUAAUUAAAGCAUUAAAAUAUGUUCUUAACAAAGUGGGGAAAAUACUGUGUGAAAGGGGGAAAAAACAUUUGUAUAUGUUACAAGAAAGACAAAAAACUAUAAUUUUUUUGUAAUGUAUUUAUUAUUAACUUACAAAUUCAUUGAAACUCAAAAUCAAGAUUUGAGAUCACCGAAAGACUCUUUAAAUGAGAUUUUAUAUCUCAUUUGAAGAGUCACAUAAUAAAUGAGAUUCUUCAAAUAAAAUUGUCGUUCUCUCUCUUCAAUAUUAAAGAGAAAGAAGCACUAUCUAAUUUGAAGAAUAUUAUUUCAAAGUGUUUUAGAGCCUCUAAUUUAGUAUUAAAUUAGUUUUUAUCUCAUUAUUGUUGAAGAGAGAGAAGUGUUAUAAUUGCCACUAUUUUAGUAAAUUAAAAAAUUUGAUUAAAACAAAAUAAAUUUAUUUUUAUUUAAAGAGUUUUGUCGGAGAGGUUUUAUUUUUUCACUCUUCUAUUUGUCAAAUGGAUAAAUAAAUAAAUAUUUAAAGAGUAAAUUAAAAAUUUAUUUUGGUGAUGCUUUAAGAAGACGACUCUUUAGAUGGAAUUAAUUAGUCCUCGGCUUAAAAAUAUAAAAAAAGAAUAAAGUUUAUGCUUGUCCAAAAAAACAAAACUGUCGAUCUAGUAACCUUCAAUAUUUUUGGACGGUUUGAAUUGAACAUAAGCUUCCAGAGAUUUCUUCUCAACAAGUGGAUAUGUGUGCUCGCGCAGUCGCACUACUUAAUUUGACCCCCCACCAACCGGCUGCUAGUUUUCUCCAUGCCACAUCCCAUUACACGCAUUGAGUUUGCAAUUUUGAGGUUUAAUUUAGCCGAAAAAAUGGUAGCCUGAUAUGAUUUGCGCCUAAUUCCUUGUCUAAAUUAUUUUAAUUACCUAAUUAAUAGUCGCUUGAUAUGAUUCAUGUGGGAACAGGCUCUCUUUCGAUGAUGUGACUAAGAUGACAUAGCCCGGGCAACGUCACUCGGAUUUGCAUAUGGUUAUGGUGGGGCAAAGCCUUUUUGACAAUCUGUGUCCAGAAAAGAAACUAGAUGCCGAAAGAAAUAAUACACGUGGUACCCCAUUAAUAAUUAAUAUAAUCCAUGUAGGUUCAAAACGUCAGGUCACACGUCACAACUUUUCGUUUUCUUACCUGUCUUUUCAGAUCGGUUGGCAAAAUCCGGAUGUAGGCCUAUUCGGAUCCGUAUUCAUAUUUUUGUACUCGUAUAUGCAUUUGUAUUUGUAAAAUAAGAUGUAAAUCCGGAUAUAGGUAAUAUCCGCAACGGAUGCGAGUGGAUAUUCCGAAUAUCCGGAUCUGUAAAAAUUAAAAUUUAAUAAUUUAAUAUAUAAUUUAAAAUUUUAAUAAUUUACUUAAUAAUAUCAAAUAAAAUCUAAUCAUAAUUUAACAAUUAAUAACUCAAAGUGAAUAACAUACAAUAAUCUUAUAAAUCUACAAAUAAAAGUUUAUUUUCAAUACAUAUUUUUAAUUUAAUUUUUACUUUAAAAUAAAAUUCAAUAAUUUACCUAAUAAUAUCAAAUAAAAUCCAAUCAUAAUUCAACAAUUAAUAAUUCAACAUGAAUAACAUACAAUAAUCUUAUAAAUCUACAAAUAAAAGUUAAUUUUUAAUUUAAUUUUCAAUAUAUAUUUUUAAUUUCAUUUCAUUUUAAAAUAAAAUUCAAUAAUUUACCUAAUAAUAUCAAAUAAAAUUCAAUCAUAAUCCAACAAUUAAUAAUUCAGCAUGAAUAAUAUAACAACAUCAUAAAUCCACAAAUAAAAUUUAUUUUUAUUUUUCAUUUAAUUUUUAAUAUAUAUUUUUAAUUUAAAAUAAAAUUUAUCCCGAUCCGGAUCCAUACGGUUCCCAAAUUUUCAUAUUCGGAUCUGCAUUUUUUAAUAUAUGGAUCUAGAUUUUUCCGGAUCUAGAUCUUCCGGAUCCUUACAAAUCUGAGCUGGAUCCGAAUUUAAUUGUCACCCCCAUAUCAUAUUUUGGCUAGGUCAUAUUUUGGUAAUUGCGGUUCGAUGUUCUUGCUUAACUUUUUAAGGAUUUUAUUAGACCUAUCUACAUUAGUUAUUAAUGGCUAAAUUUGUUAUCCUUGUAUUUGUUUUUUUAUUGAAUUUUAUUAAUGUAAUUUAAUUAUUUUUUUUAUUUUCUAGGGUUAAAUUGGUAAUUUAAUUAUUUUCUUUUUAUUAAUGUCCAAACAAAAAAAUUAUUAUAAAAGGGUAAUAUUGUAAAAGUAAGCUAAAAGAAAUAAAAAGUAACGGUAGGAGUAUCAAUAUUUUAACGGCAGGGAUGUUUCGAGAUAUUUUUAAAAAUAUAGGGAUUAAAUAGAUACUAAUCUUAAAAUACAUGGACUAAAUGAACUUUUACCCCAUUUUUUUCGUUGAUUAAAAUGCCUAUAACAACAAUUAAUUCAGAAAAUUUAAUUGAUUUAUCCUACAAACUGAGACUGGGCAUGGAGUUUGAUUAAGAAGAAGUAGCAUGUGAAUUCUAUAAUAAGCAUACUGAUGAGAUUAAGGAUAAAACUAUCACAAGCACAUGGAAUGAGGCAUAUUUAGAUCCUAUUCAAGUUUCCGUUGGACCUGUUACAAGAGCUCGAGCAAAUAAAUUCAAAGAAGUGUUUAAUGGAUUGAUUCACGCAACUUGGACUCAAUCUAAUUCGUAGAGACCCAUUGAAGGACUCGCACAUGAUAAAUGCAUGAUUCAGGCUCUUGAAGUUUCCAAAUAGUCACUUCCAUGUAAUAGGGAGUUGGCUUAAACAUUAUGACGGGAAAAUAUAUUAUUUUCUUUUUUCAGAUACUUUCUUGUUUCUUGAGGAGACUAUUAGGGAAUCAAAUUAGUUAUUUCUAUUUUAAUCACCCAGUUUCCAUUUAAUUGAUGUAAGACAUUUAAGAAAAUUAGGAUCUCGAUUUAGUUUAAAUUCUUUCCUAUUUACUUAGAUUAGGAUUCUGAUUUGAUUUAAAUUCUUUCCUAUUAGGGAAGAUUUAGAUUUGAUUUUUGGGUUAGGAUUUAUUUCCAAAAAUUCUUGUAACCAACCCUAUAUAAAGUACUCAUAUUCAAUAAACAGAGAAGAAGUUUUUGAUGCAAUUGCUGAGAGAGUUAAUUCUCUUUGGUUCUUUACGAACUCUUUGAACUUAUCGGAUUUCUGUGGCAUUCAAAUUCUUGACUUGUCAAUCAGACCAUCCAUAAUUGAUUGUGGUGUCUUCACAUACCAAGGUUCGUGCUUUCAAUAAGCAUUGGGUCGAGGUUUCAUUCCAUUUCUGGUUUAGAUUCGAUCUUGGGAAGUAAAUUGAUUAGGAUCGCGUCAGUUCUUGACGGGGUUCGUAUCACAUACCUUAAGUAUGGGCUUUAGUAUUAGAAAAGAUACCCAUGCUAAUAAUAAGUGUACUAGUGAAAUUACAUCCAAAGUAUGUGUUUGUUGCAAACAAGGUUAUCGAUCGAAAGCCAAACAUAUCUUCCAAAAGUAAAGUAUAGAGCAAAUACAAGAGCCAUGUAUCAUGCUGGAUUAUUUAUCAAGCAAAAAGGAAGAAGAAUAAUUGAUUUGUUAAUCAAUUUAUUGAAUCUCAUAACCAUCCGCUUGUAAUGCAAGAGUGUGACCACAUACUACAUUCUCAAAGAUAAAUAAUUGCUUCGCUAGCAAUUGAAGUAGACUUGGCAGAAGAAUCCAGGAUUUCACUUAAAUAUGCAUAUAGUUAAUGGGCAGGCAAGUGGGAGGGCGAGAGCCUCUUGUAUACACAAAAUUAGAUCAAAAGAACUAUCUUAGAACAAAAAGAUAGAAAGAUUUAGCUUAUGGAGAAGUAAAGCAUUUAUUGAAAUAUUUUUCUGAUGAAACUUUAAAAAAUCCAUCAUUUUUCUACUCUAUACAGCUAGACAAUGAGAAAUAAGUCACAAAUAUAUUUUGUGCAGAUUCUAAGAGUAUUAUUAAUUAUGGCCAAUUUGGAGAUGUUUUAAGUUUUAAUACAACUUACAAAGUAAAUAAAGAAAAUCGACCAUUUGCAACUUUUGUUCGAUUUAAUCAUCAUCGAGUGACAGUUAUAUUUGGGGUAGCUUUGAUGUAUGAUGAGACUAAUGAUUUAUUUAUAUUCGAUUUGAAGGCAAUGUCUGCGAAAUCACCAAAAAUGAUCUUCACUUAUCAAGAUGCUGUGAUGACUAAAGCUAUUUCUCAUGUAAUGCCUAAUACUACAUGGCAUAUAAUGCAAAAUGCCUUGAAGCAUGUAAAUUAUGUUUUUAAAGGUCCUCGAAGGGUAAAAAGUGCAUUAUCUACAUUCAUGGAAUCCAUUGAAGAGAAAGUUUAGUUUUCGAGUGCUUGGAAUGCAAUGCUAGAGGAAUACGAUGUGUAUGAUAAUAAUUUGUUGAAAAGUGUAUUUGAGUUAAAGGGAGAAAUGGGCUUAUGCAUGUAAGGCAAGCAUGGUUAGAUAGAAUCAAUAGUAAUCAACUUAGUGAGAGUUUUAAUACUAUAACAUAAAAGAUUACCUCAAGUGAGACCUCAAUGUAGCAUAAUUUCUUAUGCAUUUCGAGAGGGUAAUUAAUGAUAAAAAGUACAAGAAGUUGGAAGCAGAGUACGAUUUAUGCUAUAGGCUAGUUUUAUUUUUAAAGAUUAACUGAAGAAAAUUAUUAUGACUAAUGCAUUUGCUGUUGCAGUGUGGUAUUCAAGAUAAGUUUCAGCACUUAUUUCACUUUAUGCUUUUUAUAUUUUAAUUGAUGAGUAAAUUGAUUUAAAGUUUUGUUUGCUUGAGUUCAUAUAUUAUAUAGAUUGACGGAUGCAAAAUUUUAUGUAGUCUUUUAAACUUCAUUAGCCAAGACAUUUAUUUUAGAGUGGAAGACAUUCUUACAUUUGAUGCAUCCAUGAAAUUUCACAUUUUAUUGUUUUCAACGAGCACAACUCGGCUCAAUUGAAAGCUAUCUCAGAAACAGAACAAACUUUAUACAGAAAUUGAACUUCAGAUGCUAAUAAACAUCUAAAAUAGUUUUGUUACUUGAUUAUAAUCGAAGACAAUAAAAAAUAUUGUAUUUUCCCUUCAUCAUAAUAAUAAUAAUAAGUAUUACGUAAAAUAUGAAGGGUAAGAAUGACAUGAUAAACGUGGCAUCUGCAUAACAUCCCUAACAAGCCAAACAUGGCAUGUAUUCUAUAAAAUCUUUUUCUUUUUCCUUUUUUCUUCUGCCCUUCUUCUAUUUUAGCUUCCAUGUAUUGGGAAUUGGUUGUUAUUGAUUUGGUGAAAAUGGAAUUUGCAUUAUUUGGAUCCUAAAAGGGGCAAUCAGGAUCCUGAUUCAUUUUUCAGAUUUCUUCAAAAAGAAUAUUUUGGUUAAAGAGUGCAGAGUAGGCCACCAUUAAAGUAUUUUGCAGAUUUCUUUUUUUUUUAGGGAUCCCACAUCGACUAGGUGGCCAAUCACUCCGUUUUUUCUUCACCUCCAAAAUACAUUGGUGUUAAAGGGAUGUGCUCUAUUGCUGACCUUUUAUUGGCCCCGGUAACAUAUCUUUUUUCUUUUUUUUUCCCCUUUUAUGUUCUUUUGUUGUUGAUUCUAUCACGCUUCUUUGAUUAAAAAAUGGGGAAGUUGUCUAAUUAAGUCACAAUGGUAAGAAUCUGCAGUAUUAUUUUGAAGUUUGCUAGUGUUGAAACUUGGCUCCCAAAAUCAUUAUAGUUUUGGGGUUGGACUAGAGAAGGAAGAUAAGAGUAUAUCAAACUAAAACCACAAUUACAUGAUCACAUUAUAUCAGUUUGCUUAGGCUAUAUGGGCUGACUUAAUGAAAUAGUGACGAUAAUGAUCGUAACUGAGGAAAAGAAGAACAAGCAUGAACAUCUGCAUAAGAGUAUCUCAGAGUGAUGCUCCUCAAUGUUGGACCUUCUCAGCACUGCAGCUUAUGGAAAACGAAACAAGGUUCCACAGGUCAGUUCGUUAUAAAUGUGUGUCUUGUUUAAAUUACUUGCUCACACCGUGACACAUGAUUAUAUGCUAGUGUUGGCACACUUUUCAACCAAUUGCCUAGACAUCUAUUUGAAUCUAUUCAUGCUUCAGCUUGAAUUCCAAGCUAUUGAAACAAGGCUGCAAUAAGCUCAGUCUUUUUGUGCGUAUUUAUUUUCCCUUUUAUACUUGAAUCAAUAUGACAUUUCAAUUUUACAGCAAACUUUGGUGCUGUGUAGAUACAUAUAUGUUGCAAUUUAGGCUUUCUGCAAGAUUUUUUAUGAUUGAUUUUAUCUUUUAUUAGGAAAAUAUCCCAACGGCAACAGCAGAGAAGGUGAAAACGGGUAUGCUCGAGGGUGUUGAAGCUGCACUUGGCCUACCAAAAAGUUCACUUCAGAAGCCCGUUUAUACUCAAGUCCAAUUAUGGCAAGACUCCACUUUUACGGACAUGACCUUGUAAUUUCAUUAUUACCAUGUCCCUUUGGAUCAUUGUGACCUACUUGGGCUGUAACUAUUUGCCGUUGGCGUUGCUUUAGAAUAAGUGGUUGAUUUGGACAAGCUUAACGAGUUAUUGGGCGGACUUGUGUAUACUCCUGGGUCUAUUUUCCUGUUAUGCUCAUUUGAAAAAACAAGAUGGAACAUGUCAUUCCAAUUCAUUAACUUGAGAAUUUCAUAAUUAAGAAAAUAGUUCCUCUCUGAUGAAUUUGGAACUUAUUCUUUUUUUUUUUGGUUAGGGGGGGGGGUUUGUGGGGGGGGGGGGGGGGGGGGCGGGGGCGGGCAUGUGUAGGGGUGCAGCUCUUCCAACUAAUACUCCAAGCAUCCCAUGUAUCUUUGAUCCUUAUGGAAGGGCCGGUAUACGUGGCGAUUGGCUGUUGGGUUCAAGUGUAGAGUCAGCUGCCUUAGAUCGUGUAAGCAAGAAUAUGAUUUGUUUUUGCUUAUUUGGUUUUAUUUUGUGCAUAUAACUAUAUAUUUUAUGAUUGACAUAAAAUAAAUAAAUCUAAGACAACCUUUCUAUCCCUAUGACCCUAUAGGGACAUCUAGAUAUAAAUUUGAAGAUUGGCUUCAAUCAGAUUGAAAUAUCAGACAAGUUUCAACAACAUAAGCUCGACGCUUGAUUAUUCUUAUAUAAAUAAUGUAAUUGGUCAAUGUAGAUUGCAGACUAUUUAGGAAGUGGUGGAGUUUGUCCUGAGGAAUUUGCUGUCGGUUUACACAAUGAGUUUCAGCCACUCGAAGGAUAUGAUAUUGGACAAUUUGCAGGUUUGGAGUCCAUGGAAAAAGAGGAAGUUCAAGCAUAUCAGCUUACUUCUUGAAUCCCUAAAGCAGGCCAUGAAAAUUUCUAGAGUUUAUCAAGGUAUGCUUCUAUUGAUACACUGUUUAUGGCUUUCUGUUUUUCACUUGGGUUACAGUCAUGUUAAUUCUCUUGUUUUAUAGCUAGGAUAAAGAAGUUUAUUCACAAGGUGCAGUUAUCGUCACAGUUGCUAAGCAAGUAUCCUGAAGUUCUUUUUGUGAUACCAUCCAUUACGAAACAUAAUGAGUAAAGAUUCAGAGUAAAGGGAUUCUUCCGGCAGCUAAAUCUUUACAGAAAACUAGUUUUCAGUAGCAUAGAUGACAGGAAUCGUGAUAUUUCCCCGGCUUUCAUGGAAGAAAAAAUUCUAAUAACCGAAACUCUUUUCAGUUCUCUACAUAUCAGUUUGAAUAUGAAGCCAAAUAUCAGAUGCAGAUUUACGGACUUCUUUCUGAGCGACAAAGUUCAAUGCUACCAGUUGCAUUGGGUUCAAGUGAUCAGAGCUGCAUCCAGCUCAAGUACGCAUAACAGAGUAUGGAAAAUAUCAAAACUUACCAUUAAAAAUUCUCAAGUCCCAGAUUUGACCUGUAGUCACAUUCAAGUUUAUAAAUGACUACUGGUACAUGAGACAGCAAUAUUAUUCAGUUCCAGGAAAGUUGCAUGCAGAGGAUUUGAGUUUCAUUUUUAACGGAACGGUCUUGAGCUGCAUUAUGAAUUUUUUUAAUAGUUAAUGAAGUUAGCAUUACUUAUUGCAGGACAAGAAAGAAAGAUUAAUUCUCCGUUGGAAAAGCAUUGGAGCAAGCUUCUCAUGCUCUUAAUCAGCCCCCCAGUCACUCAUCAUGUUAUCUUUUCCAAACUUAUUCGCGUGUUGAUAAAAUUAUUUCUUGGUUAUAUAAUCUGGAUAAAUAGCUGUUUAUUGGCAACACAAGCAACAAAACCGCACAAAUUAAUUCCAACAAAAAUAAUAUUUUUACACUUGAGGUACUUGGAUGAGAGAAGAGGGUUAAUUAGAUGCUUGCUUUCUGCACCGCGGGCAUGAGUGAAAUGAGCACAGGCAAUUGAACGAGCUGUUACACAGAGUCACAGACUAUCCGGCUGAAGAAAUCGAAAACUCUUCGGCAUUCGUCUGCAAGCCUUAAAGCCAUCCGAAAACCAUUGUGCUUCUGCUAAAUUAACUUGAUAGCUAGCAACCAAAACAAGAAGAAGAACCCAGCGCAUUUGCAGUUUCUAGUUUUUCAUGCUUGCCAUCUUUUCUUUCUUGUGAUUGAAAGGAUGUAAGAUUUAUUUAAAGGGUCUUUAUCUUAAUAUGCAAUUAAUGGUUUGAAAACAGAUUAUAUGCUAUUACAUUAUUACGAGUUAAUUUUUCUGAUAACGAUUGUCUGAAUAGGAUUCCUGUCGUAGUAUAAUUAUUAAACUUGAUUUUACCGGCAAUAAAGUUUCAUAUUUAUCAAUUACUUUCAACUUUUAAUUCAUUGCAAUUGUAACUUAAUUUUAAGCAACAGCACUCUAAAUAAAUCUUUAGCAAUUAAUGAUCUCUUUAACCUUGAAAUAUUAAUAACAAAAUUACUCACCGUUGGUCACUAUGAACCACUACGAACCGCCAUCUACAUUCAUAUUUUGGUAACUUUUGACGUCAAUUUUAUACCAUGAUAAUCUUUACUAGUGGAUCUCAACAAUUGCAUGUAUCACCAGCAAUAAAGUUUCUUGUCAUUUUAAAUACAUGAAUAAAGUAUCAUGUGUAUCACAUUUAGCCACGUUGGGGAGCAUUCUUGUCUUGUUGGGGAGCAUUCUUGAUCUUUUCAUUGCAUUGAUCCGAUGUUCCACAUUGAGCCACGUUUCCGCUUUUACUCAACCAAAGUUGUUGACCACAUCCGAAUUAGGGGUGGUAAAAAUUACACGCCCGAUCCGAAUCCGGACUGCAUUCAGAUGUUGUGGGCCGGGUAAUGAAGGCGAGUCAAUUUUGAGCAUUAUUUGAUAAACCUGAGACGCGGCCCAUAACUCGAAUUUUAUUAAAAAAUUAUAAAAUAUAUAUAUUAUUUUAAAUAUUUAUAUUUAUUUGACUCAUCUAUUAAACAUAUUUAAAGUUUUAAACAUUUAAAAUUUAUUUUCUUGUCAAAUUUUAUUGAAAUGAAUUUAAAACUUAUAAGAUUACAAAAAAAAAACUACACAUAUAUAAUAUUAAAAAACAAAUAAAAUUGUCGAAUAAAAUUCAAAUUUUGAAUAAAUAAAAUUUACGGAGUUGAAAAUAAGAGGUUUCGGUCACACUAAUUUAAAUGGGGAGGAUAUUAAGUUCAGGCUAAUUAAUAAUUAAAAAAUUCAUAAUAAAAAAAAGUAAAAUAUUCCCAAUCUGUUUGAUCAACAAGGAUAGAAAAUGAUGAUUGGGCUAAAUAAUAAUUAAAAAAUUCAUAAUAAAAAAAUCAAAAAGAAAAUAAAAAUAAUCCGAAUCUGUUUGAUGAACGAGGAUAGAGAAGGAUGAUUGUUUUAUGAGUAGAUUUGGCUGGGACAGUUUGGUUAUUGACUUUGUCAAGUGUUGAUUGGAUGCUCAUCUAGUGGUCCCCAAAACGUGAUUGAAUUAUUGUUACUACGGUUGGCAAAACGCGGGUCCGGGCAUUGAAAUACCCAGACCCCACCCGACUGUAAUUUUUAGAUGUCCGGUUUGGGUUUUUUAAGCCUGGCAUCGGGCCGGAUUUUAAUCAUUUAGCUGGAUUUUGAAUUUUUUAAUAUUAUAUAUGUAUAAUUUUUUUUGUAAUUUUAUAAGUUUUAAAUUUAUUUUAAUAAAAUUUGAUAUGAAAAUAUAAAUUUUAAGUGUUUAAAACUUUAGAUAUAUAUAAUAGAUGAGUUAAAUAAAUAUAAAUAUUUAAAUUAAUAUAUGUUUUAUAAUAUUUUUUAAUAAAAUCUGGAUUUUAAAUCGGGUUAUAAGUUUAUCAAGUGAUGUCUAAGAUCGAUCCGACUUCAUAUCCGGAUCAGGUAUUAUAACACCCGAGUGUAGUUUGGGUCCGAAUCGGACGGAUAUUUUUACAACCCCUAACUGUUAUCUUCUUUCGUUUUCGUUUCCACGUUUCAAGAUUUUCUAAUUAUUUAAUUAUGCUAUUUUCUUGUAAUAACUAAUAUGGUACACACACCACACAAGCAAUCCCAUUAAUUACAACUUUCUCAUCUUAUUUGAAUAAUUAAGAUGUCUUUUUGUGUGCACAUGGUCCUUAAGAUGAUUACGUUGUGGGGGAAAAUUGUGAUAAAAUUUUGGGGUAAUACCUAUCUUACAUUUAAUGUAAGAUGCAUCCUCACACAUAAACAGUGUAUAUAUGGGUAUAUAUUAUAUGUUCAUGUGUGAGGAUGUAUCUUACAUUAAAUGUAAGAUAGGGGAUCCAAAUUUUCGACAAUUAGACUUCGUUUUUUCAGACUGCCGAAAAUUGCGGCUAUGUGUUCACACUUUAUUAAUUUAGUUUAACAUGCAAAGUUUUUGGGUUGCGUGACACUGGAGACAAUUUAUAUUUAAUAGCUGGUUAGACAUUUUGCUUGAUAUUAUUUGGACUCGUAGGGGUGUUGAAAUUUUUGUUCAUAAUUUUAUAAUUCAGAUCUUACUGUAAUAAGAUAGCAAUUUUUAUUGUGGGUCAGAUUCUCUUAAUUGAUAUUUAGUUAAAAUAUCUCAAUAAUCCCUAUUGGUUAAGUAUUUUUAAAUUCAUAUGCUUGAUUUUUAUUUUUUUAAUCUGUGAUUCAUAUGCUUUAUUUUAUUUUUUUAUAUUAAUAUUUAGGGCCUUGAUUUUAGUUUGUAAAGUUCAACUCUUUCAAUUUGUAUUUAAAAUUAUUGGAGGUGAAAAUUAAGUGUAAAUAUACAUUGAGCGUGUGUAUAAUUUAUUGGGAGUAUGAUAAUAAUUUAUCAAAGAUUUUGAGAAAAAUACAAUUAAAUAUUAAAAGAAUUUUUUUAUUUUCAACGGGGACAACUUCAGUCCCCACUAAUCCUUAAGUAAAUCAGAAUGGAUAAACUACAUUUAUGCACAUAUUAUUAAUUAGAGAGCUUUUAAGUUACAUUUAAUAUAACUUACACCACUCAUAUAAACAAUAACAUUUAACAUUCAAUAUGGGAUCUUAAAUUUAUAUGAGUGAUGUAAGCUACGUUAAAUAGAAACUUAGUAUUUGGCUAUUAAUUAAUUAUUGUGAAUAAUAUCAAUGAAAAUCUGAAAUCACACGUGCAAAUGAUUGCCGUCGAUUAAUGGUGAUGAUGACAUGAUUUGAGAGAUACAUCCAAUUUGCUUUUGACUGUUUGACCAUAAGCUUCAGACUUCUUUCUUCGGCCGCUUCUUCCAGCCGCUGUCUCCGUGUCACACUGACACAUCACAUUGCACGCGCAUUGAGUUGAAAAUAUGCAGUUUAAUUUUGUAUUUAGAAAAUAUUAAAUGUAUUGUUUACUUUUCAAACUACAUUGGUAAUCUUAAAAAGUAAUUUUGAGAUUGGGAGUAUAGACAGAAGUAGGAGCAUGUUAUUUAUUUAUAUUAGAGUGAGAAUGUAGAAUAGAUAUUAAAAUCUUAUUUAUAUAUUUAUUUUGUCUUAUAUUGAGAGUGAAUUAUUUCAAAUUAUAAUUUUAUCCUUAAUUAAAGAAUUGUAGUUUUCAAUUAUAAAGUGAAUAAAAAAUUUAUUUAUAAAAUAAAUCAUUUAUUUUAUUAUUAAUUUUAAUUAUAUAAAUUAAUAAUUAUUAUUAAUAACGUAAAUCACAUUUUCUAUUAAUUUUAAUUUUAAUUAUGUAAAUAAAAAAUUAUCAAUAAGGGUAAAACAUGAAACAUUAUUAAUUAAUAUUAUAGUACAAAAUUAUUAUUUUCUAAGAAUAAACUUUUAAUUAUUGUUAGUUAUUAACAUUAAAUAAAUAUAAUACUAUUAAAAUUAAAAAAUAUAUAGUAAUAUUAUUAAUUCUCUAUGAAUAUAACAAUAUUAUUUUUAAACAAUUUAACUUAGAUUAAGUAAAUUAUUAUUUUUAAAUAAAGUUAAUAAUAUUAUAUUUAAAUAAGUUUAAUAUUAUUAUUUUUAAUAAAUGUAAUACUAUUAAAUAAUAUUAUAAUAUUAUUAUUUAAACAAAUAUAAUAUUAUUAUUUUUAAGCAAUGGUAACAUUAUUUUAUUUUAAUAAAUAUAAUUAUAUAACAUUUAAUAAAGAAUGGGUAAAAAAAGAAGAGGUAAGAGUGAUAAUCUCUCUCCACACUCCAAAAAUAAGUGGGACCCACAGAGUUGAUUUCCCACUCUUACUUGAGCAAGUAAACACAACAUAAUAUUCUUUAUUAAUAUAUGUUAAUCAAUUUUAACAUAAUUGAAAAGGACCUAUUUGCAAGUAUGCUCUCCGAACUUCGUCUUGAAUAUUAGGAUCUAACUUUGAAAUUACCGUUUGUAAACUGGGAUCCCUUGGAAGAUCAUGCAAACUAAGUUUAACUUUUUACUUUUGAAGUGCCACUCAUUUUUCUUGAUGAGAUUGCAAUUGUUGAAUUCUUUCUUAAAUAUUUAUCCAUGAUUGUUCAAAGAAAUAUAUUUAUCGAAUAAGUAUGAUAUUUAUUGUUCAAGGAAAAUUUUCAACAUAAAUAAAAAGAAUAUACAUGAAAAUUACAGUUAUGGAACUAGACAAAAUAUUAUGGGCCUUCACUAAAACUUCAAGGCACAGUGUACUGAUCUUAAUAACUUAAUUUGUUUAUAAAUCUUUUAAUAAUGACAAAAAUUCAUAUAUGGCAACACAAAAAUCAAAUGUGAAUAUAAAAUAAAAUUAGGGGUUUUAAAAUGGAAAAAAUAAUGAAAUAAGAAAAAAAUUAGAAUUAAUAAACUUACAAUUUUAAAACAUCAAACCAUACAAAUGAAAAAAAGUGAGAAUAAAUGCACGCACAUGGUGAAGCGCACUGCUAAUUGCCUAAUAUGCUAUGGAGUCCACACUUUUUAUUCCAUGGAAGAGGUUUAAUUGAAUUUUUAAUGGAUUUCAUUUGAUAAAGGCAGUUCUCUUGUUGUCUUUAUUAAUUUUUAUGAAAUUAUAAUAGCUAAUCAGAUUAUUUAGAAUUAGACAUUGAAGUUAGCAUUAGCAUGAAUUUUUUUUAAAAAAUUAUGUGUGGCACUUUCAAAAUUUCGCAAUUCACCUGGGGAAUUUUAUAAAUAAUAACUCAAAUAUAUUUUUUAAGAUAACCAUAAAAAAAGAUAAGCCAGCUGGGCCUGUGCCCCAGCUACGUCCCCUGCUUGUAAUUGUCCUAUUUCCUUAAUGGAUGUAUCUUUUAAGCUUUGCAUUUAGCAUAUGAAGUUCGGCGAGAAAAAGUAAACGAUCAGGAGCUGGUCUUAAAAGCAUGUUGUUUAAGGAAUACAAUAUAAACAGAAAUCUUAUCUGAGACAAUUCAUAGAGCUUUCCUCCUUGAGUGAAGAAUAGUCAUUUAAACUGACAUUGUAUAGAUUUAGAGCAGAUCCUUAGAGUGAAUGUUUCCUUUCCAUUCGAUACCCUACACAUUUUAGAUUUCCUUCAAUAUAUUUUUUAUUAGAGACAAAUACACUAGUUUUUCAUACCACGUCGUGACAUUGUUCAUAGUAUACAUCUAAGAUGAGAUUUAUGUAGCUAGCAAUCGUGACACUUAGUGUACAUGUGUUGAGGUGUGAGCUCUGAAACUGGUUUCGAGAAACUCAUCCGACAUGUCAGAUCGUGAUUGGAAUAGAAUACGACUGGUCGGUUAAGGUCAUUCAAAGCCGUAUGACAAAGUUGUUUGUUCAUACAUCUGUGAGUAAGUGAAGCACGUGACCAUCACAUGUUUACACUUAACCAUACGACUUUGCCGAGUGCCGUUUUGGAGCCCUCACUUAACGUGAAUCAAACACGUGGCUCAGAGGCUGUUAUAUUCUGUUACAAGAAGCGGGAAAAAUCUGGGUUUUGGUUACAGAGGUUAGCUGACUGGUGGGAGGGAAUUCUGGACUCUCUUAAGCGUGUAUAUAUAGCCUUAAGAGAUAAGAAAUCAACGUGUGUGAUGCUUGUAACUUCAUCUAUAAUCUUGUAUCUUGUUCUUGGUGAUUGAAUAAAGAUUGUUGCUCUGUUCUUUAGUGGAUGUAAGCCAUCUCCAGGUUGAACCACUUAAAUAUGUUUUUCUUUGGUUGCUGUUCUUUAGCUUCUUUUGUGUGUCUUUCAUUGUUGCCUAAGCAUUUCUUAAUCAAGCAUCAGAGUGUUUAGAUAAAUCUUAGGGAAUCUUGGUUGAUUAAAUUCGAUCAAGGUAUAACAAAUUGGUAUCAGAGCCCAACAACUCUGAUCUUUGGUCCAAGAAAUGUCAACCUCUAAGUUUCAAGUAGAGAAAUUUACUGGAGAGAAUGACUUCCAUUUAUAGAGGCUCAAGAUGAGAGUAUUGUUGGUUCACCAAGGGCUUGAAGAAACAUUGGGAGAUCCAAGAUCUGAAAAGAAGCCCAGCAAGCUCAGUGAAGAAGAAAUGCAAGAUGCAUUAGACAAGGCUCAUAGCACCUUAAUCUUGAGUCUGGGUGAUGGAGUUCUGAGGGAAGUGGGGGAUGAAACAACUGCUGCAGGCCUCUGGAAGAAAUUAGAAGACCUAUAUAUGAAAAAGUCCCUAACCAAGAGACUUUGCACCAAGAAGAGGCUGUAUACAUUGCAGAUGGAAGAGGGUAGCUCUCUAGCAAAUCACAUUGAUAACUUCAACAGGAUCAUUCUGGAUCUUGAAGAUAUCAAUGUGAAACUGGAAGAUGAAGACAAGGCAAUAAUCUUGUCAUCAUCUCUCCCACCUUCCUAUGAACAUUUCGUGGACACAUUGCUAUAUGGAAGACAAUCAAAUGAAAUAUAAGUGUGCAACCCAAGAGGGGAGGUGAAUUGGAAUUUUAAGAAUUAUCCUAGCAAAUCCACACAACAAGCAAUCUAAUUUCUUAAUAAAAAUUGAAAGCAAUAAGUUCAAUAAAAGCACAAUAAUAAAUGAGUAAGGGAGAAGAGAAACAAACACACGAAUUUUUACGCGGUUCGGCAAUCCACGCCUACAUCCACGCCUCCAAGCGAUCCAAGCUUGAGGAUUUCACUAUCCGAGCCUUUCCAAGGCUUCAACCGUUUACAAUUGACUUCAAGGUGUCAAUGAACCUUUACAACAAAGAGAUUAUCUCUCAAUCUCUUCACUCAAGUAUCUCACACACUCAAACUCUUACAAUUAAGAUGAAGAAAUAAAGGUUACAACAAAACUCACUCAAAGAGUAAAUAUUCAAAAAUGAAGAACAAGAGAUGAUUCAAUGUUUUGUGAUUUGCAAAUUGAAAGCUCAAGUUAUCUCGUGUACUUUUUGUUUAUGCUUGCUAGAGAGCUUGAAAAUGAGUUGGAUUUGAGUUUAUAUAGUUUGAACUCAAAAACUAGUCGUUAUGCACAUUUUGAUCAUAACCGGCUUGCCGUUUAGGAAUCCGGUAAGCCGCUUUUAUGUUACUGUUAAGGCAAAAAUUUGAAUUUCAGAAUAUUCGGCAUGCCGCUUUUCAUAUCCGGUAAGCCGCUUUUGAAAUCUAGAUUGCCGCUUUGCGAAAUGCGGAUAGCCGUUUAUGCUCCAGAAGCUUACUGCCCAAAAUCUGGUUUGCCAUUUACCAUAUCCAGCUAGCCCCUUGCUACAGCAACUGCUACAGUGAAAAUAUUUUCUAAAUUUAUAAUUUGACCCUAAAAUUUUAUAAAACUGUAGUAUGGCCCAAAACGUUAUGAAAGCUUUCAAAUAAGUCCAAUUUUAGAAUUUUAAAUAAUACUUUGUCAAUCCUAAAACUUUUUGAAAUUAUAAUUUCACCCAAACUAUGUGAAAUUAUAGAAUGACCCAAAAUAUUUAAAUAGUUUUAAAGAGGUCCAAAUCCGAAAUUUAAAACUCUAUCAAAGAUUUAAAAAUACUUUCAUUUUAAUCCAAAACUCUUUAAUUCCAUAACAUCAUUUUCUUAUUAUAAAAGCACAAUUCAUAAAUCUUUGCUUAAUCAACACAUGUAGUUUAUUAUCAUCAAAAUCAAUAUCUAUAGCCAUGUAGACUAACAUCAACUUCAUAUGAGACAUCAGAAGAUGAGGAAAGAGAUGCAGAAGAUUCUGAUGAAAUUUCAAAAAAACAAACGACAUUGCAUGAUUAUCAGCUGGCCAGGGAUAGAGAAAUGAGAGUUAUAAGAGCACCAAAGAAGUAUGCAUAUGCAGAUAUGAUUGCAUAUGCACUGACAUCAACUCAUGAACUGGACUAUAAUUAACCUAAAACCUACAAGGAAGCUGUUUCAGGGAAAAAUGAAGACCAGUGGUUGAAAGCCAUGAAGGAAGAAAUGGAUUCUUUGUAUAAGAAUGACACCUGGACACUUGUGAGAAAACCACACAAGAAAAAGGUGGUAUGAUGCAAAUGGGUGUACAAACUCAAGCAAUGUAUCACAGGAGUGAAACCAGUGAGAUUCAAAGCCAAACUUGUUGCAAAGGGCUUCCCUCAAAAAGAGGGGAUUGACUUUACUGAGGUAUUUUCACCUGUAGAGGCAUGCCUCCAUAAGAAUCAUCUUGUCAUUGGUGGCUGGAAACAACAUGCAUUUAGAACAAAUAGAUGUAAAAACAGCAUUCUUACAUGGGGAAUUACAAGAGUAUAUAGUAAUGGCUCAGCCUGAAGGCUUUACAGAUGAAUCAAAGGUUGACUGAGUUUGUCAUUUAAAGAAAUCUCUGUAUGGACUUAAACAGUCCCCAAGGCAGUGGUACUUAAGAUUUGAUAGCUUUAUGUUAGAGCAGAAGUUUCAGAGGUGUAACUUGGAUUGUUGUGUUUACUUCAGAGCGGAUUCAGGCAUAAUGGUUUACCUGGUAUUGUAUGUAGAUGACAUGUUUAUUGCCAGUGUGAGCAUAAGCUUAAUUGAAGACCUGAAACAUAAGCUAAAAUGAGAGUUUGACAUGAAGGAUCUUGGUCGAGCAAAGAAAAUUCUGGGAAUGCAGUUACACAGGGAUAGAAAAGCUAGUACUUUGUUUCUCAGUCAGGAAGAAUACAUCAGAAGGGUAAUUGAUAAGUUUGGAAUGGCAAACUCAAAGCCAGUUCAAACACCCUUAGCUCCUCAUUUCAUAUUAUCAGAUCAGUUGUGUUAAAAAGCAGAAGCUGAAAUAUCUGAGAUGAUGAAUAUACCUUAUACAAGUGAUGUAGGCUGCCUAAUGUAUACUAUGGUCUUAACUAGGCCUGAUUUAUCCUAUGAUGUGAGUGUUGUAAGCAAGUAUAUGGCAAACCCUGGAAAGGAACACCGGAGGGCUGUAGAAUAGAUUCUCAUGUACCUAAAUGGGAUAACAACAUAUGGUUUAAUGUAUGGGGGACAAAGACAAGAUGACAGUCAUAUUGUUGGUUAUGUGGACUCUGAUUAUGCUGGGGAUCUGGACAGAAGAAGAUCACUUACAGGAUACCUUUUCACAUUCAACAACUGCACUGUCAAUUGGAAAGCUCAACUGCAGAGUGUUGUGGCACUUUCAACAAUAGAAGUUGAAUACACAGCUGCUGCAAAAGCAGUUAAAGAAGCCAUCUGGCUGAAAGGAAUGCUUAAAGAACUUGGUGUUGAUCAGAGGUCAAUAAUGAUAAACUGUGAUAGCUAGAGUGCUAUAUGUUUGAGCAAAAAUCAGACACACCAUGAAAGGACCAAGCAUAUCGAUAUCAAAUUGCAUUUCAUAAGGUUGGAAGUGUUAAAAGCAACAGUGAAGCUGCAGAAGAUUCAUACAGACAAGAAUGUUGCAAAUAUGCUGACUAAACCAGUUACACUGCUAAGUUUAAGCUUUGCUUAGAAUUAGAAGGAAUCUGUCAAAAAUAAAUGACAGAUAAUUGAAGAGAAGAGUAGCAGAUUCAUGAGGGUUUCAAGCUCAAGGUGGAGAAUGUUGAAGUGUGAGCUCUGAAACAGGUUUCGAUAAACUCAUUCGACAUGUUAGAUCGUGAUUGGAAUAGAAUACGACUGGUCAGUUAAGGUCAUUCAAAGCCGUAUGACAAAGCUGUUUGUUCAUACAUCUGUGAGUAAGUGAAGCACAUGACCAUCACAUGUUUACACUUAACCAUACGACUUUGCCGAGUGCCGUUUUGGAGCCCUCACUUAACGUGAAUCAAACACGUGGCUCAGAGGCUGUUAUAUUCUGUUACAAGAAGCGAGAAAAAUCUGGGUUUUGGUUACGGAGGUUAGCUGACUGGUGGGAGGGAAUUAUGGGCUCUCUUAAGCGUGUAUAUAUAGCCUUAAGCGAUAAGAAAUCAGCAUGUGUGAUGCUUGUAACUUCAUCUAUAAUCUUGUAUCUUGUUCUUAGUGAUUGAAUAAAGAUUGUUGCUCUGUUCUUCAGUGGAUGUAAGCCAUCUUCAGGCUGAACCACUUAAAUAUGUUUUUCUUUGGUUGCUGUUCUUUAGCUUCUUUUGUGUGUCUUUCAUUGUUGCUUAACCGUUUCUUAAUCAAGCAUCAGAGUGUUUAGAUAAAUCUUGGAGUAUCUUGGUUGAUUAAAUCCGAUCAAGGUAUAACAACAUGAAACUUAGUGUAUAUUGUAGGUUUCUUCAAUAAAUUUUUUAUUAAAGAUAAAUACAGUAGUUUUUCAAACCAUACCAUGACACUGUUCAUAGUAUAAAUCUAAGAUGAGAUUUGGACUGCACUUUUGAUAUGAUUAUUGCCGUGUUUUGUGAUUGAGGAGUUGUGACUCGUAAUCUAUCGAGGAGUGGAUAUUAAUCUUUCGGAGUUAUGUAGAGGCACGGUAGUUGGCAAUGCACUCCAGUCAAAGGGUAGGGCCGAUAGGCUCCUUUGCCGCCGUCCCGGAACUUUCCUUUUGGGAUUAGGAGGAAGAGAUGCCUUGUUGACUAUCUAGGAAAGGAACUGGCAGACGCACACUUAAAACCUUCCAAUGCCUUGUUGACUAUCUAGGAUGCCUUCCUGCGCCGAGCACAUGGGCUGGGAGACGAUUGAAUUUUCAGGCAAAUUUGCAGACGUCGUUCAAUUUUUCAGCCGACGAAAGUUGUGGAUAAUUCACCACCAACGUGUAAUUUAAACGGCUUCGAAGAAGAAAUUAAUGUUAUCGUAUGAUAUAAUUAUAAAACGUCAAAAAGUGUAAUUAGAAAAUUUUGCUACAGUAGAGAGAAUAAAAGGUCACAAACUUGCUUUAAUUUACACUAUGCUUCACGCGGUAUACUAGUUAGUGGAAGUUCAGUACGAUCACUACUUUAUACAUGCAUUCCUUGAAGCUUAUAUAAAGUAAAUCUCUUUCACUUAUGAAACGUUAAUUUAAGUAUUAAUUAAUAAAUUAAUAAUGCUUAAUUAGAAGGGAGAAUAAAAAAACAAACCAAGGGAUAGUCCGGAAAGACUAUUUGAUUGAAAUAUGGGCCGCCUACCGUGCAAUACAGUACCACUGAAUUUUGUCUUUUUUCAACAAUUACACUACACUACCCUAUAUUUUAUAAGAAAACUGAAUAGAUACUAUAAGUUACAAAUUUUUAUAUAUAGGUUAUUUUCUCUGGAUAAAAUCAUAAAAUGACUUUUGAAAAAAAAAUUAACUGUAAUUAUUAUUAUUAUUUAUUAAUGUCAUUAUUAUUAUAUUAAUAUUAAUAUUAUUAACAUUUAUUAUUUUAAUUGUUAUGAUUGCUUUAAUUAGUCAUUAUUAUUAUUUAUUUAUUUUAUUACUAUGAAUAUUAUUAAAAUAUAUUAAAUUUAUUAUUGAAUUAUUGUUAAUAUUAUUUUAUUAAUAUUAAUAUUAAUAAAAUUUAUUAAUUUUAUUAUUCUAAUUAUUAUAUUAAUACUAAUGUUGUCAUCGUCAUCAUCAUUAAACUUUAUAAAUUUUUUUGUUUUGACUUUUAAGUAAUACCACUGUCAUUAUUAUUAUUUUGCCUUAAUUAAGCAUUAAAUAUAUUUUAAUUAUUUUUUAAUUUUUAUUAUAAUAAAUAAAAAUAUAAAAAUAAAAAUAAAUUAUACUAUAAAAUUAUUUUAUUAUAUCAUAUUAUAUUUAUUUAAAAAUUAUUUAUAUGAAAAUAAUAAUCUAAGCUAAUUAAUAAUAAAUUUAAAUAAUUUUAGUUUAAUAUUAAUACAAAAUUAAUCCAGUACAAAAUAAUACCAAUUAUCAAACGUUGUAAAAUACUAUUAUAAUUAUUAUAAUAUACUGCUAAUGUAAUAUAAUAUAAUACAUGUGCAUUACAUAAUACAAUAGAAUAUAAUAUAAUAUAGUGUGCCAAACGGACUUUUAACUUUUUGAGUGAUGAUGGUGUGGAGGGAUGUAGAGAAAGUAAAGAUAAUUGUGGCAGAUCAUUUGCAAUGGUUGAUUAGCUAUCACCACAAAGUUUAGGCUAAUAAAUAAAAUUAAGCAACUACCCUAUAUUUAAAAGAGCAUUUAGAAACCAAUAAAUUUACUAUUCAAUUAUUUUUAAUCAAGAAUAAAUAAUAAAUUAUCAUUACAACAAGAUUCAAAAGCUCAAAUAUCUUUAAAAAAAAUGAUAAUUCUCAAGAAACAUGAAGCUCAAAUGCUUUUGAAAUAUUCUUAAAAAAAAUAAACUAACUUCCUUUCAUAUUAUUCUUUUUUUAUCUUUCUAUAACUUUGUUGGGCUAUAUAUAUAUUGAUAUUUUAUAAGUAAAUUAACAUAUUGUAUGUAUAAAUAAACUAACAUGUCAACUAAUGCUAACAAUAAAAAUGUAAUAAAAAAGUAAAGUUUUGUAAUAUUAAAAUAAUAAAAUUUUACAACCUAAGACUUUUUACAUGUUUCUCAUUUUGAAAUUUCACCUUUUUUAUUUUAUAAUUUUCUAAAGUAUCAAGGUUAAUAACCUAUGUUCUUAAUACAUAUUCAGUUUAUUUAUUUUACAUUAAAUAUAUAGUAGAUAACAAAAAAUAUUAUUUACAUUUAUCAAAUUUUCAUGUGUUUAAAAAUUUUAUGUGAUAUUACUUUAUUAUAUUAACACCAUCAAUCAUUUUUAUGAUCAAAUUAAGUCAAUGAAUCAAACUUUAAAAAAUUUAAAACAACAGAAGUUAUAUAAGUGAAUAUUUAAAACUUUUACCUUUUAUGAUUUUGUAAUAAACAUUAGGAACUUAAGUGUUAAUAAUCAAUUGAACACAUCCUGGCCGUUGAACACUUUAGCCAUUGAUCCAUUGGCUGAGUUGAAAAAAGACAAAAUUUGGGGUACCGUGCAACUGUUGCACGGUAGGCAGACCCUGAAAUAUGUCUUUCAAUGGUGACUAUAAAGUACAAGUAUAUAAUUUAAUAAUUUCAGACAGAACGUUAAAUAAAAAACCGCUAUAUAAUUCUGAGUACUGGUAGGAGGAUGAAACCCUCGUUCACUUGAUGUACCGUCUUCCAUCAGGGGCGUUUGAGGAUGUUCAUAUUGAUGAAGAUGAGAAUUUGCUUACAGUAAUAAGCAAGGUGCUAGCUAGGGGUGUUUGCCGAUUGAAUUUUACGGAUUGAAAAUCAAUCCAUAUCCGAUUCAUGAUUUUGCGAAUUAUAAAUUUUCAAUCCAAUUAAAUCCACGGAUUAGUAAAAUUUAAUUCAAAUUCAAUCUAUAUAUAUGCGGAUCAAAUGCAAAUUUGACCCAAUUCAUAUGCAAUCCAUUAUUUUGCAGAUUGGUUUGCAGACUGAAAAUUUUUAAUUAUGCCAAUCCACAAACUAACUAAGUAAAAAAUUUAAUAUAAAAAUAAUUUUACUACCGAUCAAAUUUAAAAUUAAAUAAAAUUUAAAUAAAUUAAUUGUUUAAAUAAAAAUAGAAAAUACAUUUAAAGUUUCAAAACGUAACAGACCAAAACGAAAAAAAAACCUCAUUCGUUUAAAUCAGUACAUGGAAAUUAAUUAUUUAGGAAGCUAUAUUUGUUUAUUUAAUUAUUUUUUAUUUUAUAUUAUUAUCGGAUAAGAUAUAAUAUAAUAUAAUAUUAAUAUAACUAUAUUUUAACUUAUUUAUUUACUAGUAAGUACUAAUAUUAUAUUUACAAGUUUUAUUUUUUACGGAUUCGUGGAUUUUUACAGAUUUACAGAAGUAUAUCAUAUCCAAUCCAUCAAUUGUGGAUUAUUAAAUUUUCAAUCCAAUCAAAUUUACCAAUCCACGAAUCGAAUUUCUAUAGAUCAGACAGAUUGAGCGGAUCAGAUUGAAUUCUGAACACCCCUAAUGCUAGUAGGAGACACCACCACCCAGUGCCGGAGGAAAUCCAACAUGCCACCUGGUCUUGACGCGGCUGGGUGUAAGAUGCAAUCGAUGAUGGCGUUUCAUUAUUAUUAUUAUUAUUGUUAAUUUUGCCCUUUUUCUAUUUGAUCUUGCAUAUUGGUGAAAAAGGAAUUUGCUUUACUUGGAUCCUAAGAAGGGGCAACAAUGAUCCUGAUUCAUCUUUUAGAUUUCUUUAAAAAGAAUAUUUCAGUAAAAGAGUGCAGAGUAGGGCACCAUCAAAGCAUAAAACAUUCUAACAGAGGAUCAGAAACAAGGUUAUAGAAAACAAACCUACCAGUAAACGACAACCACUUUCAUUUUUUCUGCAAAUUCAUCAUCUCUCUGAGUUAGGAUCCCAUAUCAACUAGGUACGGGACUAGUUGGUGGUUUAUUAACUCCAAGUCAUCCUCCUCUUACAAGUCGGUUUUUUGGAGUUACAAGCAAUAGGUAUCAGAACAGUUCGGUGGCGCAAGCAUGAUCGGAGAGCAUGAAGUGGGUGGCCAUUCACUCGACUUUUUGUUUUUUGUUUUCAACCUCCAAAAUACAUUGAUGUCAAUGAGGUGCGCUGUCUUGCUGACUUUUUAUUGGCCUAGGUAAUAAACCUCUCUUUUUUUUUUUUCCUUUGGUGUUCUUUUAUAUUGAUUCUAUCAUGAUACUUUGCUUAAAAAAUGGGGAAAUUGUCUAAUCAAGUCACAAUGGUGAGAAUCUGCAGUAUUAUAUUAAAGUCUGCUGGAAGGUAGUGUUGAAACUUGGUAUUCAAAUUCCCAAAAUCAUUAUAGUUUUCAGGUUUGACUAGAGAAAGAAGAAAAGAGUACAUCAAACUAAAAGCAUAAUUACAUGGUCACAUGAUUUCAGUUGCUUAGGCUAUAUGGGUAGACUUAAUGAAAACGACAAUGAUCAUGACUUUGGAAAAGAAGAACUAGCAUGAACAUUUUGCACUACUGUAUUAUGUAUAUAAUUCUUUCAAAGUAAAAGACUCUAUAUAUGGAAUAUUAAUAUUGAAUUGGAGUUAGUUAUAUACAAUAUCUUACAUGGUAUACCAUUGUUAUUAAAUUAUGUAAAUCAGUUCCUUUGUCCUACAUGCCAUGGCUAAAUACAUUUUGAUGCUUGUUGCAGACCUAUGUGGUUAAUUUAGUGAGACCUUGCUAGAUCUUGAGCCAUUUAAUGGGACGUGGCACUUGAGCGAGAACAGAAAACCUCGUGGGCAGUUUGAUGUCAUUAUUAUUGCUGGUAAUAGUAAUAGAGUGCUGCUACUCUUGCUCUUUCUCUCUCAACAGAAUUUUAUAGACUUAAAAUUUUGUUUGUUUAUUGCAGUGGCAAAAUGUUAAAUGGGCUUCGGUAUUGGGGGAAAAAAGAGAAAACAGAAGAAAAUUUUCAAUUUUACCUUCCAUCAUUUCCUUGGAUUCAAGAGUGGCAAAGAUUCAAGCUCUGUACAGCAGUACAGGGAAACUGUAAGAGAGAUUGUAAUAUUUUGAAGUUUGAAAUUUUGGAAGAAAGCGGCUAGCUGUUUUUAAGAAAGCGGCUAACCGUUUUCAUCCAGAGAGCAUGUUUUGGCUUCGACUAAAAAACGACUAACUGGAUUUUAAGAAUCGGCAACCGGUUGUGAACAGAUGCCAAUUUCAAACCAAAUAGUGUCUUUGAAGAAGUACCAUUUUUAAUGGUUGUAAUUUUUCAAUGAAUAAAUGUUAUCUUCAUUAAAUAGACAUUCAUAUUAAAUACACACACACACACACACACACUAGAUAUUACAGAUUACAUACAAGUUCUUAGAAUACAGUCUUAUUUACUAGAGAUUGUGUUCAGGAUUUGUUAUAUCUUAGGGGUAAUUUGCCAUUAAACUCUAUAGCAAACCAAGAGUAGUGAGGCAAAUAAAACCUUAAAGAAAAUUGUACAAACACGUCUCAAAUCCUAUCAAAUUUUCUUUGUUCUUUGCCCCCAUAUUCGUAGACCCACCAACAAUCUUUAAGGUUUUAUUUUGUUUGCAAAUGGAGGCUGAGAAGAUUCUGACUUCAUUUCUUAAUCCUAAUAUCCAUCUCGAUCGUUUUGAUGGUACUAAUUUCACUCGUUGGAAGGAAAAAAUUUUCUUUCUUCUUACUGUUCUUAAAAUUGCAUAUAUUCUUGAUCCAAAAUUGGAACCAUUUCCAAAGCCAAAAGAAGAUGAUACCGAAGUUGUUAAGGCUGCAAGGAAACAACGUAAAGAUGAUGAAUUGAUGUGUCGAGGUCACAUACUCAAUACACUUUUUGACAGGCCCUAUGAUCUUUACAAUUCUAUGGUUUCUCUAGUGAAAAUUUGGAAUUCUCUUGAGUACAAACAUAAAACAGAGAAAGAAUGUACUGAUAAAUUCUUUAUCUUAAAAUAUUUUGAAUUUGUUAUAGUAGACACAAAAUCCAUUCUUGAUCAAAUACAUGAAUUACAAAUUAUAGUUACUAAGCUUCAUGAGUUAAAAUGAAAUUUAUGAAUCAUUUCAAGUUGGGGCUAUUAUUGCUAAAUUGCCUCAAAGUUGGAAUGAUUAUAGAAAGAAACUCAUUCAUAGUAGAGAGAACAUAACUUUAGAAGAAUUACAAAAACACUUGGUAAUCGAAGAAAAGAUCAAGUCUCAAGAAUAAAGGACAAGCAUGAUUCUACUAAGGUUAAUGUUGUUGAAGCUAGUGAAUUUUCAAAGAAUUUCAAAGUUAAGAAUGACAAGAAAUUCAAGAAGUCCAGCACAGAAAAGUUUUCUGAAAAUUGUUUCUUUUGUGACAAGAAAGGUCAUCGCCAAAGUGAUUGCAGAUUCAAGAAGAAAAAGUAAGAAGUGAAUUUUUAUAAAGCUAAUGUUGUUGAAGACAAAUCCGAAGAGAUUUGUGCUAUGGUUUCUGAGAUGCAAAUAGGCAUGAUUACCGAAACCAAUAUGGCUAAAACUAAGCCUUGUGAAUGGUGGCUCGAUUCGGGUGCAACCAUUCAUGUUUGUAAUGAUGAGAAGUUUUUCUUAUUGUACAAAGAAGAAAUGGAAGGACAAAAGGUUCUCAUGGGGAACAAUAAUGCAGCCAUGGUAGCAGGGAAAUGAGUUGUUGAUAUCAACUUUACUUCUGGAAAGAAAGUUACAUUGUAUAAUGUCUUUCAUGUACCUUCUAUUAAGAAGAAUCUUGUUUCUGCUAGUUGCAUGUGUAAGCAUGGGCUUAAGAUUGUGCUUGAGGGUAAUACUUGUAUUGUUUCAAAGAAUGAGAUGUUUGUUGGGAAAUGGUAUUCUUGUGAUGGAAUGUACAAAUUCAGCAUUAAUAAUAAUGAUAUCAACUUACCUUAUAUUGUUGAGUCUUGUGAUGUUUGACAUGCUAGAUUAGCACAUUUGAAUUUUAAAUAUUUAAAAUACAUGUCUGAGCAUGGUUUGAUUAAUUACAAUGAUGUUAAAAGUCAUAAGUGUGAAAUCUGCAUCCAAGCUAAAUUAACUAAGAAACCUUUUCCUAAAGCCGAACAAAACACUCAAAUAUUGGAUUUAAUACAUACCGAUAUUUGUGAGUAUAAUGAUAUUUUAACAAGAGAAAGUAAAAGGUAGUUUAUCACUUUUAUUGAUGAUUAUUCUAGAUACACUAAUGUGUAUUUACUUAGAAUAAAAUAUGAAGUUUUUGAUAAAUUUAAAUUUUCAAAGUUGAAGUUGAGAACCAAAAAGAUAAGAAAAUCAAAAUAGUUCAAAGUGAUAGAGGUAGUGAAUAUUUCUCAAUUGAGUUUGAUAAUUAUUCUUCACAAUGGAAUUAUUCACCAAAGAUCAGCUCUAUUUACUCCUCAACAAAAUGAUUUAGUUGAAAGGAAAAAUAAGAUCUUUACGGAUAUGAUAAAUUCUAUGAUCUUUAAUGCAAAACUACCAAAUAAUUUGUAGGGGGAAGCAUUACUCACUGUCUAUCUCAUCAUUUACUCAAUAAUUUUAAUUGAGGCUAUUUCGAUCUACUAAAACUACUAUCUCAUCUUUUACUUAAAAGUCAAUAAUCUAACACUAAAAUUUUAAAAUUACUUUUCACCCCUAUCUAAAAUACAGAUUAGACAAUAUAUUUUAUCUUAUAGUAAAUAUGAGAUAGUAGUUUUAGUAGAUCAAAAUAACAUCAAUUAUAGUAGCUUUAUAGAUAAUAAGAAUUAUAAGUUUCAAUAAUUUUAUAUAAUAAGCCUCAAUUAAAAUAUAAUAAUUUUAAAAUUCUUAAAAAAAUUUAUUAUCUCUCUCUCCUUUUUCUUUAUCUCCUUCUCAAUCAAUCAGUCCUUCUUUAAAUCUUAAUUUAUUCAUUCUCAAUAAUUUUUACACUCAAAUGUUUAUCUUAUGUUAACAACACGAAAUAAAAAGACUAUGUCAGAAGCCUUAAAAGUCAGUUAAUCUUAAUUUUUUAUUUGAAAGAUAAUUCUCCCAUAAUCCAUUAAUUUAAGUUAUUAUUCAUUCUUUACAAUUUUAAAUUUAAGUUUCACUCUUUACAACUUUAAAUUUAAGUAACAUAAUAAAUAUUAUACAAUUUUUUUGUUUUCACAUUAAGUAAAUAAUUGAGAUUAUAUUUUUCUAAAUAUUAUCUCAGCUCCAUAUAUUACAUAAUUUCAAAUUUGAUAUAGAAAUCUAUUAUUUUGAAAAUAUCAUUUAUAAACUCUAUAAUGAAACUUAAAUUACUAUUCAAGUACUUAUUUAAUAUUUAUUUAUUUAUUAUUUUAAUAUUGUCAAAACUUAUAUAAAACUUUGUCCAAUCCUAUAUUAAACUAAACACAAGAUAACAAUAUUAUAAUCCAAUAUGUAUUUUAAGUAAAUGGAUGUGGAAAGUAUUUUAGCAAGUUAAAAUAACCCAUCCACAUUUUUAAUACUUAAUUGUGUUUAUUUAUUAAAUUACCCUUGAUCCAUAUAAAGAUAAUAAAAUAUUUUAGUGGACUUAUGUGUAAAAAUUUUGAAAACUAACAUUUUCUUAUAAUUUUUGAAAAAAAAAAAAGGGCAUGCAACGUUAAUAAUCAAGUAAUUUAAUCCAUGCUGUCGGAAUAACUUUUGCAACUAGAAUAUGAUCUUCUCAUGAGCUGAGUUCUAUUGAAUUUUUAAAGAUCUUCUGUCAUGUAUUUUUUAGUGGUAGUGUAUGGAUAAAAUUUAAUUUUUUUAUUUAUUAACUACUAAUUAACAAUUAAAUUAUUUACUCAGAAUAUGAUCAGAUUAGUCAUUUAAAACUCUUAAGUUGAAUCUUAUCGUUGGAUCACAAAAAAAAUGAAAAAUAGGAUACUAAAUCACGGUUGCAUAGUAACUGAACCCUACAAUUUUAUAUAUUUUUAGAAUAAAAACCUUAAAUCCGCACCACUUAAGUUUUUCUCCAAUUAAUGAUGGGUUCCUGUUCCUGAUAAAGCCUUCUGGGAUUUCCUUACCCUUGGUUGACGUGGCAAAAUUUUGUUUGUUUCAUGAACAGUUCAUAGCAAGAAGAACAGCCACUUUUGACUUUUUAGAAGGAAAUAAAAUAUGAUAUGAUAUAAUUAUAAAACGUCAAAAAGUGUAAUUAGAAAAUUUUGCUAAAGUGGAGAGAGAAUAAAAAGUCACAAAUUUGUUUUAAUUUACUCUAUACCUCACGCGGUAUAUUAGCUAGUGGAAAUUCAGUAUGAUGACUACGUUAUAUAUGCAUUGCUUGAAGCUUAUAUAAAGUAAAUCUCUUUCGCUUAUCAAAUUUUAAGUAUUAAUUAAUAAAUUAAUAAUGCUUAAUGAGAGAAGAAAAAAAGGAAGGACAGUCCGGAAAGAUGGUUUGAUUAAAAUAUGUUCUUAAAUUCUACUAAAAGUUCAAUAGUGAAUAUAAAGCAUAAAUAUAUAAUUUAAUAAUUUUCAAAUAUAAUAUUCUUUUUUUAAUAAGAUUGGCUCAUAUUAAACUCUUUAUUAUUAAUCUAUAUUUCAUAAAAUACAAACUCUUUAUUAUUAAUCUAUAGUAAACUCAUGUUUCUUUCUAUACACAUUUGGCCUCCGUGUAAAAAGCAGCUUUCUGCGCGUAAAUAUUGUGUUAAUUUAGUGCAUAAUCUUAAGCAACAUCUUUGAUUUGCUAUUGUGUUGAUUAUCUAUGUUGAUUUCCCUAUUAUCAUAUCAUGUGUACUCUCUCAUACAUAAUAAAUUAUUAAAUCAGUGGUUUAUUCUUAAUAAGUUUUCUAGCAUUAAUUUGGGUGAAGGGAGACACAAUAGAUAUAAUUGCACAUGACUUGAAGUAUAGUACGAAAUGGUUUCUUUGAGGAUUUUGUUUUUAUGUUGUUUUAUAUGCUUGUGAAAAAUCCAAAACUGAGAUGCCGCAGAUGAAGCAGUCGGUAGGUACUAUUAGGAAUUUGAGUUGGUAUUUGAAAAUAUUAAUAUCCAACAUUGGUUAGAUAAAAAAACACAAAUUGAUUUGUUUAUAGAAACUAGAUAUGCUGUGGUAACAAGGCCCCGUGAACAAAACCAAGCAUAACUAAAGACCAAAAAGGCCACUAUAAAGAAAUACAAAAAGUAAGCUAACUUCAGACCUCAAAGCCUCAAAUUAGCAAUUAGCAAUCAGCAAUGGUGUCACAAUCAGCUUACCUCAAUUAGUCAGCAACCUUCAAUUACCGGUUAUCAGACCUUCAGACCUCAAAGCAGUAUCACAAAAAGUUCUCUUCAGACCUCAAAGCCUCAAUUAGCAAUCAGCAAUGGUGUCACAAUCAGCUUACCUCACCUCACCAACCUCCAAUUACCGGUCAUCAGACCUUGAAUUUCCCGACGGACCUUCAAUUACCGGUUGCCUCAAAGCAAUCAGUAUCAAAGCCUCAAUUAGCAAUCAGCAAUGGUGUCGCAAUCAGCUUACCUCACCUCAGCAACCUCCAAUUACUGGUCAUCAGACCUUGAAUAUCCGGACGGACCUUCAAUUACUGGUUGCCUCAAAGCAAUCAGUAUCAAAGCUCAAUUAGCAACCAUUUCCGGACGGACCUUCAAUUACUGCCUAUAAAUUCCCCCUCAAUUCCCUCUCAAACCCAUCAGACCUCAAAGCCAAUUCCCAAUUUCGCAGAUACUAUAAAGAAAUACUUCUUUAGUUGAAGCCUCAAAGAAACCCAGAAACCCUUCAAUUCAAACCUCAAAAAUUGUGCCUCGGAAACGAACCAUAUCAGCCCUCUGUUUUCUGGGAUGAGGAUGAGAACGUCGUUCACGUCAAGUGCCCUCUUCCCUCACCGACGAAGCGAGAGGAUGCGAAGGUUGAGAUUGAUGAACAUGGGAAAUUGCUUAUACAAAUAAGCAAAGUGGUAGGUUCACAUAGUGAUCCGCUCUCUUCAGCUUCUUCCUGGAUGAUCAGAUUCGGAUUCUGUCUCCUAAGCUUCCUGAAGAAAAAGGAAGGAGACACCAUCAGCCAGAUAGGCCCGAUGGAAUUCAACUUACUAGAGGGCCUUAACACGAAUGACUUCGAGACUGCGGUCGAUGACGAGGGGUUGCUAUCUCUCACUUUCAAAAAGCUCGUGCAGCGCUCUGUGUUCUGGGACGAGGAUGAAAACCUCGUUCACUUCAACUACCGUCUUCCAUCAGGGACGAAACGAGAGGAUGUGAAGGUUGAGAUUGAUGAAGACGGCAAAUUGCUUAUAACAAUACUAAGCAAGGUGGCAGCUGCACAAAAUGAUUCCUCCAUGAUCAUAUCCUCUCUCUUCAGUUUCCUGAAGAAAAAGGAAGGAGACACCACCAGCCAGAUAAUCCAGAUGGAAUUCAACUUGCCAGCGGGUCUUAACCCAAAUGGCUUCAAGACUGCGAUCGUUGACGAGGGCUUGCUAACUCUCACUAAACUCAAGCCGGAGAAGAAAAAGCUGGGGCCAAUAGCGAAGAAGACGCUGGGAUGUUUGGCUGAUGCUGCUCUUAUGCUGAUAUGUGGGGAGAUAAGUGAUGCGAUUUGUCCAGGAGACUGCUAACAAGCUGCUGGUGUCAAGUAGGCAUUUCCAUAGUCUAGACCAGGUGUUAGUCAAUUUCCGUCUUGCGUAGUGUUGUAUCUCCUUUGUUUCAGUGAAAUAAAAACUGAUAAACGUUGUUGAGCGAAAAAUAAAUGCAUUUUUUUUUUAAAUGGCGUUGAAUAAUUUUUUUUUUUUUUUUUGAUAAAAGAAGGCAUGUUUUCAUGGUGUUGCAUAUUAAAAAAAAAAAAGAACAAGGCCUGUUUUCAUGCAUACGUGCAGCUACAAGAUAAAGGAGUAACUGGAGAUCGGUCAGGUGAGGCAAUCAUGCUACAGAAUCUGCAAGAAAGCGAGAUCUAUCUUUUUUUAACCGCUAGCGGUUGGAUCAAUCUGCAAGAUACGGUAAUGGUGUGGGGCCAACGCUUGAGCCAGAGCCCCACUUUUCUCCUUUAACAACCGCUCAUUUCAGCGCAAUAGAGAGUAGGGUGAUGCUAAGUUACAGUAUCUGUACCUUACGGCCACCUGCCACCCCUGCACAGUAAGAUGAAAAGCGGACUCAAGUGGGGUUCACGGACAUUUUGUGAGGGUGCUGUAAGGUACAGAGACUGUACCGUAGCAUUCUCCGAAAGGGCACUUUUGAAGAUAAGAACGAGAUGACAGAGAAAAUAAAAUGACCCAUGUGAUGUCCACAGAAAAUUUACACCAAAUUCUCAGGUCUCUGCAGAGACACACGCGCAAAUAUUUCAAGAUCAUGGCAACUUCUGCAACUCAUUCCUUGAGCUUCAAGCUGGCCAUCGAAGGAAUAACUGGGUAUUAUGUUACAAUAAAGAUUACCUUCACCGAACUGAAGCCGGAGAAAAAGGCGGUGUCAAGAUCAAAGAAGAUCCCGCGAGGUUUGGCUGAAGCAGUGCCUGUUUGUUUCUUGAUAGGUUACCAGAUAAGUUGGGGAGACUACUAAUUAGCUGGUGUCAGGUAAGGUAUUUGCUAACAUCAUGAUCAUGUAUGGGGCGUCAUACUCUUCUAUGUUGUUCUGUUGUUUAUGUAUUAGUAUUUGAAAAUAACUCUGGAGUAGCUUAAUUAAUGGAUCUAUCUUUUAAGAGCUGCACUUGGCAUAUGAAGUUUAUUGUGUGGCAGCAAAUCAAGAGUUGGUCUUAAAAGCAUCAUGUUCAAGGAGUACAAUACAAACAGUAAAAACUAUUUGAGACAAUUAAUUAAUGCGGCUUCUCUUUGAGUGAAAAAUUAAUCCAUCUUUCGUUCGUUUUAGCAAGUGUUUCUUAAUGUUAUUUUUUUUCCUUUUUGCCCUUUUCCUAUUUUAGCUUCCACAAAUUGGGAAUUAGUUAUUAUUGAUUUGGUGAAAAGGGAAUUUGCUUUAUUUGGAUCCUAAGAGGGGGCAAUCGUGAUCCUGAUUCAUUUUUCAGAUUUCUUCAAAAAGAAUGUUUCAGUAAAAGAGCGCAGAGGGCGCCAUCAAAGUAUAAAACAUAGGAUAAGAAACAAGGUUAUAUAAAAAAACAAACCUAUCAGUAAAUGACGACCAAUUUCAUUUCCUCCGCAGCUUCAUCUUCUCUGAUUCCUUUUUUUGGAUUCCACAUUGACUAGGUUUGGGACUGGUUGGUAGUUUAUUAACCCCAAUGUACCCUCCCUUCACAGGUUGGUCUUUAAGAUUGAGUUCUACCUUGUGGGUUUGUAACAAUUGAUAUAAGAGUAGUUCGGGAACGUUCAUUCUGCUUUGCCAUAUCCAUAUAAUUAUUUAGAAUGAUCGGUCCUCAACCACUAAUUUUUUAUCAAGCAUGUUGCUCAAUUCUUUACUCUGAAUGAUUCUCUGUAUGGUAAGUGAGUUGAUGGUUGGUUGGAGAGAAUCGGAGAGCUUGAAGUGGGUGGCCAAUUCACUCAUUUUUUUCUUCACGUCCAAAAUACAUUGGUGUUAGUGGGAUGUGCUCUCUCGCUGACUUUUUAUUGGCCCAGGUGGCAAUUUUUUAUUUUAUUUUAUGUUUUUUGUUGUUGAUUCUAUCAUGCUUCUUAGCUUAAAAAAUGGGGAAAUUGUCUAAUUAAGUCACAGUGUUAAUAAUCUGUGGUAUUGUUUUGAAGUUUGCUGGAAGGUAGUGUUGAAACUUGGGUAUUCAAAUUCCGAAAAUCAUUAUAGUUUUGAUGUUCAACCAGAGAAGGAAGAUAAGAGUAUAUCAAAUAAAAACCGCAAUUACAUGAUCACAUUCUAAAGCAACAAUUGUAUGAUCACAUUAUUUCAGUUGCUUAGGCUAUAUGGGUUGACUUAAUGAAAUAGUGACGAUAAUGAUCAUAACGGAGGAAAAGAAGAACAAGUAUGAACAUUUUGCACCACUGUAUUAUGGAUAUAAUUCGUUCGAAGUAAAAGGCUCUAUAUAUGGAAUAUUAAUAUUGAAUUGGAGUUAGUUAUAUACAACGUCUUACAUGGUAUGCCAUUAUUAUUAAAUUAUGUAAAUCAGUUCCUUUGUCCUUCAUGCCAUGGCUAAAUACAUUUUCAUGCUUGUUGCAGACCUCUUUGGUUAAUGUAGUGAGACCUUGCUUGAUCUUGAGUCAUUUAAUGGGAUGUUGCACUUGAGUGAGAACGGAAAACCUCGUGGGCAGUUUGAUGCAAUUAUUAUUUCUCGUAUUGGUGAUACAGUGCUGCUACCUUUGCUUCCUCUCUCAGCAGAAGUUAAUAAUCUUAAAAUUUUGCAUUAAGAAAAUGCAUGUUUUUUAUAUUGCAGUGGCAAAAUGUUAAAAGGGCUUCACUAUUUGGGGGGGGGGGUUGAAUGAAUAAGAAAAUAAAAGAAAAUUUUCAAUUUUACAUUCCAUCAUUACCUCGGAUUCAGGAGUGGAAAGGUUCAAGUUUUGUACAGCUGCAGGGGAACCCUCUGCAAAUCCAAACCCCUGUGAAAGGGAUCCCACUUCAUGACAAUAUUUGUGGGUUUCGAGUUGGAAUAGUCUGGCAGGUUAGAAGUUGUUUCAAUUAAUUAUCUAUAACAUACAAGUUGUGUUACAUUAUAUGACCAUAUAAUGAUUCAUUGUGGGAUACUAGGACAUCAAAAAGAGCUCAAAAUUUCAGACAGAUUUUCUCCCUAAAUUUGGUGAAAGACUGAUGGAUGGAUUAGAACUAAGUUUCAUAGCAAUUUGUAGCUGUAAACAUCUAGAAGGCUGGGACUAAAUGCCAUUUGAUUAGGUUAGAAUAAUAUGAGCUGAGCUUAUAAUCUUUGUCAUUCAUUCAAUUGCUUUUUUAGAUGUCCACAAUUCAUCAUGUUGAUAAUAUCCAAUUGGUGCCUGGUAAAUUUCCUUUAUGACUAUGAUAUAGGGUGUUAUGGAAGAGAUGAGAACAUCCAUUGUAAAUUAGCUAGAAUAGGUUCCAGAUCAAAAAGACAAGUUUAUGCCUGUUUCCUUUCUGUUUCAUCAGUUGAUUAUAGACUGUUAAUUACCUAUGCCCUUUUCUGUUUCGGCUUUGCUUUAAAGUAAUAAUACCCAGACAUAAUGAUAGGAAAAUGUGCAGGUCGGUUGUUGAUUCAUCUUGUGUACCUCUAAUAGCCAAAAAAAUGAAGGUAUAUAUCCUUUGAAAUAUUCAGUUUGUUUAGUGUUAUCUAAACUAUGCUUUGUUCAGUCAACCAUUCCUAAAUUGUUUUUGAAGCUUCAUGUUGCGUUUAUCCAGUUUGUAAAGCCUGGAACUAAGUUCCAUGUGGACACUUCUUGCGGCAUCUGAGGAUCCCCUUCUGCUAGGUAGUGCAGCAUCAUUUAAGGCGCCUUUGUUAAUGGUGUUGAUUCUUUCUCAUGGACGGCAAAUAACUCAGCGAAGCUUUAUGGUUCCCAAAGUGAUGGUCCUCAUUGUUGGACCUUUUUCAGCGCUGCAGCUUAUGGAAAAUGAAACAAGGUUCCGCAGAUCUGUUUGUGCAUAAAUGUGUGUCUUGUUUAAUUACUUGUUUUUACAUGAUUUGUUAUAGAAUUGCUGAACUCGACUGUUAACUAAAGCCAAUUAAUCAAGUCGAAUUGAUAAAGAAUAGCCAAUUACGAAGAACACUGAGCUGAACAGUUAGAGAUCAAUUUAACCAAGAACAGACGAAUAAUGAAGAACAGCACUCAAGGAUUAUGUGGUUCAGUACCAAGAUACCCAUAUAAGCCAACUGGGCUUAAAGCUUUUAUAUAAGCUUUUAAAAGUGCAUAUUGUUCAAAUACAAAAAGUAAAAUCAUUUGAGACAAUUCAUAUGGCUUCCCUUGAGUGAAAAAUAGUCAUAUUACUAUUUAAACUGACAUGAUCUGUUCUUCCAGUUUAUUCAAAGAAUUAUGAGAAGAACCUUAGGUAUGUUAACUAAAAAAUGCCCAAAAUGGACUAUUCAUAUUCAUGCCAUUGAAUCCUAGGUAUGUUAAUUUUUAACUCCAAUUAAAUGCUCUAAUUUUCUUCACCCUUUUUAGCGUGUGUUCCAUAAUUCAUGCUUUCUUCUUCCCCUUUUAAUUUUUUCUUCUUCUUCUGUUUUAGCUUCCAUAAUAUUAGGAAUUAGUUGUUAUUGAUUUCAGAGAAAGGAAUUGUUCUAUUUAGAUCCUAAGAGGGGCAGUCCUGAUCCUGAUUAUGUACUCAUUUCCAUUCGACACCAUUCAUAUUUAUAGGUUUCUUCAAUAUAUUUUAAAGAUAACUACUGUAGUUAUUUCAUACAAUGCCAUGACACUAUCGACAGCAUAUGAUAAAUAGUAAAGAAAAAUGACAUUAUAGAUCUAAGAUGAGAUUUGCGGAGUAAAAUAAAUUACUUUACCUAAAUGCAGUGUGGCUAUUACUUGAACUAAAACAAAUGAGAUUUGUCACUAAGUUUUUGGUUUUUAACUGUGACUAGACCCCGCAACAACUAGGAAAUGUAGAGUGUGACUAUUAUGUCAUGGGUUACAAGGAGUACAUAAUCGCAGACUUUGGUUUGCUAAUGAACAGUGUUAUUGAUAAUUAAAUAAUAUCACAGGUUUGUUUUAUAGUAUAUACGUGGCAUUGUGUUGGAAGUUUGACGACAUUGAUUUUAUGGUUAACACUUCAAUAGGACACGUACGCUCGUGCUGAAAUAAAAGGUUCCUAUGGAGGGGGCUAAUCAUUUUUCUAAAAUCAUUGUCGCAUCAUCAAAAUGGUUAGUAUAAAUACGAAACGUUACGUGCACCUUAUUAUUACUUCUAAUUAAGAGUUUGGUGAAAUUUGAGUUGUAUUGUGAAACAGUAAUGUUUGACUUGAUGUUGUGAUGCCAUUUUUAGUUCUUACAGGAAUGAGUUGAUGUCGUUAUCUGUGUGAAUAUUUUUAGCUCUUGCGAUAAUGCUAUUUGAUUUCUGAUAAUUAGUGAUUGGGCUUGGAAAGUGAAACAAGGUUUUGCAGUCAGUUCAUAAAUAAAUACAUGUUUACAUUCACACACGUUUUUAAUCAAUUGCUUAGGGCACUAGCAUAGUAGAAUAGAUUCACACUUUAGCUUGAAUUCCCAAGCUAUUGAAGCAGGCUACAAUGAGUUCAGUUUUAUGUGCAUAUUUAUUUAGACUUGGUUGUAAAUAUUAGCUUGAUUUUCUGCCUUAUACUUUGAAUCAAUACAACAUUUCAAUUUUACAGCAGAGAUUUAUGUUGCUAUUUAGCUUCAGUAAAUAUCAGACAAGGAAUUUCAAACAUAAACUCGAAGCUUGAUUAUUCAUAUAUAAAUAAUGUGAUCUAUGUCGAUUGCAGAUGAUUUAGGAAGUGGUGGAGUUCAUACUGAGGUGUUAACAUGGACAAAAUUGUUGUUUCGGCUGACAUAUUGUUAGCUUAAGCAAUAGUAAUGAACUUGAGGUGGCAUUUUUUGAAGUCUUUUGUUUAUAUAUAAGUUGUAUCGAGUCUCUCUCGAUAUUCUUUACUCUAAUUUUGAUAAUUGCAUCAUAAUUUUAACAUCUGUGUUCCAUAAUAUAACUCUGUGCAUUACUUCAUUUUUUGGCACCUUUGGAUUCCCUGUAUCUUGAAUCAAAACUUUGUUGCUGCAGGUUCAAUAUUCUGGACUUCUUUUGUUGAGGGGCUGCCCUUCUGAGAAUCUGUUUUCAGUUAUCGCUUACCCCUUCUAAUAGGUUGGAAACCAAAUGUGGUUUUUGCAUGUUCAUAGACUUGCAGUGUAAUUUGUUUAUCAUGUUUCGUUAAUACAAACUUCAAAGCCGAAAAACACAAAACAAGCGAAACAACUAUUUAUUCCAAGUGUAUAUUAUCUAUCUUGGACAGCAUUGAAUUUUUAUUUCUCCCCCACCCAAAAUGUUACUAUUGCCACAUUUAUAAUCUUAAAGUCUAUUAGGGAUCUAGAUGUAUACACUUAGUAGUAUGAUCAAAAAGUCUAUCGAGCAAUAACUUGAAAGUAUGUUUCUACUAAUAUUUGGGAAGCGUGUCUUAUAUGUCUUGGAUAGCAUUGAACUUUCCUUACUGUUUCUUUUUUCAAAAUUAUUACAAUUUACACAUAUAUUUCAAUCUAAAAUUUGUUGAAAUUCUUGAUACAAAUACUUCAAAGAGUACAAUCUAAAAGUUCAUUGAACCGUUUACUUAAAAUUAAUCUCAGCAAGAAAAGAAAGAUUUUUGAUAAUUGCAACCAUGGAAGUUUCGUAAGCAGCGGCGAGUUAUUAGAGCAUGUCCAAAAGGCUCUAUAAAUUUUAUUAUUUAAAUAUUCAUUUGUUUACCUAUUUGGCAAAUAGAUGAGCAAAAAAAGAUAUCGUUCUCCAAAAGACUCUUCAAAUAGAAAUGAAUUAAUAUUAUUUUAAUUAAAUAACUAUUUUUAAAGGAAAAGUCAAUAGUAAUUAAAGCAUAUUUCUCUUUUUCUUCAACAAAAAGUAAUAAAAUAUAAAUUGAAGAGGGAGAAUAUAACUCUUCAAAUUUGAAGAGAGAUGAUCAUUUCUUAUUUGAAGAAUCUAGUGUCUUUUAGAGUCUUAAAUGUUGAUGUAAUUCUUCAAAUAAGUAAUAAAAUUUUAUUUGAAGAGUCUUUUGGUGAUGCUCUUAGCGAGAUAAUUUAAAUAUCUUCUACUUGCAUAUGUACAAUUAAUCGAUGUUAUUCAUCCCUGAUCAAUCAAAUUAAGGUUCAAAUUAACUAACUUGGUACCACUCUUGUUUGACGCGCCGGAAUCUCGUCCCUGGAAGAAUCAGGUCAUUACGCUGCCGAAUGAUUUCUCUGGUUUCAGGAUCUUCAAUGGUGAACAACAAUUAAUCGAUAAGCGAGCUAAUGCAAAGUUUCCACCAAUAAAGAGCAAGCCGGAAGUCCAUGGAAGGUCUUCAAAAAUUCUUUCAAUAUACAGUAUACAGCAUCAUUGUUACUACUUUUNNNNNNNNNNNNNNNNNNNNNNNNNNNNNNNNNNNNNNNNNNNNNNNNNNNNNNNNNNNNNNNNNNNNNNNNNNNNNNNNNNNNNNNNNNNNNNNNNNNNNNNNNNNNNNNNNNNNNNNNNNNNNNNNNNNNNNNNNNNNNNNNNNNNNNNNNNNNNNNNNNNNNNNNNNNNNNNNNNNNNNNNNNNNNNNNNNNNNNNNNNNNNNNNNNNNNNNNNNNNNNNNNNNNNNNNNNNNNNNNNNNNNNNNNNNNNNNNNNNNNNNNNNNNNNNNNNNNNNNNNNNNNNNNNNNNNNNNNNNNNNNNNNNNNNNNNNNNNNNNNNNNNNNNNNNNNNNNNNNNNNNNNNNNNNNNNNNNNNNNNNNNNNNNNNNNNNNNNNNNNNNNNNNNNNNNNNNNNNNNNNNNNNNNNNNNNNNNNNNNNNNNNNNNNNNNNNNNNNNNNNNNNNNNNNNNNNNNNNNNNNNNNNNNNNNNNNNNNNNNNNNNNNNNNNNNNNNNNNNNNNNNNNNNNNNNNNNNNNNNNNNNNNNNNNNNNNNNNNNNNNNNNNNNNNNNNNNNNNNNNNNNNNNNNNNNNNNNNNNNNNNNNNNNNNNNNNNNNNNNNNNNNNNNNNNNNNNNNNNNNNNNNNNNNNNNNNNNNNNNNNNNNNNNNNNNNNNNNNNNNUACCACUCUCUUCUAUUUAAAUGGUAAAUUACUCAUGUAAUUGUUUUGAAAAAACAAAUUAAGGCAGCUAAUAAUCGUUGGAAAAUAAAUUGGUAGGCUUAAUUUCAUCCAACUUCAUUAAUUGAUACAAAAGAAUACAACAAAGAGCAACCUUGACACAGUGAGUUGAACAUGACAUGCGUUUUUUAUUUACACCAAUAUUUUCAAGCCUAAUAGUGGACUGGACAUAAAAAUAAAUUAAGCCCUGUUAAUUUUUCUAAAUCAAUGUGAAAAAAACAAAUUUCAUUUGCUAAAGCUAAAAGGCCGACCAAGUUUAUAUUAUGGGAUUUCGACUUCCCGAUCCUUUCUAGGCUUUGGGAGCACAUUCCUCCCCACAAAUUCGAUAUCUAGGACAACUGACUAAAGAGCUCUGUUUACAUUCUUCUCCUUAAUUUUCUUUCUUUCUUUCUUUCUUUUUUUUUUUUUUUUAAAAUAAUGAAUGAAGUGGAGCUUUCUGGGUCGUCAGAAUGGAGAAUUAUUUGUCUCCAAUUAUUAUUAUUUUUUGCCCUUUUUUGAAGUCAGUUGAUUCCACGCUGCGGCUGCAAUCUUCUUCGCUAUGAUUCUAAUACGGUCUUCUCUUCAUUUCUCUUUCUCUUUCUGUUUGAAUAAGAGACGAAUUAUUAACAUGACACACGUCCCGUCAACUGAUGACGUGUUGUUUGACGAUUGCGUUUUAUUUAAUUAUAAAUUAAAAAUUUGAAAGAAAGAGAAAUAGUGAGUGAACGGGCAGUUUUGUCUGACAUAGUAAUAGCUUAAGCAAUACAAUGAACUUGAGGUGGCAGUUUUUGAAAUAUUUUAUAUAUAAAUAAGUUGUAUCGAGUCUCUCGAGACAUUCUUUCUUCUAAUUUUGAUCAUUGCAUCAUAAUCCUGCAUCUGUGUUCAUAAUAUAACUUUGUGCAUUACUUCAUUUUUUGGCACCUUUGGAUUCCUUGUAUCUUGAAUCAAAACUUAAUUGCAGGUUCUAGCAUGUACUUUUGUGUUUUUGAUGUGGGUUAUGUUUGUAUUUGAUGAGAGUAUAUGCUUAUUUAAUGGUAAUUGAAAAAAUUUGAUUUAAAACAGUCUAGCAUGUGUUGUUUUACAUUGAAUACUGUUUUCGUGAAAAGGGUUUUGUAUAUCGUUCAUUGCCUGUAGCUAUUGUGAUAGACAGUGUGUAUGCACCUUUGGCAAGCUCAACUCUUUUUGGAAUCCAUUAUUGAUUUGAUUAUUAAGCAUGUUUAGAAUUGGGUUGUAGUGAUUUUUAAGCUGUACGUAGUUGUUGAGGAAUGAAAUUAAAACAUUAGCUGCUAAAUAAAGUGGGGGUUUAUCAAAUAUUUUGGUCAACCACAUCCAUGUAAUUAUUUUUUAUUCUUUCUUUUUAACAAUGUGCUUUGCUGUAUCAGGAGAAUCCUAGUCCGGAAGGAAGAAUGGGAGAACCAGAAUGAUUGGUCCUCAACCACUGAUAUUUGAUCAUGCUGCUCAAAUCUUUACUGUGAAUCAUUCUCGGUUUGGUGAGUUGGUUGAUGGUUAGUCGCAGAAAUGUUUGGUACGACCAUGGGAAGGUGUGAUUGGAGAGUUGAUGUAGGUAGAUGUAACAAAAUGAAUAAACGAAUCGAGUUUGAAUCGAAUCGUAAACAAAUUAGGUCAGAACUGUGCAGAUUUGGAUUCGUUUUUUUAUUAAACAAAUUAAAAUCUCAGGAUUUAGAUUUAAUUUAUUUAUUAAACGAAUAUUCGGUUUGAUUCGUUUAAUUUAUUUAGUAGAAUUAAUAAACGAAUUGAAUUGAAUUUAAAUUUGUUUACUAUUCAUUCAUUUAUCAUAUAACAAAUUAAUAAUGAAUCGAACUGAAUAUGAAUUCGUUUACAAAAAUAUAAUUAAUAAACAAAAAUUAAGCAACACAAAUUAUAAAAAAAGACUACAAAUUUAACAUCCUACAAAAUGCAAACUUAUUAUUAUUUAUUAUUACUAUAAUACCUUCAAAUUUUAAAUUUUUUUCAUGUGAAUAUUGAAAGAUAAAUAAGUAAUUUAAACGGAUAAUAAACGAAUGAAUCGUAUUCAAUUCAUUUAUGUUCCAUUUAUUAAAAAAAUACUAAAUGAAUAAAUAUCCUCAAGCCUAAAUUCGAUUUUCUAAUUAGUGAAUCGAAUCAAAUUCACCCAUUUAUAACGUAAUCAUUUAUUUUUCAAAGGCAAACUCAUUUAAUUAGCAUCGAAUUGAAUGGAAAAUUCAUUCCAUUGUCUUCUUUACCUCCAAAAUAAAUUGGUGUUAAUGGAAUGCACUCUCUUGCUGACUCUUUAUUGGCCUUGGUAACAAAUCUUUGUUUUGCUUUUGUGUUCCUUUCUUGUCGAUUCUACCAUGCUUCUUUGCAUCAAAAGGGGGAAAAUUGUCUAAUUAAAUCACAAUGGUAAGAAACUGAAGUAUUGUUUUGAAGUUUGCUGGAAGGUGGUGUAGCUGCUUGGGUAUUCCAAGUCCCAAAAUCUUUAUAUUUUUCAGGUUUGACAGGAGAAGGAAGAUAAGAGUGUAUGAAACUAAAAGCUACAAUUAUAUGGUCACAUGAUUUCAAUUGCUUUGGCUGCAUUGCUAGACUUAAUGAAGCAGUGCUGAUAAUGAUCAUAACUGAGGAAAAGAAUAACCAGCAUGAACAUUUUGCACUGACACGGUGAGAGUAUAAGAUUGAACACUUAAUGAGAGAGCAUAUAUAUAUAUAUAUAUAUAUAGAGAGAGAGAGAGAGAGAGGGGGGGGGGGGGGAUUCUUGCGCCAUUAGUUAGGAACUGGUGAAUUAGGAAGUUGAUUUUAUUGUUGAAAUUUCUUUGUAAAGAAUGUAAGUUUGAGUGGGGAUUUCUUGUCAGAAUUUUUGAAGAUUGAGCAGCUUUAUUGAAGCCAGGAGCAAUCUUCUACCAAGCAAAGCUGUGCGAUCUCAACUUUGAAAAUAUGUUGUACAAAAUUAUCUGGUCACAUUCCUAAGUUUGUUUUCUUUGAUUACAGUUGUCAUAAUUCCAAGAUGCACAUACUCGAGAGAAUAACAAACAAUAUACCAAGAUAUAUAAUUGUUCCACUCUUAUUUAUGAAAAUGGCACAAAGGCACAAAUUAUAAUAUAGUGGGUGGAAAAAAAUAAUUGUUAUCACAAAAACGACUUUAAGAUUUUUAAUUAAUUUGUAAAGAUUGACACAAAAAAUCUUUGUAUGGACUUUGUGCAGUCUUCGUUUAAGUGUCUGCUUGUUACAUGGGGAAGAAGAGCCUUUUCAGAAGGUGGGGAAGGGAAACAUAGAAUAUCAGAAGGGACCAGCAAUGUUGCAGCAGGCAAGCCUUCGAGUUCCGAAUGAGCGGUGCUAGCGUCAUUUGCUUUUGACGCAGCCGCUGCUUCAAAUGGGGACACCUAACCCUCUGUUUUUUUUUCUUAAUCACUUGCAAUUUGUGAUUGAAAAACCCUCAUUCUUUAUGCUUAAUUACUAUAUUACCAUUUCCUUCAGUUUUUUUUUUGGAAAAAAUUACAUUUAUUUAAAGUUUAAAUUGACUACAAUGUUUGCUUAAUAUGACAGUAACAAUGUUACGCAAAUAUUUCUUACUCAAAAUUUUAUUUUUCUGAGAUAAGAUUCAAAUAAUAAUAAUAAUAAAUAUCAAUACACCAUUAUUAUUUUUUCACUUCUUAUUUUAGCCCCUCUCUUUAUUAUGAUUUUUACAAAUAAUUUGAUACUUUUUGUGAAAUUAAUAGGUCCUCUUAAUUAUUAGUGGAGUAGAUUUAACUAGUUUAAGUUUUGAUUUAAAUAUUCAAAAUGCUUUGGAUAAUCGAUUUAGGAGAUUCAAAUAAAUUUUUUACUAUAAAUAUCAAUAUUUUUAUCAAGUAAUUUAGUGACUUAUAAUGAAAAGUACUUUUUACUUGUGCAAUUUUUUAAUAAAUUUAAUCUGGUACUGACUUCAUAUUUUUAUUCAUAAAUAUCUUUUCUUUUUGGUUAAUUGUUUGUCUCAGGAAAUAGAUUAAACAAAUAUAUAAAGGUGUUUGUGUUAUAAAGGGUGUUAUUGAUAAUCAUACUAAUAGCAAAAACUGAAACUAUUUUUUUGAGAUAAAGUUGAGUUCUUAUCAAUCUUCAAAGUUGUUUGUUAGUUUCGUCAAUGAGUUUAAUUGGUUUAGAAAAUUAUUUGAAGGUAAUAGAAUUACAUUUAUACUUUAUGGUUCAAUGGGAAGCCACCAAAGCUAUUUAUCAUUUGAGUGAAAAAUUAACAGUCUUUCACUCACUGUGUCGAUUAAUACACUCAUUAUUCUUAAAUUAUCUUAACACUCCCAAAAUAUUUUUUAUGUUAAAUUAAUUUGUAAUAUGUUAAUUUUAUAUUGUAGAUAUAUUUUAAUAAUAGUAAGGAGUUGGAACUGGAAGCACGAACAAAGAAGAAUUAUUGUAGCCAUUUGAAAACAUUAUUGAGCAGAUUUAAUAAAAAAAUAAAAAAAUAAAGUGAGCAAUCAUGUUUGUAAUGGUUAGGAGGCCAUUAUGCCGCCUGACCAUCACCAUGUUUUACUUGUUUGUUUGUGUGAUAAUAAUAAAACAAAAGAAGUUAAAGCUGAAGAUCGCCUAUAAAUAGGAUGAACUUCUGCGGAGGGGGGACGAAGAACCGAGAGAGAACGAAGUGAAGCUGAGGAUUUUCUUUCUUUCUUUCUUUUUUCUUUCCUUGUUUUCUUCUGUAUCAAUUUUCUUGUAAUAUAUUCCAGAAGUUUGUCAAAUAAUAAAAAGAGUAUUCUAUUUUCUUUCAAUAUGAGUGAUUAAUUUUACUAAGCUGAGGUGCAGAGUGAAGCUCAAAGUUUUAAAUUAUAAAAUUAAUUACUUUCUCAAGUGAGUUUUAAUUUUAUUUUAUUCUUUUUUGUUAUUUUUAUGCAAUGUUAAUUUAUAGAUUUCCUUGGAUUUGUAUGAUAUUUUGACAUAAUGUCGACACAUUAAUAUAGUUGUGGCACAUUAGGUACUUGAUUCUAUAUUUAUCCACACACAUAGUUAGUUAAGAAUUAAAUGACAUAAUAAGUAACUGAUAAAAGUGAGGUAAAAUAUAAAAAUAAAAGAGUAUUAAAACCAUAGUUUGAAUACGGAGAGUGGAUCUUAUAACCUUAGCAUAUUUUUAUAUUGAUUCCUAUUAAUUUUUUUCCUCAUUUAAUUUUCUUUGUUUAACAAAUUGACUACUAGAUUUUAAAUUCUCUGUUGUUCGAUCCCGGACUUACCGGAUUAUAUUAUAACUAGACACUUUUAUACUUGAGAGUAAUAACAUUUUUGAGUCGUGUCACUUUACAUUUUGUUCUUUUAUCUUUUUCUUCUGACCACAAGACAAGAAUAUGAUGGUCUCAAGAGUUUUUUAAUUCAACUAAAUUUCAAUGCAUGUUGACCAUGAACUAUGUGUGUGUGUAUAUAUAAUGUAAUCAAUUCAAAUAAAAUAUUUUCUUUCUUAAUAUUAGUUUACUAGAUUCAGCUGUCUUAAGCUUAGUAGUUAUUGUGAAUUUCGACCUCGUUACUACUAGUCUGUUCCAGUCAACUUGUGCGCUUGUGAGUACACAAUUUGCUCAACAUUUGACAUACUAUUCAUUCAAUUAAGCCAAACAAUAAAAUAGUAAAAGCCCAUUUGGGAUUAGUUUUUGAGAUACUUAAAAAUGAUUUUAAAAAGUUAAAAACUAAUUUUAGUGUUUGGUAUAUUUAAAAAAAAAUCAUAUUUGGCAAAAUCACCCCAUUCUAUAGCACAUUUUGAUAAUAAGUUUUAUAUUUAAUACCGUUUCACAUAUAUCCUCACAAUUGUUAUAAAAAUUCAAAAUUAUCCUUAUUUAAUUAGGAAAUUAAGUCAUUAAAUUUAAACAUAUUAUUAUUAUGACUACUACUAAUACUACUACCACUAAUUAUAUUGAGAUAACAAAAUUAAUAAAAUAAAAAAAUUUUGAGUUAUUAGUUAUUUUAUGUACACAAUACAAAAAAUAAACAUUUUAUAUAUAUCAAUUAUUUGUAUUCUUAUAACAAUUAACUGUAAAAAUUACUAAGUACAUAUGACUAUUUUUAAAACUCAUAACACUUUUAAAAAUAAAUUUUACUAAACAUCUUAUCUGCUAACAUCAAUCAUCAUGUUCCAUGUAUGUUGUUCUAUCGUUUGUGUGUUAGGUUGCAUUAGUUUUUUUAUCUGAAAUUUGAAUAGGUCUAAAUAAAAAUGUCUAAAUGACUUGUUUGUUUUUUUCUUUUUCAACAUCCGAAGAGAAAAAAAAUAAAAGGUAGUAGUUUGACAUAGAUAUCCUUUUAAGUGAUGCAUAUAUUUGUUCUUCACAAUUUAUAAUUUUCACAAGUUGAUUUGUUUGGCAGCAUUAAAAAAAAAAAACUAUCAUUAUUGAUUUUAAUUUAAUUUUGUAAUAAAAGAUGUAAUUAUGAUAUUAACUUUUAUUAUAAAGUUAACAUUGUUGUUUUAUUUUUUAUUCAUCACAAUAGACAUAAUUUGAUUUGUUCAAUAUUUCAAUUUAGUUAAUGUUAUCAUGUGAAUAAAAAUUUAAAGCAAUUAAAAAAAAUAACUUCAAGAAUAAUACAAAAAUAUUAGGUUUAUAUAUAAUAUUGAAAAUACAUGAAUUGUUAAGGGUAUUUUUGAGAAUUGAAAUUAAAAUUUUCUAUUUACACUUCAAAAUUUAGAUAAAAGUGGAUUUUUUUUACUUUUCCUAUUCAGAUAAAUUUGUACAAUGAGUGAUAAGUUAAAAAACCAAACAACCUAAAAUAAAUAAAUGUUUGGAAAAAAGUUAAAUUCAGACUUCUAGCUAAAAAACAAACAGCACCUUAGUGUGUAAAAAAAUAAAGGCUUUAAAUAUAUUUAAUAUUCCUAUUAAAAUAUUUAGUACGCUAUAUUAACUUAUCCACUGGUGUAGAAUUUGAAAAAAAAAAGUUUGUUUUCCUGUUCAAUUUUAAGUACUAACAAUUAAAGAAACAGAUAAACAAAAUUUUUUUUCAGUCAAUAAUCUAUACCAUUAAAAAAAAAAUUAAACUAGGAUUGUAAAUAAAUGAAUAAAUAAACGCAUAAUUGAUUUUUUAAAAAAAAAAAUUAGCCAACAUACCAUGAUGAAGUGAGGUACCAUGAAUCUUAAAAAUAAAUUUAUUGUUUUGAUGAGAUUUUGUCUCUUUUUCUUGCAUCCAAAAUCCACUCAAAAUUAUGUAGAAGCAUAGUGGUUGUUAGAAAUGUACCCCAAGUACGUGCAUAUCCUGCCACCAAAAUAGGACUCAACUCGAGUUAUCCAAACUUAGUGAAACUUAAACUUUGUGUUUCAAUGAGCUAGUCAACCACAUCCAUGUAAUUAUCAUUACCAUUAUUGUUGUUAUUGUUAUUUUCCUUUUAAAACGGUGCCUUUGCUAUAUAUCAGGGGAAUCAUGCAUGGGAACCAGGAUGAUAGGUACUGAUUCAAAGUCCCAAAAUGAUCACAGUUUUGAGGUUUGACCCCCACAUGCACAAGGAAGAUAAGAAGCUAAAAUUAAUUACAUGGGCUGCAAUGGGUGGACUUAGAAUGAAAUGGCAUGACGGCCGAGGAAAAGAAGAACUAGAGGGAACAUUUUAUUUUGCACCACUGUGUCAUGACUGCAAUUCCUGCACAGUAACAAGCUUAUUAAUAGUCAUAUAUGCCACACUAAUAAUUAGCGUAUUUAUACAAACAUCUUAAUUAUCAAGGCACAAAUGAACUUAAUUAAAUUCAAAGAUGGCAAUUCAGAAGCGAUAAUAUAUCCCAGCGGCAACUAAUAUAUAUAAUAGAAAUUAAAGUCCAUGGUUAGCAUUAACAUUGUGACACGCGGUACUACAGAUACAGGCUUACCCUUGGUUUGUUUUGGUAGAGUUAUGCAAAUGGCUGAAGCGUUGGCUGGUGCUUGCAAAAGAUAGAGAUCCAGCUCGCAUGCUCAUUUCAACACUUGGCGCUUGGCGGGUGCAGUGAGUUCUGCAGCAGGCUCUACAAAUUAAAUAAUAUAGUUUUAUUUAUUUUUAAAAUAAUUAAAACUCUUUUAUUUGCCCACCACUUAAGUUUUUCUCCAAUCACAGGAUAGGGUCCUUUCCCGCCUUUUCCCGGUAAAUCCUUUAGGAUUGUAGACGUGGCAGAUACCAAGAGGAGGAAGAGAAGCCGUGUUUGACUUUUAGAAAGAAAUAAUAAUAAUCUUGGAGUAAGCUGACGCAAAUUGUAGGGCCUGCACCACUUUAUUAAUUUAGUUUUUUCAGCCGCUAAUUUUUUUCAUGGAGUAAUUUGUAAAAACCUCCCUUAAGGUUUGAGCUUGUUGUAAGUAGAUAAUAAAAAUAUAUUUAUUUGUAAAAAUUUUUUUACUAUCAGUUAAUUUUAAUAUUGACCGUUAGUUGAUUGUGCAAAGAUAAUAGUACCCUUAAUAAUAGUUUGUAGAUAGAAAUAAUUAAAAAAAAAUUAAAAUUAUUAGUUAUUUUAUCCUCUUUAAAUUAUUGAUAUUUUCUUAAAGUUCCUACAAAAAAAAUAAAAUUAAAAACUUAAAAAAACCUCUUUAAAUUAUUGAUAUUUCCUUAAAAUUUCUACAAGAAAGAUAAAAUAAAAAACUUAAAAAUGAAAUAGUCAUAAUCUUUACCUAUAAUAUUAACAAAAAUAAAAUUGUCAAAAAAUAAGAUUUGUGCUUUUCGCGCCAACAAUAAUCUUGGAGUUUCCAGCUGCUAAAUUGUAGGGCCUGCACCACUUUAUUAAUUUAGUUUUUCCAGCUGCUAAAUUUCUCCAUGUUACAUUACAUUACACGCAAUUUUGAAGUUUAAAUUUGUCUCUCUUUUUUUAAAAAAAAAAAAAGAAAAAAAUAAUUUUUAUCAUUUCUGUUUCCCCCCAGUAAUUGUCUUAAAAUAAAUAUUGUACUUCCGCGUAGUACGCAGCACAAGGACAUUAUGAACGGUAUUUAAUCUCGCCCCCUCUUGUUCACAAACAAUUUUGAAGUUUCAAAGGAAAUUAAAGAAAGCUUUAGUUUCCUCCCUUGACGUUGACGUUCUAAUCUCUAACUGAUUGCUUUACUUACCGUGCCGUCUUACCUCACCGAACACAAAUGUAUGGGGACUCUUGACUCAAAUCACAAUUGAAGCCUGCCCAAUAGUUUGUGUAAGUGUCCUUAAUUUUUUUCUUUCAGAAAUUAUUAUUACACCACUUUUCUUUUAUCUCAUAUUAAUUCAACCACUAUAAAAUUUUAAUAUGUUCUCUAUAUCAUAUUUUUAAAAAAAUUUAUAUCAAUUAGACACUUUUCCAUUAACACCGUUAAAUAAUUUAAAUGAAACGAUAAUUUUACUUCUAAAUAAAUUAAAAGAUUAUUUUAUCUUAUAAAAGCUUUGAAAAUAAAAAAUUAUAAUUAUAAAAAUACUCCUACAUUUAAUAAAGAAAUGUAGUGCAGAGAACAUUGUAGAAUUUGUGGUGGGUGGAUGAACAUAAGAUUAAAAAAAAUGGUGCAAUGAUAAUUUUUUUUUUCUAAGAACUGUCCUUAAAAUUGAAAACAGAACAACAAUUUUUUUUUUUUUCAUUCAACACUAUUAGAAAAAGCAAAAAACACAACAUUUUGUCUGGAAUGAAAGGUACGGUCAACCUGUAAAAUUUCAUCUAACCCCCUAUGCUCUAUAUAUUUUAUUCAUGAAUAUUAUAAAUUUUUUGAAAUGUAAAAUUUCGUUUAACCCCUUCUACUUAAUUUUAUUUUAUUAAAACCAUAGAGUAUGAAUUCGCCCCCAUAAUUUUAAAUUCUCAAAAUAACCUCUAUUUAAUUAAAAAAUAUAAUUAUUAUUAAAUAAAUUAUAAUUAUAAUUUUAUUAUAAUCAUAAAUAUUUUUUUAGAAAGCGACUCGCUCUCUUUGGCUCUUCCCCAAAAUCUGUGGGAACUUAAAGUUUAACUUCUAAUAAUUAUAAAUUUAAACUUUAAGUUCUAACUUUUAGUUUGUCCACGAGGCUUCUACUUUCCGAAAUGAUCCAUUCAAUCUCUUUUUGGCUUUGAUAAGACUCCUGGACGGUAUUUAUUGAAUUAGAUUCCACAAUCAAAGGAAAGAAACUCGAAUCUGUUGCCAACUUGAUGCCUUGUAGGACAGCUUCAGCCUCUGCAAACUCGAUGUCGCCGAGAAAAGAGCUGAGCCAACCAUGAAAUCUCCCUUGGAAUUUCUUAUUAUUAUUACACCCAAACCUGUAAUUCCAUUGGAGACAUCAAUCGCUGCAUCAACUAUUUAUUUAUUUUAACAUUCUUUGUAACGCAGCAUGAUAAUGUCUCAUUAUAUGAUAUUGUGCUUUACGAGCAUUCAAAAUUCUUUCGAAUUUAAAGAUUUUGAGAUAUACAGUAGUACUUUGAUAAAUUUAUAAUUUUGAUUAAAUAAAAAUUUAACCAACAUAAUAAAUAAUAUUUUGAUAAGUUUAUUGAAUAAUAAUUUUUUUUAAAUUUCAUUUUCUUAUAAGACCCACUUAAGAUAUAAAUUAAUAAUUACCUAAUUUAAAAUUAAAUCGAUGAUGUCAUAUGACUUUUGAAAACUAUGUUCCUAUUGUUAACUUUUUUGGUUUCUUGAAAUUGAUUUGAAAUUAUUAGAAGUUAAACUUUAACUUCUAACUUUCAGCCACUUGUUGGAAGGAAAGGAGAAAAACAGAAUGAGCCGUGCUAGCGUCGAGUUAGCAACCUCAAGUUCUAAAAGCGACUCUCAAGUAGGGAUGGCAAUGGGCACCGCCCGCAGCGGGUUUGCCAUUACCAAAUCCAAACCCGCACAAAAUUUAAAUUACUAAACCCACCCGCAACCCGCAGCGGGUUUUAAUUUUUGUACAAAAACCCACCCGCAGCGGAUUUUAACAAUUACCAAACCCGCAAUGGUAUCCGGCGGAUUUUUUGCGGGUUUCCGUAUUUAAAAUCACAAAUGUUUAAUAUAUAAAUUUAUAAUAAUAACCUCAAAUUCCAUAUAACAUACUUAAUUUUAUAUUUAAAUAAUGUAAAUGAAAAAUUAAAAUUUCCACAUCAAUUCAACACAAAUUCUCAAAUUUAAGUAUAAAUUACACAAAUCCAUUUAAAAAACACAAACUAGUAUCUAAAAAUAAUAAUUACAUUUCAUAUUAUCAUUUAAAACAAGCUCCAAGAGAAGAUAUUCAUUUCAUUCGCCACCAUAAGCACCCAUCCAACACAAUGCCUAUAAUAAUAAUUAAGAUUAAUAUUUUCAAAUACUAAUUCGAAGGAAAAUGCCUUUAGUUUUCUUUAGAUUAUGACUUUAGAAUAAGAUAUAGGCCACAUACACACAUACACAACUUUGAGCCUUUGGCUAUUUGGUAAUUUAAUUAAUGACAUUAUUUUCUUUAUACAUUUUUAGAUUAAAAUUAAAUUAAAAAUAUUUGAAAAAAAUAUUGCGGGUUUGGUGGAUAUCCAUGCGGGUAUCCACCGGAUAUAAGGUUAAUACCAAACCCACCCGCAUUCAUGUGCAGGUUUUAAUUUAUAAUACUAAACCCGCCCGCAACGAGCGGAUUUUAACGGAUGGAUCUGAGCGGAUUUGCGGGUACAAUUACCAUCCCUACUCUCAAGUUACAAAGCGACUCGCUCUCUUUGGCUCUUCCCCAAAAUCUGUGGGUGAGCGGUGCUAGCGUCGGUCGCCUUUGGGAGCGACUGACGCAGUCAGUCAGUUACUACUGCUAAGGGUGACAAGUGUCCCUUAUCUUUUUUGUGCUUUAUUAAACGAGUAAAAGAGACGACUAACGAGUGAAGCAAUAAUGACGGCACGAAAACCUGAAAAAUCUGUCUUUUCAGUGAAUAGUAUUUUGAAAAAAAUUCCUUUCUAGGACGGAGUUGGCUUCUGGAAUAAGCCACGUCGAAUAAUCAUGUCUCUUUUCAGGCCCGUCAUUCCACCAUCCCAUUUUCUAUUGUUUAGUUUCUCACUCCACAUCCAACGGCUGAUGCUGCAGUCUGUAGCUUACAGAUUCUGUAAGCUAGUCAAGUCCCUCGUUUCAUACGCAGACAAUGUCUCUUACAAUUGACAGUCACACAAAAUGGCAGCUUCCCUCGCUUGACGUGUCACCCCAUUUGGAUCAUAAUUGGGAGUCCAGGGACGGAGUCAGCAUGGGACGAGGUGGGGCACAGCCCCAGCUGGCUUUUAAUUUUUUUUAUAAUUAUACUAAAAAUUUGUAUUUUAUUUGUUAUUUAUGAAAAAUACCCCAAUUAAAUUAUAAAAUUUGAAAUCGACUCCAAUAAUUUAAAAAAUAUUUCAUACUAUCCCCAGUUUAAAUUUCUAAUUAUAAAUAAUUUAAUUAGUUAUUAACAUUUCAUGAAACUUGAUUAAAGACACGAGAAUAAAUAUUAAAAUAAAAAAACAAUCAUAACAAAAUGUUAGUAUAAUGGUUAAUGGACUGGUAUUUAAUCUUUUUAUUUUUUAUUCAAGUAAAAUCAAUUAUUUAGUCUUUCAAUACUGAACCAUAAGUUGUAAGUCUACCUAAUUCUAAUUUUUAAUUUUCUAAUUAAUCUUUUGUCUAGUUUUAAAUUUUAUAAUUUUAUCAUGCAUUUCAUAUUUAUUCUUUGUGUUGCAAUAUAUGAAUAUUUUUGUUAUUAUUAAAAGAUUUUAAGAGCAAAUUAAGUAAUAGCCUAGUAUUGUAUAUUGACAAAUAUAUUUUUGCUUAUAUUGAUAAUGCAUUAUUUUAAACUCAUCAAAUCUCAUUGAGGAGUUUUCACGGAGAACCAUUGUAAUAAAUAAAUUUAUUAUCAAUGAAUAUUAUAGUUGUAAUGUUAUAUAUUGAUAUCUAAAUUUUUAUAAAUGUAUUAUACUUUAAAUAUGGUUUCAAUUAGAUGCAUACAAAUGCACUCUAAAAGGAGUACAAUUAUACAUGUCGCAAGUUCCCAUUUGGAGUUUAUAGGGCCCACAAUACAAUUUCUCAAAUGGGAACUUAUCACAUGAGCAAUCGCUCAUUUGAGUCAUGUUUGAUUUCAAAUGUGCCCUGGCUCGAUCAAAAUUCUGGCUACGUCCCUGAUUGGGACCUACUUGCGAUGUGAUCGGUCUCCAAGUCCAACAAUGUGAUAAAUUUCAGUCGCACAAGAUCUCGCUUGACGUGUCACCCCAUUUGGAUCAUAAUUGGGACCUACUUGCGAUGUGAUCGAACUCCGAGUCCAACAAUGUGAUAAAUUUCAGUCGGGGUAAUUUUUAAAAACCACCCUUGAGAUUUGCCUUUGCUACACCUAAAUAGAAUGUAUGCAUAUAUUGACAAUAUCCCUCCUGACUGUGUAUAAGAGUUAGGCACCCGUUAGAUAGUUGAGGGCAACAACGUAAAUGCCCUAUUUUUUAAUUUUUAAAUCUUACAAAAACUGAUAUACGGUAAAUGAUUAGAUGAGCAACUAGAGAAUGCACAUGAUGCUUUGAAGCUAGUGAAACCCGAGGGGGUUAGUAACCCAUUUUCAAACCCAUGGACAAUGCUUAGCUUCAUUUCUUCUUGUUUUUUCUGAACAUAACUUAAUACCCACUGAAUUUAGCAAUAACUGAGGCACUUUGUGAUACACUAAGCUAACAAAUUUAUGAGAUCAACUAUGUUUUGAACUGAAUUCUAACGAUGACCGACAUCUGACCAACCACUGAUUGAAGAGCGUGAAAGAUGUGUAUUUCUGUGGAAGUUUAAAAUUGAAGUUGGGUUUUAUUAUUUUCUUGGAUUUUGUUUUAAGAUUUUCACAAAAUAACGAAGACUCUAAAUAUAUAUUAUUUCUAUUAAACUAUUUAAUAUGCUAUUUUAACUUAUUUAAAGGAUAAUAUUGGUGAAGCUUUUGUUUUAAAAUUGGUGAGGAAUCUAAAUUCCUCACCCAUUGCUGCAGAAUUAAAAGAAAAAGUUUGUUUUCUGUUUUCAAUUUUAAGGACUAACAACUAAAGAAAGAGGAAAACAAACAAUUUUUUUUUCAUUCAAAAAUCAAUACUACUAAAAAAACACACACACACACAACAUUUAGACUAGGAAUGUAAAUAAAUGUAUACAUAAACGUAUAACUGAAUUUAUGAAAUGAAGCUGAUGGAGUACUGAGGAGCCCUUUUCACACACGCACGCACCUCAGAAUAUAUAGCAAAAUAAAUGACACAUCAUAUAAAUCAUUAUACAAAAUACAAGAGACAACUACAUCUGCGAUUAAACAGAAAUCAGUGAAGAAUGAUGAUACACGUACAUAAAAGAGAAAUCAUGAAAGAUCAACAACUCCUGCUCAAACUGGGUUACACAAGACUUGAAGACUAGACUAGCUCAACCCUGUAAGCAGGGCCGGAUAUAUAACUAAAAAUUGAAGCAUAGCAGGCUAGGAGAAACACGUAUGUGAGGGCAACGGAGGCAAUGAUGGAAGUAUUGGCGGCACGUACAGCUACUGAGUGAUACUCAUAUAGGUUGAGGGGACGCACAUUGGAUCAAUUCGUAGGGCAUACCUGACUUAAGAGCAUGAUGUCUUAUGCCGGGCACUUUUUGACUGUAAGAUUCAUUGAAGAAUACCAAGGCUUUAUUGACCACUCUCUUGUAGGAACCAUCGGACCUACCACUUUGAUUUUCUGCACUUGGUAAAAGCGCAGAAACAACAAUCUGAGCAUUCGCUCCCUGGGUGUCUUAAUCGGCUUCGGCGCAGAAACAACAAUCUGAGCCUUCGCUCCCUGGGUGUCUUAAUCGGCUUCGGCGCAGAAACAACAAUCUGAGCCUCCGUUCCCUGGGUGUCUUAAUCGGCUUCGGCUUUUUGGCUAAAGCCGAUUCGGACCUACCACUUUCAUUUUCUGCACUUGGUAAAAGCGCAGAAACAACAAUCUGAGUCUUCGCUCCCUGGGUGUCUUAAUCGGCUUCGGCGCAGAAACAACAAUCUGAGCCCCCGUUCCCUCGGUGUCUUAAUCGGCUUCGGCUUUUUGGCUUAAGAAGAGGCAUAGCAUUUGGAAAACACAGCUCCUGAGUGUCACAAAUAUAAAUAUUAUUCACUACUUCAUUCGACCUCACCAUAAUCCAAGAAGCCCCUUCUCUUGAAUUUACACCUCAAAAUGUGCCCUAGAAAAAAUCAGCGCUCUGUGUUCUGGAACGAGGAAGAAAAACUCGUUCGCUUCAACCACCGUCUUCCAUCAGGGACGAAGCAAGAGGAUGUGAUGGUAGGCAUUGAUGAAGAUGCCAAAUUGCUUACGAUAACAAGCAAGGUGGCAAGUGCACAUAAAGAUUCCUCAGUGAUCACAUCCUCUCUCUUCAGUUUCCUGAAGAAGAAGGAAGGAGACACCACCAGCCAGGUAAUCCGGAUGGAAUUCAACUUGCCAGCAGGUCUGAAUCCAAAUGGUUUCAAGGCUGCAAUCGAUGCCGAGGGGUUGCUAACUCUCACUUUUGAGAAGCUCGUGCCCAAUCAUUCCGAAACGCCCUCGGACCUCGUAAAGGUCUCCGUGCAGUGGAAGAGCAAAAAAGGCGUCUUUCACUUCAAGGCCCAUCUGCCAGCGGGGACGAAGAUGGAGGACAUGAUGGUCGGGAUAGAAGGUCGCAAAUCCCUUAUGAUAGGCAUUUGUGAUCUGCCGAAGACAGAGGAAGGGGACACCAGUACUCUCAUGUGCUUCGAUGGCAAGAACUUUAGGAGCUUCAUUUUGCCAGAUGGUGUGAACCCAAAUGGCUUCAAGACUGCAAUGGAUGAUGCCGGCGUUCUUACUGUUACCUUCACUAAACUCAAGCCACAGAAGAAAAAGCUGUGGCCAAUAGCAAAGAAGUCGCUGGGAUGUUUGGCUCAUGCUGCUUGUUUGCUGAUAUGUGAGAAGAUAAGUGAUGGGAUAUGAGUUGAGGAGACUGCUAAUAAGGAAUUUGCCUCAAGUUCAUGCAUGUUGUUCUGUCGUUUAUGUAUUAGUGUUUGAAAAUAACUCUGUACCCGAGACCAGGUGCUUGUAACUACUACAGGGUGCUUGUAAUAACUAUGUUGUAUUGUAUCCCCUUCUUUGCAGGGAAAGAAGGGAGCUUUAUCUGAUUAAAAGAUGAUAAAUGCUGAGCGAAAAAUAAAUGUUGUGUUUGUUAAAACUUAAGCAGCAAUUUAAAUUUUUUCUCAAGUAGCCGCCAUCCUCCUUUUACUUUUUGGCCGCUGGUAUGGCAGCCGCCUCCGGCAUCGCCCAAACUGCCGUUCACCACCCAACCAGCCGGGAUCCCCUUUCCUAACCGUUGCCGCCCCAAAACGAAAAUCCAAGUUCACGGCUUCCUCAUCAAAAUCUAGCCGCCAUCUCCUCCACCACCGUUGGCGGUGUUUUACAGCCGCCUGAACCCUCCUCUGUCACCUUGCAGCUGCUGCCCAACCACCUUCUUCACCAAACCCCGUCGACAACGUAUCGUCCUUUAACGCGUGUCGGUCCAAAGCGACACAAUAAACCCUAGUUCGUUACCAUCUUCCCGAGCCGCCACCACUCUUCCUGCCACAGCUGAACCUGAUGUGCUGCCGUCGGUUCACUUCACAUCAUCCCAACAGCCACCGUCUAGCUUCACAGCUUCCAACCUUGGCCACACGCAACUCCUUUUGGCUACCGCUUUUGGCCUUGCAACGUCCCCAACCGAUGCUCGUUCUCCCUCUCAUCCCUUAACUGGCCCUUUGGCUACGACAGUCUCCUACAAUCCAAAUCCGACUCUUCACCAAAACCCUAGCUCGCUCUCUCUUAGCCAAACACAAACCCAUGCGGCUGCCCCUCCUUCCUUGGCUACUCACUCCUUCAACGGUGAUGGUAGCUGCCCUCCUUGUUGCCUUCACAGCCUCCACACAGCCAACAAACAUCCAACUCCCAACUUGGCGGCGAAGAUUCACGCUUUCUGCCUUCAACUAGAGUGCAACAGCAGACAAAGUGAUAACAGGUAUGUCGGAGGGUGUUAAAGCUGCGCUUGGCCUGCUGAAAGGUUCAGUUUACAAGCCCAUCUGUAGAUAUAUUAAUUCAUAAUUAAGAAAAUUCCGGGUUCCUUUGUGAUGAAUUAGAUAAUUAUCCUUUUUUUUCCCCUUUUGGAAUCUGCAGGGGUGCAGCUCUUUUGACAAUCCAAGUAUUCCGUGUAUUUUUUUGUCGUCACGGAAGGGCUGGUAUCUUUGUCGGAGGGUGUUAAAGCUGCGCUUGGCCUGCUGAAAGGUUCAGUUUACAAGCCCAUCUCUAGAAAUAUUCAUAAUUAAGAAAAUUCUGGGCUCCUUUGUGAUGAAUUAGGUAAUUAUCUUUUUCUUUUUUCCUUUUGGAAUCUGCAGGGUGCAGCUCUUCUGACAAUCCAAAGAUCCAUGUAUCUUUGAUCGUCACGAAGGGCUGGUAUCUGUGGCGAUUGGCUGUUGGGUUCAACUUUAGAGUAAGCUGCCUUUAGUGGCAUGGAUCUUACUGAUCAUGUAAGCAAGAAUAUGAUUUUCUUUUGCUUGUUUGGUUUUGUUUUGCACAUGCAAAUAUAUCUUUCAUGAUUGAUAAUUUAUGUCAAAUAAAAAAAAAAGAAUCCCUAUAUAUGGACAUGUAAAUAUAAAUUAGUAUAUUUGCUUCAGUUCAGUUUGAAAUAUCAGACAAAUUUCAAGCAUAAGAUUGAAGCUGGAUUAUUCAUAUAUAAAUAAUGUAAUUGGUCUAUGCAGAUCGCAGAUUAUUUACGAAUUGAUGGAGUUUGUUCUGAGGCGUUUGCUGUCGAUUUUUACUGGGCUAGGAAUGUAAUUAUAGUUGCUAUGACCUUGUAGGCACUGUUGGCAGAUGCGGUAGAGUUGGCGAAAUGAAAGACUUUUUGUGUAAUAUAAUAAUAUGGCAAAUGCUAUGUUACAUUUUCAUCGCAUCAUAUUAAUUUUAUUAGGAAAAAUACCCUUUUAUACCCUGGGAUUUGAUGGAAUAGUCACUUUCUUCCUUACUAUUUAAAUAGUAGCCCAUUUCAUCUAUUUUUUUUAAUCAAUAGCACAAAACACUCUUCCAUUAAUUUACCAUCAGUUUACUGUAUAAUUUAUUGAGGUUAAAAUAGAAUUUUCAAUUAAGUAAUAUAAAUUAUUUUAAAAUAAAACUCUCAAUCAUAAUUAAAUAACAUUUAACUUUCUGUGUAAAUUUAAAAUUUAAAGAUGAAAUAAAUAACGUUAACACUAAAUAAUACUCAAAAUAUGUAUUUAGGACAAAAUAAAAUAAAAAAAGUUUCACGGGCACUGGAGUUUUUUUUUUCAGCAUGUCCUUAACUUUAAUAUGAUCAAGAUAAAUAAAUAAAUAAUCCAUUAGUACUGUUAUUCUACAAAAAGUAAACACAAACUCCUUCAUUUACUUAAUAACAUGUGCACCAAAGACAUAAAAACACAUAUUUAAAAUACUAUAGAAUAAAACACACUACAUUAAAAUGUGUGUGUGUGUGUGUGUGUUUUUUUUUUUUUUUACUUUUAACUUAUCUCUGCUCUUAAUAUGGACAAUGACCCCUGAUUGGAUGAUGAUAAUGAUGAUGAUGAUUUUGUUGUUGUUGUUGUUAUUGUUGUUAUUAUUGUUGUUGUUGAUGUUAUAUAUUCAAAAUUUUAGUUGACUUUAUCAAAAAAAAAUUAAUGGACACAGAUCAUUAUUGUUUCUAUAAAAUUCUUAUGUACAUGAAUAUGAAUCCAUCAUCUUUUUUCUCUGUAACCACUCGUCUCAUUUACAAUCAACAUCCUCUCGAGUCCUCCUUGAGCAAAUGUAUUUCUAUGGAAAAGUCAAACAUCUUGUCAAAGUCAUUGUUAAAGAUAUAUAUACAUUGAAAACUAUGUUUUUUGUUUGAUUAAUUUAUCCUUAAAUUUUAUGUUGAUGGAGAAGGUUAAAGUAAGAUGGUUGUGUGGGAUGAGCAGGGUACCUUCCGGAGGUUAUAACUCAAGCUAUGGUGUUUGUUUUGCACAUAUAAUAUAUUGUUUCAAAGCUUGUAAUGAGACAAACCAAAUUCAAACUUCUUGGGCCAUUCUGCCCUAUGGUUUAGUCAGAAAUUCCACUUUUUUUCAGUCAUUUUUAAGUUAUUUUUCUAUUUUUCAUGUCACUUUUAAGAUUUUUAUCUUUAUAUAUAUAUAUAUAUUAGAUUUAGGUACCGUUUGUUUUGGUUUCCUAAUUAGUUAGUAGAAUUCUACUACAAAAUAAUGUUGCAGACUUUCCUAUUUUGGUAAAUUCGUGAUAUUUAUAGUAAUUAUAAAAGGGGCCCACAAUCCUAUUUUUGCUCAUUCAAACUUUUUAUAAUAAAAUUUCAUUACGUAGAAAUCUAGUUUUUCUUAUUUUUCAAUCUCCACGCUUUCGCAUCAUCAAAAGUCAGGUGUUAUAUUGCAUUUAUUUAAUUGGGAAUCCUAUUUUGCCCUAAUGAAUUAUAGAGUAAACUAACUAUGUAUUCAUGGAACGGUCUUUUGCGCUAUUGUUUGAAAAAUAAUUGUUUGAAAAAUAAGGAUGAAAUAGGCUAUUGUUUAAAAAAUAAGGAUGAAACGUGUUAUUGCGUCAAAACCUAAGGUGAAAAGGUAUUUUUUUUUCCUUUUAUUUAUAUAAAACAAUACAUUCUCUCAUUGACAACACAUAAGAUAAGUUUCACCGAAUCUUCGAGUGUGGUAUUGCGUAAUCGUUUACACUUUUCAGUUUUUAAGCCAGCAAAAAAUGAAAAAAAUUCAAAAUUACAUAAAUUGGAUAAAUUAGAUAAUUAACUCAAAUUAUUAACGGAAUAAUUGUCAUAAUACCUCCAUAAUAUUUCAUUUUGAUAGAUGUCUCUGGUUUGUAAAAUAACUUAAAUUGAUUAGAGCUAAUAAAAACUUUUUCAUUGUAAAAUAACUUAAACUAUGAGUUUAUGUAGGUUAAGUAUAACAAUUUCAUUGUAAAAUAACUUAAACUAUUUGAAAUUGUCAAAAAAAAAAACUGUAAUUUUUUAAUUAUUAACUUACAAAUUCACUGAAACUCGAAACCAAGGUCUGAGAAAAGCAUCACCGAAAGACACUUCAAAUGAGAUUUUAUAUCUCGUUUAAAGACACAUAUAACAAAAAGAAUUCCAAAGGACUUUUAAAAUGUGCUUCUUCAAAUAAAAUUGUCAUUCUCUCUUUUCAAUAUUAAAGAGAAAGAAGAACUAUCUCAUUUAAAGAAUCUUAUUUCAAAGUCUUUUAAAUCCUCUAGUUUAGUAUUAAAUUAUUUUUUGUCUCAUUAUUCUUAAAGAGAGGAAGUGUUAUAAUUGCUACUAUUUUGGUAGAGGAAGAAAUUUGAUUAAAAGAAAAUAAAUUUAUUUUUAUUUAAAGAGUUUUUUUGGGAGAUGUAUUAUUUUUUUACUUUUUUUCGUUUAAAUAUAAAUAUUAAUAUUUCUUCAGUCUUCAAAUAAAGGUUUAUCUUAUCUCUAUAGUUUCAAAGUUGAUCCUCUGGAUUGCAGUUGGCAACUAAACGCAAAAGCAUUUCUUAAUUUCUUUUCUGUUUCUUUUUCUCUCUCAAAAUAAAUACGGGGUUAAUAAAGAAAUUUUAUGAAACGGCCCUGACAGGCGCAGAGACCAAUUCUGUAAAAGUGCAAAGCUCGACGCGUGCCGACAUAGCUGCUGGUUGCAGACAUUCUUCUUCCUUAAGGGAAUAAUUUUGUGGCACUUUACUUUUUUUCGUUUAAAUAUAAAUAUUUAAAAAUUAGAUAUAAGUUUCAAAAGAUAAAUAAAGAAAUUUUAAAAAAAUUUUAAAAUUUCAGAUGUUUAAGAAAUAAGUUCUUAUAUUAAUUAUUAGGAUUUUCGCCUGAUUCCUUGUUUAAAUUAUUUUAAUUACCUAAUCAAUAGUUGUUUGAUUUGAUUCAAGUGGGAAUAGGCUCUCUUUCGAUGAUGUCACUAAGAUGACAUUAGCCCGGGUAACGUCAUUCGAUUUUCAUAUGGUUAUGCAAUGCCUUUUUUAAAAAUCUUUGCAUACGUCAAGUCAACAAGUUCGGCUGAAACGACGAAGAAAGCUGAAUUGUAAAAAAUGAGCUGGAUUCUGUAACAACCAGAUCCAACUUAGCCAGCUCCUGAUUGGUUAGCUAGCUACCAAACAAAAAAUGGCUACAACAGAGACUGAUUGGGAAUGGGAGGCUCAUUCCCACCUCUCCCUUGAGAAUGAGUCUCUCAUUCCUCAUUCUCAAAUUGUGAUGGACCCCAUGAUUCCGAUUUUGAUUCCCGACUCUAUUUUAUGAAUUAAAUGUUGUUAAUGAUUUUAAUUUCGGAUUUCGAUUCUCUAAUCUGGGAAGUAAACGUAAAAUUAAAUAUUUUAUUGUACCUAUCUACUUUAGUUAUUAACGACUAAAAUUUGUUCUCUUUUUAAUUUUUUUCUACUUUUCCAAAAUGCAUCAUAUUGAAAUAAAAUCUUACUUCUAGAACAUCCCACUUGUUUACUUUUAGCCCCGUCGUGCAUAAUUGAAACAUACUUCACUUCCAUUAUCAUCAUCGUGAUAUCAACCGAAGAUAGUUUGAAAAGAGCAAAAUCCAACAAAGUUAGUUUUUUUUUUUUAUACAUAUUUUUUCAUUGAUUAAAAUGGCUACAACAGAGAUUGAUUUAGAAAAUUUAAUUAAUUUAUCCUGCAAACCGAAGCUAGGCAUGGAGUUUGAUUCAGAAGAAGUAGCAUAUGAAUUCUAUAAAUUGACUAAUUGCCCCUCUUUUUGACACUUUUUCAUGGAAUGCAAAAAGUCCUGUACCCCGAGUGAGGGGAAAACAAUAAAAAAAAAAAAAAAAAAACAAUCACUCAAGACACAUGAAAUUCUAAUUUGGGCAAAUAUUAUUCCAAAAUGAUAGCCCAAUCGCUUAGUCUCCUUUUGUUUUGGCACCCUACCAACUCUUUUAAAACCCUUUCACUUAUUUGCUCCUUUUCCGUUUAUUACAAUAAUAACCUUAUUUUAAAAUUUCUUCAUCAAACAUGGAAACCAGUUAUCCAAUCGUCCUCUUCGAACCCCAUAAUCCUAUAUAUAUAUAUAUAUAUAUAUAUAUAUAUAUAUAUAUAUAUAUAUAUAUAUAUUCUUUCUGAUUCUUCUUAUUCUCUCACUCUUGUUUCCAUUUUUUUUCGCCUUCUCUCAUCUUUAGAUUCUUUUAAUCUAUUUUCAUUGCUUCCGAAAAUAAAAGAAAUAAAAAAUUUUAAUCAAACGUAUAAAUUAAUGAAAUUGUUAAUUUGUUGUACUGCAAAUACCAAUCAAAACUCGCAAUUCUCACUAACGAAAAUUUACUGGGGCAAUGACAAUGGAAAAAAGUAUUACUUUAUAACUCCAAACAAAAAAUGUAACAAUUAAUUUAAUGCCUAUUUGUUAAGUAUGAGCUUUAGUUUUAGAAAAGAUACCCAUGCCUAGAAUAAGCGUGUACUAGCGAAAUUACACCCAAAGUAUGUGUUUGUUGCAAACAAGGUUAUCGAUCGAAAGCCAAACAGGUCUUCCAAAAGUAAAACAUAAAGCAAAGACAAGAACCAUGGAUGAUGCUGGAUUAUUUAUCAAGCCAAAUAGGAAGAAGAAUAAUUGGUUUGUUAGUCAUUUUAUUGAGUCUCAUAUGGGUAGAUUUAAUGAAAUAGUGACAAUAAUGAUCAUAACUAAGGAAAAGAAGAGCUAGCAUGAACAUUUUGCACCACUGCAUUAUGAAUAUAAUUCCUUCAAAGUAAAGGCUCCAUAUAUGGAAUAUUAAUAUUGAAUUAAAGUUAGUUAUAUACAAUGUCUUACAUUGUACACCAUUAUUAUUAAAUUAUGUAAAUCAGUUCCUUUGUCCUUCACGCCAUGGCUAAAUACAUUUUCAUGCUUGUUGCAGAUCUCUGUGGUUAAUGUAGUGAGACCUUGCUGGAUCUUGAGCCAUUUAAUGGGAUGUGGCAAUUGAGCGAGAAUGGAAGACCUCGUGGGCGGUAUGAUGUAAUUAUCAUUGCUCGUAAUGGCGAUACAAUGCUGCUACCCUUGCUCUUUUUCUCUCAGCAGCAUUUUAUAGUCUUAAAAUUUUGCAUUAAGAAAAUGCAUGUUUUUGUUUAUUGCAGUGGCAAAAUGUUAAAUGGGCUUCGCUAUUGGGUAUAAAAAGGGAACAAUAUGAGAAAAUUUUUAAGUUUACAUUCCAUCAUUACCUUGGAUUAAGGAGCUGUGACUUUUAAUUUAUUGGGGAAUGGAGUUAAAACUUUAGCUGAUAGAUAAAAAUGGGUGUCUAUUAAAUAUCUUGGUUAUUAUGCUUUCAAAAUUAUGUAGAAGCAUAGUAGUCGUUAGAAAUGUACCCAAGUACCUGCAUAUCCGGCCGCCAAAAUAGGACGCAAUUCGAGUUAUCCAAACUUAAUGAAACUUGAAGUUUGUGUUUCAAAGUUCAGAGCUGAGUUAGUCAACCACAUCCAUGAAAUUAUCAUUAACGUUAUUAUUGUUAUUGUUAUUUUCCUUUUAAAACGGUGCCUUUGCUACAGCAGGGGAAUCAUGCGUGGGAACCAGAAUGAUAGGUACUGAUUCAAAGUCCCAAAAUCACAGUUUUGAGGUUUAACCCCCACACAAGGAAGAUAAGAAGCUAAAAUUAAUUACACGGUCACAUAAUUGGAAUUGCAUGGGCUGCAUGGGUGGACUUAGAAUGAAAUGGCAUGGCGGCCGAGGAAAAGAAGAACUAGCGGGAACAUUUUGCACCGCUGUAUCAUGACGGCAAUUCCUGCACAGUAACAAGCUUAUUAAUAUUUUAUAUAUGCCACACUAAUAAUUAGCUUAUUUAUACAAACAUCUUAAUUAUCAAGGCACAAAUGAACUUGGUAUUAACAUUGUGAGACGGGGUACAAAUACAGGCUUACCCUAGGUUUGAUUUGGUAGAGUUGGCAAUGGUGGAAGUGUUGGCCGGUGCUUGCAGAGGAUAGCGAUCCAGCUGCCAUGCUCAUUUCAAAACUUAGCGCUUAGCAGCAGAGGCGGCUCAACUAAUUUUGGGGCCAUAGAUGAGUUGUUUUAAUUAGGUCUUUUAAAAAAUUUGAGGUCAAAUAUAUAUUAGCUUUACCAAAAAGUUAUUUAUUUAAAAUUAAUUUUUCUAUCUUUCUUAGGUGGAAAAUUAUUGAUCAAAAUUUUAUAUUCUAAUUUCACUAAUUUUUUUAAUAUAGGUAAAUCAUUUAACUUUUCUUGUGACUUAGUUUAUGUUAAAUAAGUUUAUCAAUUUUAAUUUUGAAAAAUUUCGUUAAUUACUAAUUUUUCACUCUAAUUCACAUCUUUUUUAUUAUUUUUGACAAACUUAUCAAGAGCUCCUUUUUGAGAUCGAACUAACUUUUUUAUUCUUAUUUUUUCCCAGUUUUUUAUAUCUUGAUGUACAUUUUCUAUUGGACAUUUUUUUUCUUUUUUAGUGAAAGAAGAGUAAACAAGAAAACGAUUAUGCUAGAUAAUUAAAAGAAAAUAACAAUAAUAUUUAUAAAAGAAACAAUAACGAUUGAAUAACACAACUAAUUAAGAAAAGAAUAAGAAGAAAAAUCUUGAAUAUUUGAAACUUUAACUUUGAUGGAUUGAGAUUUUAAACAGUAAUGAUCAAUGGAAAUAUUUAAUUUUUUUCUUGAGCAAAAAUUACAGAAAGUGUUUUUUUUUUACCUUAUGCAUUAAAGUAUUGAAUGUGUCGUGCCUUUUUCUUUUAAUUGAUAAAAAUAUUAAUGAAUAACAAGUUAAGAAACCAAUGACUUUUAUAGAGUUUUAAAUGAAAUAUCAUUCAAUAGAGAUUUUGUAUGAAUAAAUAGAAUUAAAAUUAUUUAUUUCAACGUUAAAAAAGAGAUUUCGUAGGAAUUUAAUAAUUUAUUUAAGUAAAUAUUAUUAUAGAAUAAAAAUAAAAAUAAAAAAUUUAAAAAUUAUAAUGUUGAGAAGAAUUUGAGGCUUUCUAUGCUGGGACCCUAGGCACCUGGUUGCCUAAGAGAAAAGCCUUCCUGCUUAGCAGGUGCAGUGAGUUCUGCAGCAGUAUCUAUAAAUAAAAUAAAUGUAGUUUAUUUAUUUUUGAAAUAAUUAAAAACUUUUAUUUGCGCACCACCUUAAGUUUUUGUCCAAUCAAAGGAUAGGCUCCUUUCCCACCUUCUCAGUAAAUCCUUUUCGGAUUGGAAAAUGCUAUUUUUCCCGGGUCAAACCCCGGGUCAAACCCCGGGUCAAACCCCGAAUUAGUUCAAAACGGCGUCGUUUUGGCCUUUUUUUUUGUCUUUUUAGUUGCGUGAAACGUUGCCGUUUCAUCUUGUAAAAAAGAAAACAAACUAAACGAAGACGAUUUGCAGAGAAACAGCAACAAAGACGAUUUUUCAGCAACGAAAACAGCUCUUCAACAAACUAAACGAAGAGGAGGGCAGAGGAAUGAAGACGAUUUGCAGAGAAACAGCAACGAAAUCAGCUCUUCAACAAACUAAACGAAGAGGAGGGCAGAGGAAUGAAGACGUUGUGCAGAGAAAGUAAGGACGAUGACUAGACUUUUGGACACGUGUAUUUCUAGAAAUUCCUUCAAAAUGUUGAGAUAAAUGCAAGGCGCUUGGAAAUAUUACUACGCUUUUAAUGGCAAAAUUUUUGUUUCUUAAGCAAACGUGAUUGGUUCUUAAGAAUCUUAAUAAAGCACAUACAUAAUGGUUUUAAACUAUAUGUGAAUUGAAUAAAAUUGUCUACAACAAAAUAGUAACCGGAAGUCAUCCACAUUUUAACAAGAUAAAACCACCAAUAUUGCCGAUAAGUGUUCACAUAUAGAACACUAAUGCUUCCCGACAUCACAAUUAUAUAAGACGAUUUAAAAGUGAUAUGGAAACUGUCGAUAUCAAUUAAAGUAUCAUAUUUUUGAGUGCUAGUUGAAUCUUCCGGCACAAUUGUAGGUGGUCUGUUUUGACUUUUGAUUGCAACUCUUGGGCAAUGGCAAUCCACUAAGAACAAAGAUUUUCCUCAUAGCCACUCCCCUCAAAGGUUGUAAAUUGUUCCAGGGUAUGGCUAUUAUUAAGAGUUGAGUGGUAAGUUUAGAGUGUGAUUAUUAAUUUUUUGAAAUUUUUUUCGUGUUUUUGUUUGCUUUUAAUGGUUGAGGCAUCAAGUAUUAAGUGAAUAUAACAAACAAGGGAAAGUAAAGUUAGGAUAACAUAUACAUAUAGAAGUCUGAGUUUAAUUAAUUUGUCUCGUUUUAUUAUUAGUUAGCAGCUAUGGGCGGGCACUUGCAACUUAAUUUUCAAUCUACCUUGAUAGGGUUCUUGCUAGUGAUCAUCCUACUCCUUCACUACAAAUCAAAAGGCCACUAAAGAAGAAACUUCCCUCUUUUAGCAUAUCAUAUCUGGUUAAUUCUUCAAUUUCCUGUACUUGAGCAGGGAAAAAGUGUUUGCAUAAACAGCUUCAAGUGAGGAAACUUCAACAAUGGAGGCUACAAUGAUGAAGAAAUUGGUGGCAUUAGCUCUGUGAUCUUUCUUCUUGAACUUUGCGAGAUUGGCAACAACUUCGUUCAAACAAGCACUCAUCUUUCAUUUCUUAUAAAACCUCAAGAAUUGCCAUCUCAGUAUGUACUGUAAUAGGUAACUAGCUGAAGCCUUUUUUCCGAAUGAAGUUAUGCCCUGACCUAGUUGCCCUGAACCAAUUGCCCUGACAGCAUUAUAAUGAAUGGCAUGCAGUGCCAUUAACUUUUCAGUGUAGCUUUUGCUGGAAAGCUUUGGAUUAAUGAUGACAAGUAAUGUUGCACCCUUUUCAUCAAGACAGGAUUUGUUAGGGCCAAGCUUACUACCAAGCUCCUGAUAUAGCUCCUUUCUUAACCUCGCUAGCAGAACUCAAUCUGGAAGUUGCUAGUUUGAUCCAUAUUUGAAAUUGCACAUGCCAAAUCCAAGCAAAACAAAUUAAAACCCCACGUUAUAAUUUCGUAACAUUAACAAAUUCUAGACCAAUUCAAGCUUAAAUUGCAAACUAAAUCAGCAUAAAUUUCAGACCAAAUCAGCACAAUUUCAAGACCAAAUCAGCACAAUUUCAAGACCAAAUCAGCACAAUUUCCAGACCAACUCAAGCACAAAUUCCUCACCAAUUCAAGCACAAAUUGCAGACCAAUUCAUCACAAAUUCCAUACCACUUCAAGCACAAAUUGCAGACCAACUCAAGCACAAAUUCCAGACCAAUUACAGCACAAAUUACAGACUAAUUCAGCACAAAUGCAGACCAAUUCGAGCACACAAAUUGCAUACCAACUCAAGCACAAAUUCCAGACCAAUUCAGCACAAACACAGUUAUUUCCUUAACAUUUUAUUUUAACCGAAAAUUAAAUAAAACAGAAAUUGAUAGCUUUCAAAAUUGUCCCCAUUUUACCGUAACCUAGAAAAGCUAAAGAUCGAAGCAUUACCAGAGGCUGUGAUAACUGUGACGGUUCGUGAGUUCAUUGAGGAAUGCGCGUGAUGGCUGCCACGUUGAUGGUGACCGUGCCUGCGCGAAUGGCAGAAACUUCCAGAUUUGGGUGGGGAAGACGAGAAAACGAAGAGGGGAAUACGAAAACGAAGAGGAGGGGAAGACGAAAACGAAGAGGACAAAACGAAUGGCAGAAAACGAAUGCGAAUUUCCCUGGUGAAACGAUGAGGGGAAGAUGAAAUCGGAGAACGAAGAGGGGAAAAUGAAAUCGAAGAACGAAGAGAGGAAAACGAAGAGGAGAGCUUUUGUUAGGGUGAAACGGUAGCGUUUCAAAUAAAAGAGGAAACGACGUCGUUUUGUUUUAGUUUUCGGGGUUUGACCCGGGGCAAAUAGCAGAACUCUUUGAGAUUUCCGUACCCUUCAUAGACGUGGCGGAUAGCAAGAGGAGGAAAAGAAGUCGUGUUGACGUUUUAGAAGAAGAUAAAAUUGGAAUGAGUUCUGCUAUUUGCCCCGGGUCAAAUCCCGGGUCAAACCCCAAAAGCAACAAACGAACGACGCCGUUUCAAUCUCAUUUUUUUUCCCUCUCAUUCAACCUAAACGACGUCGUUUUGGAAAAGUUGUUACAGCCGAAAUGGGUUUCUCUUUGUUUUCGCCUCACAGCCCCUGUCCCGUUCGUUUCAGCUUGUUUGAGGCAAAAUCAACAGCCCCAACUCUCUCUCUCUUCGUUUUCUCUUCAGUCUCACUACAACCCCAAAAUAACUCAAAUUCGCAAAGUUAUACAAUCACUUCCACAACAGUUAAUAAUGAACCAAAAAUAUGCCCAAAAACUGCAAUUCGUAAAGCUAUACAAUCACUUCACAGCAGUUAAUAAUGAACCAGAAAUAUGCCCAAAAACUGCAAUUCGCAAAGCUAUACAAUCACUUCCACAACUAAAAAUCUGCCCAAAAUAACUGCAAUUCGCAAAGCUCAAAUGUGUUGUUAUAACACAAGUUAUCACAUUUCAGUCAUGAGCAAAUGGCACGAAGCUGAAACGAAGUUGUUGAUUUCAGUCAGGAGAAAGAAAGCAAUUUGGGGAUGUUGUUGAUUUUGCCCUAACGACGCUGAAAUGAAGGGGGGGAGAAACAGAGGAAUAGAAUGAGAAAGGGGAUGUGAGACGAAGACAAAGAGAAACCAAUUUCAACUGAAUUUUUAAGGGGCUUGGUUGACAGGAACCCAAAUUAUACUUUGACAUUUGCUGGGCAUUCAUUGGGGGCAGGGGUGGUGGCAUUGUUGGUAUUGAUUGUGGUUCAGAAUCUGGACAAGUUGGGGAACAUUGAGAGGAACAAAAUCAGAUGCUUUGCUAUUGCACCUACUAAGUGUAUGUCAUUGAAUUUGGCAGUGAGAUAUGAAUGGAUCGUGAAUGGUUGUGAGACAAAGGGGAAGACGGAAGAGAAAGAGAAAGCAAUGGUUUUGCCCUAGCCAAAACGGCGUCGUUUAGGGAGAAUGAAAGAGAGAAAAAAAAAGAGAAUGAAACGGCGUCGUUUGGAUGGGUUUCGGGGUUUGACCCGGGGAAAGUAGCAUUUUCCAAUUGGAAUAAGCAGAAGAGCGCUGAUAGAUGCCCCGGGUCAAACCCCGGGUCAAGCCCCGAAGCUUUAAUAAAACAACACCGUUUUAUUAGUUUUUUGGGUCGUUUUAAUUUUUCUUAAAACAACGUCGUUUUGCUUGAGCAUUCCAGCUCUGUAUCAAACUCAUCUUUCUCUUGUAAUAAAGAAACAGAAAACUCAUCUUUCUCUUUCGAUUUUUCACUUCACCACAAAACCCAACUACAUAACCCCAACUGCAAAACCCCUCAAGAUCUAUGUGUGUGUUGAGCCUUGAAAUUCUGCUGUCUCUGUUAUUUAUAAUCUCUACUACUUCAUGACAGUCUGAUUCAAGCAACACAGAGGUUCCCCCCACUCUCAAAGCAACCUGCAAUCCCCAUUUCACAGCCGCAGCUUCAGCCAUUGCCACGUUGCCAAAGUAUCUAGAAGUGUUAAUGGCAGCAGUUAUACAAUUUUGGUUCCCGUCUGUUAUUACCACCCCCAGCCCAGCUACCUGUUUCUCAGCGUUCACUGCAGCAUCUACAUUUACCUUUAGCCACCCAUUUGGAAGAGAAUGCCCCUGGUUUUCCUUAGCCUCCCUUUUCUGAUUUGGCCUUAACCCAUCAUACUGGCUGACAUUUUUAAGAGACUCCACAACUGAUUCAACUCUUGCUACUAAUCUGGCUGGAGCCUCUUGUUUCCCUUCAAAAAGCCAUUUAUUCCUAGCGUUUCAUAUCACCCAAAGUAGAGCUGCAAUUGAUUCCUUCUCUACAAUUUUUUUGCUGCUUUGUCAUAUCUUCCAUCAAUCUAAUUAUAUCAUGGAAUUGACCUUCUGGAGGUCUCCCUUCCGAUUUGAAAAGAAUCGGAAUUUAUUACUGAUUGUGGAUUGAGGACUUCGAAUGGCUGUGCUGCACUUAAUCGAUAAAGGAAAGGGGCUUGGCAAAACGGUGCGUUUUGCGGGUUAAUAAAAAUGGUGCGUUUCAUUUUCGGGGUUUGACCCGGGGCAAACAUCAUUUUCCUAAGCAGAAGCAAACUUUCCGUGCUGUGCACAUGCGCUAUCAGAUGAUUGAGUGGAGGGAAAAAUUGUAGGCCUAUUUAUCUUCAAUUUUACGGUGGCAGCUACGGGCGGGCAUCGGUUCGGUUAAUUUCAGUUUUAGGGUAAAUUUUUAGUUUUGGUUCGGUUCGGUUCAGAUUUUAAAUUUAAAAAAUUCAUUCAAUUUUUAGAGAAAAUAAAAAUCGAACCGGAUUUUAAACUGAGUUCUAAGUUUAUUAAGUGAUGUUCAAGACUGACUGGAUUUCAUAUUCAGGUCGGGUAUUACAAUACCCGAGUACUGUUCGGGUCCGGACCGGGCGGGUAUUUUACCACCCUUAAUUAUUAUCUUCUUUCGUUUUCGUUUCUACGUUUCAAGAUUUUCUAAUUAUUUAAUUAUGCUAUUUUCUUUUAAUAUGGUACUCACACACACCACACAGGCAAUCCCAUUGAUUACAACUUUCUCAUCUUAUUUGAAUAAUUAAGAUGUCUUUUUGUGUGCACAUGGGCUGUAAGAUGAUUAUGUUGUGGGAAAAAUUGUGAUAAAAUUUUGGACCCAGUUGCCUUCGAUUUUUCACUGCCGAAAAUUGCGGCUAUGUGUUCAGACUAUCUUAAUGCAGUUUAACCAUGCAAAGUUUUUGGGUAUUAUUCAUUGCGUGACAUUGGAGACAAUUUAUAUUUAAUAGUUGGUUAGGCAUUUUGCUUGAUAUUAUUUGGACUCGUAGGGGUGAUAAAAUUUUUGUUCAUAAUUUUAUAAUUCAGAUCUUAUUAUAAUAAGAUAGCAAUUUUUUUAUUGUGGGUCGGAUUCUCUCAACUGAUAUUUAGCUAAAAAUAUCUCACUAAUUCCUAUUAGUUAAGUAUUUUUAAAUUCAUAUACAUGAUUUUUAUUGUUUUUUAUAUGUGAGAUUCUAUAUAUCGUUCAUAAGAAACAAGCUAUUAUGUAAUCCAUUCGUUAAAUCUAUUUAUAUGUAGGGUGCUCUGAUUUUUACUACCCUUUCAGCCAUGCAAGUUUGGGGGAACAUGAAUGGUGCGUGAGUAUGCUGUUGCAAAUCCCAGCUCUUUUUUUUUUUCCCCCCAAUUUUGUCCAUAACUACCAACCACAUCAGUUUAAUUUCCAACUAUUUUCUCUUCAUUUCGCGAAUAUUUUUUACUACUUUAAUGCAAAUGCUUGCUGCUUCUAUUACAAUUCUUUUAAUAAAAUGGCUUUCAAUGUAAAUUGUUAAUUUUUUAAAUAGAAUUAACACCAUCUGUAUGAAUCACAUGGAGCUUUUACAAGAUUAUUGUGACCAAUUCCCGCUGUUGGCGAUAAGUUGAAAGCAUUAAUGGCUCCUUUUUAUCCACGUCGCACAGAGGUUUAUCGCUGGGGAUUACUUAAUUGGGUUGUCAUUCAACAGUAGCGUUCAACUUGGCCUAGUGGCAGCUGCUUAAAGCAAGAGUCCGAGGACCAAAAGGAUCGUCCCUUCCCACUUGAUCCGUUGAUCUUAAACUGUGAAUUCGCCUUCGUCGACGAGUUCCAUGAAAAAUGUAACUGAAAAAACGCGAUGAUCAAAUCAUGGUUUUUAAUUAUUUUAAUAAUUAGCACGGGUAGAAAUUAAAUAAAUAUAAUACUUUUAAAAUUAAAUAAAUAUAUAGUAAUAUUAUUAAUUCUUUAUGAAUAUAAUAAUAUUAUGUUUUAAACAAUUUUAACUUAGAUUAAUGAAAUUAUUAUUUUAAAUAAAUGUAAUAUUAUUUAAAUAAAUAUAAUAUUGUUAUUUUUAAGACAUUAUUUUAUUUUAAUACAUUGAAUUAUGUUACAUUUAAUAAAAAAAUGAGUAAAAGAGGAAGAGGUGGGAGUGGAAAUCUCACUCCACACUCCAAAAAUGAGUGGGACCCACGGAGUGAGAUUCCUAAUCUCCUCCUAAAAUAAGCAAGUAAACAGUAGGAGGAAUUCAUAUUCUCCACUCAUACUCGAGCAAGUAAACAUAACAUAAUAUUCUAAAUUAGUAUAUAUUUAUCAAUUUUAACAUAGUUGAUGAUGUUUCGACAAGAAAAAUAUUCAUAAAAAUUAUAAAGACAAGUAAUGCUCAUUUGAAAAAAAUAAAAAGAUAAAAACAAUAAUUAUCUACCAAUAUAUAUUAUCACAAGCUAUAGAGAUGAGUAAUAAUGCUAAUUAUUAAAUUUUAUUUAAGUAAUGAUGAAAAUUAAUUAAUUAGAUGAGAAUAUUUUAAAGAAUAUCUUUUCAUGAUAUCAUUAAGGCUUUUUUGAUUAAGUAAAAAGCUAAAAAAAUAGUUUAAUGACUCAAUAAUGAUGUACUAAAAUUUUUAAUUAAAUUAAAAAUAAACAAACUUAAUAACUUAACUGAUUAAAAUUAAGUCAAUGAAGUCAUUAAGUCAAAAAAAAAAAAAACAAACGGAAUAUUCUAGUCACGUGAAGGUACGGGAUUUGUAUGAUUAUGCUACUCAAUUUUUGAUAAUUACUGUUUCAAAUAUAAAUGUGCAAUUGAGCAUGGCAAUUUGUUGGGUGUUAAAAUAUUGUAGGGUAAGUACAUACACUUAGUACAUUAUUAUUGCUAUUUGAAUGCCACUGCUACAUUAAGGCAAUGACAUUUGGUUUGUGCCAUACUGAGAAAAAAAAAAAAAAAAAUCCUUUGAGCCUACAGGAACGGGACUAUCCUUAUAAUUGCCGUAUUUCCUCAAUGGAUGUAUCUUUUAAGCUCUUCAUUUGGCAUAUGAAAUUUAUUGAAAGAAAGCAAAUGAUCAGGAGCUGGUCUUAAAAGCAUGUUAUUCGAGGAAUACAAUACAAACAGUAAUAGGAUUUGAGACAAUUCAUAGAGCUUUCCUUGAGUGAAGAAUAGUUAUUUAAACUGACAUGAUAAGCUCUUCCAAUUUAUUCAAAGAAUUAUGAGAAUAACCACCUCAGGUAAGUUAACUGAAAAAUUGCCCAAAACUGGAUAAUUCAUAUUCAUGCCACGCAACCCCGCUUUGUUAAUUUUAAACUCCAAUUAAGUAUUCUAAUCUAUCUUCAUUUAUUUUAGCAUGUGUUUCCUUUCCAAUUAAUGCGUACGGAAUCCUUUUUAUAAUUGGUGGUCAUCGUCAGAGUGGAAGUGUGGCCAAAUCCGCCUGAGUCAACCUAUACACGUGCAUUGAGUUGAAAAUUUGCAGUUUAGUUUACUUUUUUCUUUAAUUAAUUUUUUUAUCAUUUUUGCUUUCCCUAUUCCCUUAAAAGUAAUUAUUGUAAUCUGCAUGAAGUUCAUCGGCGCCACUUCUUCACAAUUUUCAAACCUUUCUAUGACCUGACACAAAUCCGGGGACCGAGGAGUCAGGAGUCCAAUCUCAAUUGCAUUCAAGAUUUGAGAACGUGUUGCACACGACCAAAUCUUAAAAUCAAAUUAAAAGAAAAAUUAUUAUUGCAACAUCUCUUUUUUAUUUUAUAUUUAUUUAAUUAUUAUAAAAUUUUAAUAUAUUUUUUACACCAUUUUUUUUUUAAAUUUGUAUCAAUUAAUUAUUUUUACACUAAUAUUAUUUACUAAUUUAAAUAAAACGAUAAUUUUAUCCUUAAAUAAAUUAAAAGAUCAUUCUAUUUUAUAAAAAUUUAAAAAAUAAAAAAUUAUAAUUAUAAAAAUACCCUUAAAUUUAAUAUAAAAAAUCACAAAUAGAGGUGCUUAUAUUUUUAUUAAAUUUAGAAUUUGUAAAAUUUUAAUAAAUAUUUUAUUAAAAAUUAUAAUUUCAUAAAAUUUUAUUAAAAUAACUGAAUUUAUUUAUUAAAAAAUAAAUCCCAAAAUUUUGUACUUAUUUUUAUAAUUAUAAUUUUUAUUAAAAUAAUUAUUGAUUAGAAAUAAAUACAAUAGUUUUUCAUACCACGCUGUGACACUUAGUGUACAUGCAACUUAGUGUAUAUUUUAAGUUUCUUCAAUAAUUUUUUAUUAAAGAUAAAUACAUUAGUUUUUCAAACCAUGCCAUGACACUGUUCAUAGUAUAAAUCUAAAAUGAGACUUGUGACUGCACUUUUGAUAUGAUUAUUGCCAUGUUUUGUGAUUGAGGAGUUGUGACUCGUAAUCUAUUGAGGAGUGGAUAUUAAUCUUUCGGAGUUAUGUAGAGGCAUGGUAGUUGGCAAUGCACUCCAGUCAAAGGGUAGGGCCGAUGGGCUCCUUUGCCGCCUUCCCGGAACUUUCCUUUUGGGAUUAGGAGGAAGAGAUGCCUUGUUGACUAUCUAGAAAAGGAACUGGCAGACGCACACUUAAAACCUUCCAAUUCAGCCGAGUAGGAUGCCUUCCUGCGCCGGGCACAUGGGCUGGGAGACGAUUGAAUUUUCGGGCAAAUUUGCAGACGUCGUUCAAUUUUUCAGCCGGCGAAAGUUGUGGAUAAUUCACCACCAACGUGUAAUUUAAACGGCUUCGAAGAAGAAAUUAAUGUUAUCGUAUGAUAUAAUUAUAAAACGUCAAAAAGUGUAAUUAGAAAAUAGGUUAUUACUAUCUUGUAGAUGCCGGAUACAGAAAUGCUGAAGGAUUCCUUGCACCGUAUAGGGGAACAAGAUAUCACUUAUCCGAAUGGAGAGAUGGGUGUGCUCCUCAGAAUAAAGAGGAGUUCUUUAACAUGAAACAUUCCUCAACAAGAAAUGUAAUUGAGCGAUGUUUCAGAUUGCUCAAAAUGCGAUGGGCCAUUCUUCGAAGUCCUUCAUUCUAUCCAAUUAAAACCCAAUGUCGCAUUAUUACGGCAUGUUGUUUAUUACAUAAUCUGAUUAGGAGAGAAAUGCUUGUGGAUCCAAUAGAGCAUGAGUUACUUGACAUAUCUAACAAUGAAGUAGACGAUAGUGAUAACAUAAGUAGCCUUGAAGCUUUAGACCAAUGGACGAGUUGGAGGAAUGAUUUAGCUACUGCAAUGUAUAAUAAUUGGUUGGGCAAUUAGGUUGUUGUACUUUUGUUAAUAUAUAUAUUAGGAAAGUAUUUAAGGAUAUACUUUUGUUAAUAUAUAGAUGUUAUUAGGAAAGUAUCUAAGGCUGUACUUUUGCUAGUAUAUCGAUGUCUGUAGGAGGUAUAUAGUGAUUGAGCAGGGUCGUGUCCACAGAGAUCGGUAAUUAUUUAAAUCCUUUUGAAACGUAAAACGUAAAAUGGGAGAAUUGUUGACAAUAAUAAAAAUCAAAUAAAAAUAACAAGAAUGCAAAUUAAAGUUGUAAGUCAAAUUGGAGAAAGCUCUGGUUGAAGGAAUUAACUCAGCUUGAUUCGACUACUGAUCAUUGAUUCAAAUAUAGAUUAUUAUUACUUAUGAAUAGACCGGUUAUAGCUAUUGAGACCCUCUAAUAGCCAAUCUCUCCUUAACUAGUUGAUAAUCAAGGUACGACCGUUGGAUAUUUUCCUAAUCAAUAGACAAUCCUAGAUACGAUCAUAUGAUUUAAUCAAUUGACAGCCUGAAAAACCGGAGAGACCCAAAUCCUAAUCAACACAUAUGAUGAUUCAUUUAAAUUAGAUUGUUUAUUUUCAUAACACAACUCACUGCUAUGUUAUUUGUCACCAACAUUAAAAUCUUCAUACGAUGAAUCCUUUAAUUGACAAUAGAUUAAGUUGAUAAUUAAAUAGUGGUCAAUUACCUAAUUAACAAACAUAAUCAUGAAACUAAUUUAGAGAAUAAACAAAUACCCAAAAAGUAAUAAAAUAAUUAAAGCAUAAGAAAGAUCUCACAGUAGUGAUGAAUCAAAGCUUCAUUAACCUUCAACCAGAAAAAUAAGUUUAAUUCUUCAUAGAGAGAAAAGAAAAAUUAGAUCUAGUGUUUCUUUCUUUUUCUCCAAUUCAAAUCCCUUUUUUUCACAAUGGAUUCCUCCAUUAAAUACUCUCUCUCUCUUCUCUUUUAGAGUUUUAUUUAAAAUAAAAUACUAAUAUCUGAAAUAUUAAAUUCGUAAUUUCAAAAAUAGCCAAAAAUACAAAACACGUUAAACUAAAAACUGCAGGUCCGCAGUUGACAGCACGCGCCCACGCCUUAUCAACAAAGUUCUUCUGCCGCUCAUAAUUUCUCCAAGAGAGCAAUCAUCCUUAAACAUUAUCUUGUAGCUCAAUUUUAUCACUAAUUAAUAGAAUUGCACCUACAAAAGUAAAUCACUAUUAUUAAGUGCAAAACAUCGAUAUUAAGGGAAGUAAACAAUGCAAAACUAGUGCAUAAAUUGCACUCUAACAUCCAUCUCCUCCAACGACCAUCCUACUCAAAAUCCACCAUCGAAUUUUCUACAAACUAGGCUUCAAUUAAUGCAAAUAGACUUGCAAAUCAAAGUGGCGCAAGCCGUUCACUUCUUGAAUGACAAGACUAAAUAAUGUAACCGGGUAGCAGCAAAUUAGUGGCUCAUUUAGUUUCGACAAACCAACGCUGCUUGAGAGGUCGCAACCUCUAUCCUCUCCUCGGAUCUCCAGUUGUUGCUAGCCAAUUUCAAAGUCGAGUUCUUGGCUACUCAAAUUCUUAAGAGAAAGAUAAAUUUCUAGGGUUUUAAUUCUAGUUUUAUGAUAAAUUGCUGAGUAUAAUUUGAUUUUCUUGGGUGCAUUUGUUAAUCAAUCAAUUACCAAUACAUGUAAUUUACUGGAAAUUUGCAAUUCUCUGCAGGCAGCUGAUCAACACCAGUAAUGGCCUUUUUAAUUUCUAUAUUCAUUCUUCCUUAAUUUACUCAUGGUUUGGAGAUCUAUAGAAUUGGAUCAAAUCCCAUCUCUUUUUUCCUCAAACAUUUACCAAAUCCAUAUUCUCCUCCACAAUCCCUAAAUCGUUCCCUCCUCCUUUCUCAGUGAUUUUUGCCUUCUCAAACGAUGAUGAAAGGUGAAACCUUUUGGUCCGAUUACCCAUCAGUUAUCCCUAACCAAUUCAGUCGGUUCCCUUUUUUUAUUACUGCUGCAUAAAUUAAACUUCAACCGUUUGAUUGAAAUUGAAGAUAUCUAAUGGCCGAUAUUAAUCAGACUGUAAAAUACAUUAAAUACAAACUCAAGGAUUGCCUAAACUCUUUAUUAUUAAUCUAUAUCCUAUAAAGUACAAACUCUUUGUUAUUAAUCUAUAUUAAACUCAUGUCUUUUUCUAUACACAGUUGGCCUCCGUGCAAAAAGCAGCUUUCCGCGCGUAAAUCUUGUGUUAAUUUGUGUUAAUUAAUGAUUUAUUUAUAUUAAUCAUCUUAUCAGCUUGCGGAGAUGUAUACCACUUAAAUCCACAAUCAUUCAACCAAUGAGGGUCCGUUCUAACGAGCCAUCCAUUUUCAAACACGGUUUCUUGUGAGCUUCGGCAGCGUUGUUGUUGUUCAAUCCCCAAAAGGAGAAAUUCUAGAAUAUAUAUAAGGUACCAUGUUAGUUAUAAAAAAAUUAGUAUUAAUUAUUCUAGAAUUUCUCCCCCAAAAGUUAGUUUAGUAUUAAUUAUUCUAAUGUCGUUUUCCUCAAUUAGUUAAGUUAUGAUGCAUGAAACUUAUAUAAGGCUCACAUUGAACACGUAUUCAAACGCUGAAAAUAUCCAUACUAAUUUACUACGCGAGCAACUAGAUACACCAAAUACGAUUUUAAUUUCUCAGUUACUUCUCGAAUAUAAAUGGGUAAUUAAAAAAAAAUCGUGUUGUUGGGAGGUAAAUUUGAAAGGUUAUUUACGGGCUAACAACACAUUGACACAUGGUAUGAAAAAAAUGACACCUUAGUUGUCCCACACGAACCAACCAUGAAUAAGAACAGUUCUAAUUAGUUCUUCAGAAAGCAAUAGUAGCAAAAGCAUUAAUAAUUUAUUAUUAAUCUAUCUUAAACUCAUGUCUCUUUCUAAACACAAUUGGCCUUGGUGCAAAAAGCAGCUUUCCGCGCCUAAAUCUUGUGUUAAUUUAGUGCAUGAUCUUAAGCAACAUCUUUGAUUUGCCUAAUAUCAUAUCAUAUGUACUCUCUCAUACAUAAUAAAUUAUUAAAUUAGUGAUUUAUUCUUAAUAAGUUUUUUAGCAUUAAUUUGGGUGAAGGGGGACACAAUAGAUACAAUUGCACAUGACUGGAAGGUAUUGAAAUCAAAAUUAGUGUUCAGUUGAGCCGGCUGUAUUGAAACAAAUUUCCUCCGCAAGGAUUUAUUUUGACCGUGCACAAUUGAAAAAGGAUGUCCAUCACUCCCAUCCAAGUUUUAGCAGAAUAUGCAUACACUGUGAUAGCUGUCAAGUCAUCUAUUUUGACCGUGCACUACGGUCCAAAUUUCAUGAUCAAAUAGAUCACGUGGCGAGAUCAGAGUGGGGUAAUGUAGAAUAGGGGACUUAGAAAACUAAACAUUUUUAUUGGUUAACUAAAUCAUUUAUGUCUUCCUUAUGUCUUCUCUCAGUUCAAAUUGCAGAACUCAAUUUUUUAUUGUUAAAAAUAUAAAAAAGGAGAAAAUAACAAAAUCUGGGGAGAGUGAGGAAGCUUGAUGGGGAGCCGCAAAGAGUGAAGCCAGAGACAGAGAGAGGGUGAAAGUCAAGAGAGGCACAGAGUGAUGGGAAUUUGGUAGAUGUGAGUGGUCUUCUGUCAAAAUUUUCCCUCUUUUUAUAUUUUUAAUAAUAAAAAAUUAUUAGAAUGGUGAGAGAGUGAGAAGUCGGCAGCACAACUCAUUUCGCAGAAUACUAUAUUAAAGAAACAUACUUCUUUAGUUGAAACACCUCAAAGAAACCCAGAAACCCUUCAAAAUUCAAACCUAAAAAAAUGUGCCUCGGAAACAAACCAUAUCAGUUCUCUGUUUCCUGGGAUGAGGACGAAAACCUCGUUCACUUCAAGUGCCGUCUUCCAUCAACGACGAAGCGAGGGGAUGUGAAGGUUGAGAUUGAUGAACAUGGGAAAUUGCUUAUAGAAGAAAUAAGCAAAGUGGUAAGUUCACAUAUUGAUCCUCUCUCUUCAGCUUCUUCCUUGAUGAUCAGACUCAGAUCCUCUCUCCUAAGCUUCCUGAAGAAAAAUGAGGGAGACACCACCAGCCCGAUAGGCCCGAUAGAAUUCAACUUGCCACCGGGUCUGGACACGAAUGACUUCGAGACUGAGAUCGAUGACGACGGGUUGCUAACUCUCACUUUCAAAAAGCUGGUGCCCAUUCAUUCCGAAACGCCCUCCGACCUCGAAAAGGCCUCCGUGGAGUGGAAGAACAAAAAGCUCGUCUCUCACUUCAAGGCCUAUCUGCCGGCGGGGACGAAGAUGGACGACAUGACGGUUGGCAUAGAAGGUGGCAAAUCCCUUGUGAUAGGCAUUCAUGAUCGGCUGAAGAAAGAGGAAGGGGAGACCAGUACUUGCAUGUGCUUCAAUGGCAAGAACUUUAAGAGCUUCAUUUUGCCAGAUGGUGUGAACCCGAAUGGCUUCGAGACUGCAAUGGAUGAUGCUGGCGUUCUAACUGUUACCUUCACUAAACUCAAGCCGGAGAAGAAAAAGCUGGGGCCAAUAGCGAAGAAGACGCUGGGAUGUUUGGCUGAUGCUGCUGGUAUGCUGAUAUGUGAGAAGAUAAGUGAUGCGAUUUGUCCAGGAGACUGCUAACAAGCUGGUGUCGUCGUGUCGGAAUUUGCUUUAUGUUCACGUAUGUUGUUUCUAUCGUUUAUCUGUUAGUGUUAAAAAAACAACUGUGGACUCCAGAGUCUAGACCAGGUGUUGGUCAAUUUCUGUCUUGUGUGGUGUUGUAUCUCCUUUGUUUCAGUGGAAAAGAAGAGCUUUGUCUAAUAAAAAAUGAUAAAUGUUGUUGGGUAAAAAAAAAAAAAUGCUUUCUUUGCCUUUUAAAUAGUAUUGAAUGAAAAAAAAAUGGUUCGUUUUUCUGCUCCCGAUCGGGGAGCUCAAAUGUUCCACUUUCAUACGUACGUGCGUAACGAGAUAGCCACAGGAUAAAGGAGUAACUGCAGCGGGGUCAGGUGUAGAAUCUGCAAGAUGGCAGCAUGGCAUCAAAUUCUUUUUUUUUUUUCCUAACCACGAGAUGUUUUGGGAGGACCCAUCCAUAGGAGCCACCUUUAAUCAUUUUUUUUUAAUUGUUACCGCUGGGACCAUUUUUAAAUUAAAAAAAAAAAACCAAUUUGAGUGCAUGGAUAAUGGGUUUGAGCCAAUGGUCGAGCCAUAGCCCCACAUUUCCCCUUCGACAGCCUCCCAUUUCAACGCAGUAGAGACAGAGUAAAGGCAACUUUUGAAGAUAAGAACGAGACGACAAAGAAAAUAAAAUGACCCAUGUCCAUAGAUAUCUGCAUCAAAUCCUCAGGUCUCUGCACCGAUACAUACACAAAUAUUUCAAGAUCAUGACAACUUCUGCAACUCACUCCUUUGAGCUUCAAGCUGGCCAUCGUAUGAAUAACUGGGUAAUAUGCGACAACAAAGAUUUACCUUCACUGAACUGAAGCCAGAGCAAAAGCCGGAGUCAAGAUCAAAGAAGAUCCUGCGAGGUUUGGCUAAAGCAGUGCCUGUUUGUUUCUUGAUAGGUUACGAGAUAAGUUGAGCAGACUAGUAAAUUAGCUGGUGUCUGGUUAGGUAUUUGCUAACAUCAGGUUCAUGUAUGGCGCAUCAUAUUCAUGUAUGUUGUUCUGUCCUUUAUGUAUUAGUAUUUGUAAAUAACUCUAGAGUAUCUUAAUUAAUGGAUCUAUCUUUUAAGGCCUGAAUUUGGCACAUGAAGUUUAUUGAAUGAAAGCAAAUCAGGAGUUGGUCUUAAAAGCAUGCUGUUCAAGGAAUACAAUACAAACAGUAAAAUUAUUUGAGACAAUUCGCACGGCUUCCCUUUGAGUGAAAAAUGAUCUUUCAUUCGUUUUAGCGUGUGUUUCAUAAUUCUCUCUUCUUUUUUUGGGCCCUCUCCUAUUUUGGCUUGAAUUAGUUGUUGUUGAUUUGGUGAAAAAGCAAACUGCUCUACUCUAAUACAAUUGGUAUUAGAGUAGUUCGCUUCACUGAAGUUGGACUUAAGAGUGUGUGUGGCUUUGUGACCGAAGGGGUGCCCCCUAGUCAGGGUGUGUGAGUUCCACCCUCUAAAGUUGGCCCCAGGGUGUGUGAGUGGCUUUGUGACCAUGGGGUCGUCACCUAGUUGGGAUGUGUGAGUUCUACCUUAUGAGUUUGUAACAAUUGAUGUAGAGCAGUUUUAUUGACCCAGGUAACAAAUCUUUUUAUAUUUUUCUUUUGUGUUCUUUUAUUGUUGAUUUUACAUGCUUCUUUGCAUAAAAAAUGUGGAAAUUGUCUAAUUAAGUCACAAUGGUAAGAAUCUGCAGUAUUAUUUUGAGGUUUGUUGGAAGGUAGUUUUGAAAUUUGGGUACAAAGUCUCAAAGUCAUUAUAAUUUUGAGUUCUGACCAGAGAAGGAAGAUAAGAGUAUAUCAAACUUAAACCACAAUUACAUGAUCACAUUAUUUCGGUUGCUUAGGCUAUAUGGGUAGACUGAAAGAAAUAGUGACGAUACUGAUCAUAACUGAGGAAAAGAAGAGCUAGCGUGAACAUUUUGCACCACUGUAUUAUGAAUAUAAUUCCUUCAAAGUAAAAGGCUCUAUAUAUGGAAUAUUAAAAUUGAAUUGGAGUUGGUUAUAUACAAUGUCUUAUAUGGUACACCAUUAUUAUUAAAGUAUGUAAAUCAGUUCAUUUGUCCUUCAUGCCAUGGCUAAAUACUUUUUCAUGCUUGUUGCAGACCUCUGUGGUUAAUGUAGUGAGACGCUGCAGGAUCUUGAGCCAUUUAAUAGGAUGUGGCACUUGAGCGAGAAUGGAGAACCUCGUGGGCAGUUUGAUGUAAUUAUUGCUGCUCGUAAUGGUGAUAUAGUGCUGCUACCUUUGCUCUCUCUCUCAGUAGAAAUUUAUUGUCUUAAGAUUUUGCAUUAAGAAAAUGCAUGUUUUUGUUUAUUGCAGUGGCAAAAUGUUAAAAUAGGCUUGGCUAUUGGGGAAAAAAAAGAAAAAAAGAAAAAAAAAGAAAAUUUUCAGUUUUACAUUCCAUCAUUACCCUGGAUCCAGGAGUGGCAAAGGUUCAAGUUUUGUACAGCAGUGCAGGGAAACCCUAUGUAAAUCUAAACCCCUAUGAGAGGGAUCCCACUCCAUGACAAAUCUUGAGGGCUUUGAGUUGGAAUACUCUGGCAGGUUAGAAGUUGUGUCAAUUAAUUAUCUAUAAAAUAUAUGUUACAUUGUAUGACUAUAUAGUGAUUCAUUUUGGGAUACGAGGACAUCGCAAAGAGCUAAAAAUUUCAAACAGGUUUCUUCCCUAGAUUUGGUGAAAAGGUGAUGGAUAGAUUACUGCUAAUCUUCAUAGCAAUUUUCAGCUGUAAACAUCUAGAAGGCUGGGACUAAAUGCCAUUUGAUUAGGUUAGAAUAAUAUGAGAUGAGCUUUCAAUCUAUAUCAUUCAUUCAAUUGCUUUUUCAGAUGUCCACAAUUCAUCAUGUUGAUAAUAUCCUGUUGGUGCCUAGUAAAUUUCCUUUAUGACUAUGAUAUAAGGUGUUAUGGAAGAGUUGAAAACAUCUGAUAUAAAUGAGUAGCUAGAAUAGGUUCUGGAUGAUAAAAAAUAAAAAAAAAAUUAUGCCUGUUUCUCUUCUUUUUCAUCAGUUGAUUGUAGACCAUUAAUUACCUAUGUCCUUUUUUGUUUCGGCUUUGCUUUGCAGUAAUAGUGCCCAGAUGUAAUGAUAGGAAAAUGUGCAAACCGGUUGUUGGUUCAUCUGGUGUACCUCUAAUAGCUAGAAAAAUGAAGGUAUAUAUCCUUUGAAAUAUUCAGUUUUUUAGUGUUAUCUAAACAAUGCUUUGCUUAGUCGACUAUUCCUAAAUUGUUUUGAAGUUUCAUGUUGCAUUUAUCCAGUUUGUAGAGGAUGCAAUUAAGUUCUAUAUGGGCGUUCUUGCGGCAUCUGAGGAUCCCUGUCUACUAGUUAGUGCAGCAUCAUUUAAGGCACCUUUGUUAAAGGCUGUCUCAUGGAUGGAAAAUAACUCAGAGAAGUUUUUUUGUUCCCAAAGUGACGGCGCUCAUUGUUGGACCCUCUUCAGCACUGCAGCUUAUGGAAAACGAAACAAGGUUCCACAGGUCUUUUUGCACAUAAAUGUGUGUCUUGUUUAAAAUACUUGUUUUCACAUGAUUAUAUGCUAGCAUUGGCACACUUUUUUUUAUUUUUUUUAAUCAAUUGCUUGGACUCGUUGAAUCCAUUCAUACUUCAGCUUGAAAUCUGAGCUAUUGAAACAAGGCUGCAAUGAGUUCAAUUUUGGACUAUCCUUGUAGUUGUCAUAUUUCCUUAUUGGAUGUAUCUUUUAAGUGCUGCAUUUGGCAUAUGAAGUUUAUUGAAUGAAAGGAAAUCAGGGGUUGGUCCCUAAGGCAUGUUAUUCAAGGAAUGCAUUACAAAAAGUAAUAUUAUUUGAGACAAUUCACAGGGCUUCCCUUGAGUGAACAAGAGUCACUUUACCAUUUAAACUGGUAAUAUGCUCUUUCGGUUUAUUCAAAGAAUUAUGAGAAGAACCUCAGGUGUGUUAAUUGAAAAAUGCCCAAAAUGGAUUAUUCAUAUUCAUGCCAUUGAAUCCCGGGUAUGUUAAUUUCAAACUCUAAUUAAAUGUUAUAAUCUUUCUUCAUUCAUUUUAGCAUGCGUUCCAUGAUUCAUGCUUUCUUCUUCCCCUUUUAAUUUUUCCUUGUCUUCUGUUUUAGCUUCCAUGAUAUUGGGAAUUAGUUGUUAUUGAUGUGGUGAAAAAGGAAUUGUUUUAUUUGGAUCCUAAGAGGGGUAAUCCUGAUCCUGAUUAUGGACUCCUUUCUGUUUGACACUGUUCAUAUUUGUAGGUUUCUUCAAUAUAUUUCAGAGAUAGCUACUGUAGUUAUUUCAUACAAUGCCAUGAUACUGUUCAUAACAUAGAAUAUAUAGUGAGGAAAACUGAAAUUAUAGAUCUAAGAUGAGAUUUGUGGAGGUAAAACAAAUUACCUUAGCUAAGUGCAGUGUGGCUAUUGCUUUAACUAAAACAAAUGAGAUUUGUCGCUAACUGUUUGGCUUUUAACUGUGAAUAGACCCUGCAACAGCUAGGAAAUGUGGAGCUUGGCUAUUAUGUCAUGAGUUACAUGGAGUACAUAAUAGCCGACGUUGGUUUGCUAAUGAACAAAUUGUGUUACUGAUAAUAAAAUAAUAUCACGUUUGUUUUAUAGCGUAUAUGUGGCAUUGCAUUGGAAGUUUGAUGACAUUGGUUUUAUGGUUAACAGUUCAAUAGGACACCUACACUGAGGCUGAAAUAGACGAGGUUCAGUCGGAGUGGGCUAACCAUUUUUAUGAAAUCUUUGACGCAGCAUCAAAAUGUUUAGUAUAAACGUGAAACAAUACAUGUGCCUUAUUAUUAUGUCUCAUUUAUUAGAGCUUGGUGAAAUUUGAGUUGUAUUGUGAAACAAUAAUGUUUUGAGUUGACGUUGUGAUGCCACUUUUACUUCUUACAAUAAUGUGCUAAUGUCGUUAUCUGUGUGAAUAUUUUUAGUUCUUACAAUAAUGCUAUUUGAUUUCUGAUAAUUAGUGAUAGGGUAUGGAAAGCAAAACAAGGUUCUGCAGGUCGGUUCAUAAAUAAAUAUAUGUUUUUGUUGUAAAUAUACGUUUACGUUCACACACUGUUUAACCAAUUGCUUAGGGCACUAGCAUGCUUGAAUAGAUUCACAAUUCAGAUUGAAAUCCGAAGCUAUUAAAACAGGCCGCAAUGAGUUCAGUUUUUAUGUGCAUAUUUGUGUAGACUUGGUAAUAAUAUUAGCUUGAUCAUCUGCCUUAUACUUGAAUCAACAUGACAUUUCAAUUUUACAGCAUAGAUUUAUAUUGCAAUUUAGUUUUUCUUCAAUUUAGCUUCAGAAGUCGAUUUGGACAGAUCUGACAAGUGAUUUUGUGGACUUGCAUGUAGUUCUGAUUUAUUUUCGGGGUUACGCUCAUUUGGAAAACAAAAAAUAGAAGAUGUGAUUGCAAUUUCUUAAAUAUUUGGAACGUGUUAUGUUCAUUUGUUUCAAAUCACAUGCUUCUUAUUUUAGUCUGCUUUUGACUGUAUCGUUUCAUGUAAGUUGGCUUUGAUGCCUCCAAAAUUUAGAUGCUCUGAACUUCUGAGAAACGAUAAGAAGUAAUUUUUUAAUCAAAUAAUUAAAUUUAAAAUUUCUUUUCAAUGGUGUUAUCUAAAUAAUUUUUUUUGUAUCUUAAUUGUAAUUUUGAUCAUCUAGUUUUACAUGAAAUUAGAACAAAAACACAAACUUUGGAGGAAGAGAGAAGCCUGUGUGUGUGAAGCAAGACUGUAGGUGCAUUUGCUUAAGUUUCUCUGAUAAACUGUGUCUGCAAUUUUUAUUUUUAUUUAUUAAUUAUUUUUUGAAGUCUCAACAUAUCUGAAUAUAUAUAACUGAAAAAUAUGUUUGUUUUUAUCUAUUCUUUUUAAGGUCCGACUAUAGGUACUUAUGAGUAGUUUGGUUUUGUAAAUGAAUUUGAGAGUUUAAAUUUAAACUGUUGACUUCAGACAUAAGGUACAAGUAAAAAAAUCUUAGCCUUUUCUAUUAAGAUGAAAAUAUCAUACAAUCAAUGAUAAUUGAAAAAAACAAUCUAAACAGUCUAAAUGUCUUAAAAUAAGUUACCUUAAAAAAAAAAAUUCCAAGUCGAGUGAAAUCUUCUCAAGCGUGGAGAGUUGUAUUAUAGAUUCUGACAUGGAUAAGAGAACCUUUCUCAAGUGUUUAUGCGGUCUUGUUACACCACAUGUGUGCAUAUCUGAUACCAAGAAAAAUUCACAGAUUAGAAUGAAUAAUUUCUAUGUUUAAUUGAUGAGAAUUACUCCUCUUUAAAUAGAUUACAGGGGAAUAAAUCAAAUCCCACAAAAUCAGAGCUAUAAUAGCUAGAAAUCUAAUUCUAAGGAAACAAAUCAGUAAACCUAUUUAAGGAAAUAAAUCUUGCCAAAUAACAUAGAUCCUAAUAUAUACAAUUCUAAUUAUGUAUAAUUCUGAUUUCAUCCACACAUAUAUUUACUUUGCUUGAGCAAUGUCUUUAGACCAAGCUUGCCUUCAAGAAAGUCAUGAGUCUGUUCUGAGAGUCCUUUUGUGAGGAUAUCAGCCAGUUGGUGAGAUGUAGGCACAUAUUCAAGCUUGAUAAUGUUUCCAUCAAGCUUUUCUUUAAUAAAAUGUCAAUCAACCUCCACGUGUUUAGUCCUAUCAUGAUGAACAGGAUUGUGAGCUAUACUAAUUGCUGACUUAUUAUCACAAUAGAGCAGCAUAGGUUCUUCAAAUCGUAAUGAGAAACAGGAGGAGCUUUAUGUGGAAUGUAAAAAUUUUGAUGUUGAUGUAACUGACGACACAAACGACUAGCCGGAAGUGCAAAAGUCAAACUCUCUAUCUAAAUCUCGUGGUCCUGCUAAUGUGCGUACAAGUUUUACUGUUCCACUGCCCUUUGCUAUGGCAACUGAAAAACGUGCUUCGGGCACAACUAGACAUGGGGGGCCAAAACUGCAGCUGAAAGCAGUAAUGUGCAAUCCCUUAUGCCAAAGAAGAAUUCACAGGUAACUUAAAUCCUCAAUUGGAUAAAUUGUGAAAGCUACUAUUCUUUAUUAUUAAGUUGAAAGAUCAAUGAACUUAACGAGAAACUUGACAUUAACUACAGCCAAUAUAAUUGGUGGUCUGACGAGGCAAAAAAAUUCCAACUAUUUGUAAGGAGUUAGGCAACUUUAUCAAGCAAAUAGAUAACAAAUUCAACCAAUGGAGUUUGUACUUUAUAAAGUUGCCUAAAAAUAGUUUUUCUUGCAUUAAAGUGUAGGUUUCCUUAAAUCUGUUCAAGAAAAAAUUUAAAAAAAUUCUUAACCACUUUACUAUAUUUUCAUUUUAUUUUCGUGUUAGGAAUCUUUACCCACUAUAUGCCUUCUUGAUUCAGUCUGUAUGCUUGAUUUAAUUGGAACUGCUCUACAUUAUAACCUUUGUUUUGUUUUGCUUCCCUGGUGCACCUUGGGAAAGUCCUUAGCUCGUAGAUUUGUAAUCUUGUGAUCCUAUUUGCUUUACAUUCAAAAAGAAUAUCUUGCUAACUGAAUAAGCAAUUUGUAUGGUGCGUGAAGUCUGAUGGGAAUUCAAAAUCAUCGUGAUCUUGUUCGCAAUGAUCAAUGUUGUACAAAUUAUGGAUUUUAAGUUUUUGCUAGUCUUUGAUAUUCUGCAAUUUCUUUUGGCCAAACUCACCCCUGAAUCAAGGAAGCUAUCGCAACUUGAUAACAAGAAGCUUCUUGAUGAAGAACAUAGUUGGUCUGUUGCUUCCUCGCAUCCUUUGUUUCUUAUUUUAGUGUGCUUUUUAUUUCAGUGUGCUUUUAACUAUUGUUGGCUUUGAUAUACAUAGAAUGGAAGCAUCUAUACAAAAGGUAAUUGUUGGAAUGGCUCCAAAAUUUAUAUGCUCUGAACGUGCUAGGAAACAGGAGGAGGUAUUUUUCAUUUAUCAAAUAAUUAAAUAGAAAAUUAAUUUUCAAAUGUGUUAUCUAAAUAAUGUUUUUGUAUCUUCUUGUCAUUUCCAUCUUCUAGUUUUGUACUAAAUUAGAGCAAAAACACAAAGCUUUGGAGGAAGAGAGAAGCAACUUUGAAGUUGCAUUUUCUUAAGUAUCUCCGAUGUACUGUGUCUGCAAUCGUCAUUAUAUCUUAUUGCAGACAUCUGAAGAUGUUUGUGAAAUAGUAAUGUUUGAGUUGAUGUUCUGAUGCCAUUUUUAGUUCUUACAAUAAUGAGUUGAUGUCCUUAUCUGUGUGAAUAUUUUUAGUUCUUACAAUAAUGCUAUUUGAUUUCUGAUAAUUAGUGAGUGGGUACGGAAAGCGAAUUAAGGUUCAUAAAUACAUAUAUGUUUACUUUCACACACUUUUUUACCAAUUGCUGAGAGCACUGGCAUAGUAGAAUAGAUUCAUUCUUCAGCUUGAAAUCCCAAGCUGUUGAAACAGGCCGUAAUGAGUUCAGUUUUAUGUGCAUUUUUUGUCUUGGUAAUAAAAUUAGCUUGAUUUUCUGCCUUAUAUUUUGAAUCAAUAUGAUAUUUCAAUUUUACAGUGUAGAUUUAUGUUGCAAUUUAGCUUCGGAAAGAGUGGUCGAUUUGGACAGUCUGGUUUUGCUCAUUUGAAAAACGAAAUGGAGCAUGUGAUUCCAAUUUCUUAAAUAUUUGAAAUAAUUUGAGAUUUUCACUAACGUUUUCUAAACAAUCAUGAUUAGCAUAGAAAUUUAAGAAAACUCUGUUCCUUUGUAAUGACUUAGGUUGAUUUCUGUUUUCGGGGUGCAGUCGUGCAGAGGUGGCUCUUCCGACUAAUACUCCGAGUAUGCCAUGUAUCUUUUAUCUCCAUGGAAGGGAUGGUAUAUUUAGCGAUUGGUUGUGGGUUCAAGUUUAGAGUCGGCGAGUCAGCAGCCUUAACUGGGAUGGCUCUUGCUGAUCAUGUAAGCAAAUAAUAUGAUUUUCAUUUGCUUGCUUGGUUUUAUUUAUAUAGCUUCAAAUAAAUCUGGGACUUGACAUUCAUUUUUCACUGUUCUACAAUGUUAUAAACCUGGUUUACAACAUAGUAAAAGUUUGUUUACAAUUUUGUAAACACGUCCCAAACUCUAAUACAAUCCAAAAUUCUUAGAUUAGUAAGUUUUCUUGUAUGUAUAUAUAUAUAUAUAUAUAUAUAUAUAUAUAUAUAUAUAUAAUGAGAUCUGAUCAGGUAGGCGAUCUCGCUCUCUUAGAUCCAACAUGAUCAGCCUCAUCUUGAAGAGAGCUGUGCAGCUUUUUGCUUCCUACCGCACGGCUCUUUCUCGCACGCUUUUGGAGAGCGAGAUAUAUCGCCCACCUGAUCAAAGUCCUAUAUAUGUGUGUGCGCGCGCGCGUGUGAUGAUCGACAAUUAAUAUCAAGUAAAAUGAUCUGUAACACAACAUUUAUAUUCCUAUAUGGGGACAUUUAAACAUGAACUUUUAUACUUGGCAUCAAUUUAGAUUGAGAUAUCAGGGAAGGAAUUUCAAAAAAUAAGCUGGAAGCUUGAUUAUUCAUAUAUAAAUAAUGUGAUCUACAUCGAUUGCAGAUUAUUUAUGAAGUGGUGGAGUUCGUACAUCAAUAAAAUUUUUACUAUUGAUCUACAUCAAUAGUAAUGAACUUGAGAGUGGCAGUUUUUGAAAUCUUUUGUACAUUUAUACGAGUUGUAUCGAGAUUCUGUGGACAUUCUUUCUUCUAAUUUUGAUCUAUGCAUCACAAUUUUAUGAUCCUUGUAUCUUAAAUCAAACUUUGUUGCUGCAGGUUCAAUAUUCUGGACUUCUCUUAUUGAGAGGCUACCCUUCUGAGUAUCUGCUUUCAAUUAUCACUUGCAGCUUCUAAUAGUUUGCAAACCAAAUAUGGUUUUAUAUGUUCAUGCACUUGCAGUGUAAUUUGUUUAAUAUGUUUGGUUAAUACAAAUUUCAAAGACAAAAAACAAAACAAGUGAAACAACUAUUUAUUCCAACUUCCAAGUGUAUAUUCUAUAUCUUGGACAGCAUUGAACUCUUUUUUUGAAAAAAAAAAAUAUUGUUACAAUUCCCACAUUUAUAAUCUAAAAUAUAGUGGGGAUCUAAAUACAUAUAUUUAGUAAUACAACUUUGAAAUCUGUGGAGCAAUUACUUGAAAAUAGGUUUCCACUAAUAUUUGGGAAGAUAUUUACUCUUAAUUAUUCUAAGUGUAUAUUUUAUGUCCUUGAUAGCGUUGAACUUUUCUUUUGUUCUUUUUUUUUUUUUUCAAAAUUAUUACAAUUUACACAUAUAUUUCAAUCUAAAAUUUGCUGGGGGGCACUAGCACAAGAACUCAAUACAAUAAUUUAGAAAGAAGCCCGUGGAGCUGUAGCUCGAAAUUUUGUCCGCAUUAAUACUCGGAGAGAUAUAUGUGGCUAAAAUAUUUAGUAAAGAUAAAUUAAAAUCAAAUAUAUCAUAUAAAAAUUAAUCCAAAAUUCAACAUAUGAUGCGAUCUUAAUUAAUGAUAAAUUUGAAUCCUAUUAAACUCCUUUUGCAGCUACAAAAAAAAAAAAAAAGUAUUUCAGCAGAGAGCAGGGCAGCAUCAAGUAUAAAAACAUAGGAUAAGGAACAAGAUUAUAACGAACAAAACUACCAGUAAAUGAUGGCCACUUUCAUUUCCUCUGCAUCUUCAUCUUUUCUGAUUCUUCAACCGUUAAAACCCCCAAAACACUCAAGACUCUCAAAAGCAAAGACACUUACUUCAACCAUUAAAGCAACUUCUUCUCAGCCAAAACCCAACAACGCAAAUGCUAGAAAACCCACUCCAAGAAACCGCAGAAGGUCGUCCUAUGGCAGUUCGAGAAGGUCAGCUCUCAAGAAAACAUUCGCUCAAGAGCAAGUCACGUUCACUGCACCCGUCUCCAGUGACCCGCAUGUGGGGAUUAUUGGUGGAGGCAUGGCCGGUCUCGCUUGUGCUUUGAGUUUGGAUAAGAGAGGUGUCAAGUCCACUGUUUUUGACACGGUUUGUCAUUUGUCUGGUUUCUUGGCCUUUGCUUUUUUUUCUGUACUUUUGUGUUUUUUAUUGGAGAGCUUGGAGUGGGUGGCCAAUUCAAUUAUCUGUUUAAUAUGGUUAGGUUGUGUUUGUAUUUGAGAGUAUACGCUUGUAUAAUGGUAAUGUAAAAAAUUUGCUGUCAAAAGUCUAGCAUGUGUUGUUAUGCAUUGAAUUUUGAUUAUAAGCAUGUUUUGGAAUUGAGGUUCUCUGACCUUUGAUCCGCGUUUGUUGAGGAAUGAAAUUAAAACAUUAGCUGCUAAAUAAAAGUGGGGGUUUAUCGAAUAUUUUAGUCAACCACAUUUAUGUAUUCUUAACACUGUGCUUUGCUAUAUCAGGGGAAUCAUGGCUUGGGAGGAAGAAUGGGAACCAGAAUGAUUGGUCCUCAACCACUGAUAUUUGAUCAUGCUGCUCAAUUCUUUACUGUGAAUGAUUCUCAGUUUCAUGAGUUGGUUGAUGGUUGGUUGGAGAGAGGUCUGGUGCGACCAUGGGAAGGUGUGAUUGGAGAGCUUGAAGUGGGUGGCCAAUUCACUCCAUUUCCUUCUUCACCUCCAAAAUACAUCGGUGUUAAUGGGAUGCGCCCUCUUGCGGACUCUUUAUUGGCGCAGGUGACAAAUCUUUGUUUUGCUUUUGUGUUCUUUUCUUGUUGAUUCUAUCAUGCUUCUUUGGAUUAAAAGGAGAAAAUUGUCUAAUCAAAUCACAAUGGUAAAAAAACCGAAGUAUUGUUUUGAAGUUUGGUGGAAGGUAGUGUUGCUGCUUGGGUAUUCAAAGUCCCAAAAUCAUUAUACCGUUGAGGUUCUACCAGAGAACGAAGAUAAGAGUAUAUAAACUAAAAGCUAUAAUUACAUGGUCACAUGAUUUUAAUUGCUUAGGCUGCAUGACUAUACUUAAUGAAAUGGGCCGAUAAUGAUCAUAACUGACGAAAAGAAUAACCAGCAUGAACAUUUUGCACCGCUGUAUGAUGACUACAAUUCCUGUGAAGUAACAGGCUCCAUAUGUGGAUAAUGGAUUAUUAAUAGUGAGUUGGAGUUAGUUAUAUACAACAUCUUAAAUGGCAUACCUUACUUUUAAAUCAAGUAAAUAAGUUCCUCUGUCCCUCAUGCCUUGGCUUAAUUCAUUUUGAUUCUUGUUGCAGACCUCUAUGGUUAGCAUAGUGAGACCUUGCUGGAUAAGUAAUCUUCAGCCAUUUAAUGGGAUGUGGCACUUGAGCGAGAAUGUGAAACUACGUGGGCAGUUUGACGUGGUCGUUAUUGCUCAUAAUGGUGAUUCAGUGCUCCUAUCCUUUCUCGUUUUCUCUCUCUGUGGAUUGUUAUAGUCUUACAUUUGCAUUCCAAAAAUGCAGAUUAUUGUUUUUUGCAGUUGCAUUGUCAAUUGGAUUGAAUAUCUCUCAUUGUGAGAGUUCCUCUCAUUAUAUAGAAACUGUAGAGAUUUACAAGGCUGAUUUUCAGCUAUUACAUCAACCAAAUCUAGGCUAAUUUCUAGUAAUUAGAUCUAUCUAAACAAGGAAAUUACAGAUACUCCUAAUUACAAUAUAUAUACAGCUAUGAUACAUAAUUUAUGCCUUGAUAUAUGCUGUCAUCCCCCCUCAAAUUGAUGCUGAUCGAUCAAGAAGCAUCAAUUUGCUCACAAGAAACUGAUGACGCUUUCGUGUCAUAGCCUUGGUAAAUACAUCAGCUCUCUGGAGAGUAGUGGAAAUAUGAGGAAGAGAAAUAAUACGAGUGUCCAAAGUUAUAGUCUUGCAUUUGCAUUCCAAAAAUGCAGGUUAUUGUUUUUCGCAGUUGCAUGAAUGUGACAAUUGGCUUUGCUAUUGGAAAAAUAUAUAUAUAUAUUUCUGAUUUUAGUCUCUAUCAUUACAGUGGAUUAGGAAUGGCAAAUAAUCUGGUUUAUUACAGGGAAAUCCUACCCAAAUCCAAACUCCUAUGGAAGGGGUCCCUCUCCCUAACCAUCCUGGAAUACCCUGGGGGGUUAGAAUGCAUAUAGUGUUACAUUAUAUAACUUUAUAGUUGGGGAUUCAAUUAAUCUAGAUUCAGAAGCUGAAAUUUCACCUCGACCAUCAAUAGGUUUAGCCAGGGCAUUUAUAACACGACCUAAAUAAGCCUUGCACUGAGUUCUUAUGUUUUCUGGGAUACUAGGGCUUCAAAAAGGGCUGAAAACUUCAUAGAAUUUCAUACUGAUUUUUCACUGUCAAUUUGGAGAAAAUGAUGACUAGAUUACAAGUAAGAUUAAGAGCAACUUGUAAAUUUAAUCAACUGGAAGACUGGUAUUGAAUGGCUAUUAGUUAGGUUAGAAUAAGAUGAGCUAGACUAUCAAGUUGUGCCAUUCAUUCACUGGCCGUUGAGUAUUACGUAGGUUGUUAUGGAAGAGUUAAAAAAUAUCUAUAUAAAUUUAACAACCACAUUAGGUUUCUAGAUUCAGAAGUCGAGGUUAUGUUUUUUUGCUGACUCUUUCGACUGUUAAUUGCCUGUCUUUUUCUGUUUACAUUUUGGCUUAGCUUUGUAAUAAUAGUUCCUUCAUGUAAUGAUAGGAAAAUGUGCAAACCGGUUGCUUGGUUCAUCUGGCUUACCUCAAAUAACUAGACAAAUGAAGGUAUAUGCUUUGAAAUGUUCAGUUCUUUUAAUAUUAUCUAGCCUAUGUUUUAUUCAGUAGCCAAUUCCAAUUAUUUUGAAGAUUCAUAACCCAUUUUCCUGGUUUGUAGAGGCUGGAACUAAGUUCUGUAUGGGCCCUUCUUGCUGCAUUUGAGGACCCCCUCCCACUGGGCAGUGCAUCAACAUUUGAAGGCGCCUUUGUGAAAGGUGUUGAUUCUGUCUCAUGGAUGGCAAAUAACUCAGCAAAACUUUUGAAUUCUCAGAGUGAUGCUCCUCACUGUUGGACCUUCUUCAGCACUGCAGCUUACGGAAAACAAAACAAGGUUCCACAGGUCAGUUUGUAUAUAAAUGUGGGUGUUGUUUGAAGUACUUGCUUACACAUGAUAAUAUGCUAGCAUUGGCACACUUUUUAACCAAUUGCCUAGAUUUGAAUCCAUUCAUGCUUCAGCUUGAACUCCAAGCUAUAGAAACAAGGCUGCAAUAAGUUCUGUCUUUUUGUACAUAUUUAUGUUCCCUUUUAUACUUGAAUCAAUAUGACAUUUCAAUUUUACAGCGAACUUUGGUGCUGUGUAGAUACGUAUAUGUUGCAAUUUAGGCUUUCUGCAAGAUUUUUUAUGAUAUUUUUUUUUAUCAUUUAUUAGGAAAAUAUCCCAACUGCAACAGCAGAGAAGGUGAAAACAGGUAUGCUCGAGGGUGUUGAAGCUGCACUUGGCCGACCGAAAGGUUCACUUCAGAAGCCCAUUUAUUCUCGAGUCCAGUUAUGGUAAGACUCCACUUUUAAGGACAUGACCUUGUAAUUUCAUUUUUUUAUCAUGUCCAAUCUGGAUCCUUGUAACCUACUUGACCUAUAACUAUUUGCUGUUGGUGUUGGUUUAGAAUGAGUGGUUGAUUUGGACAAGCUUGACAAGUUAUUGUGUGGACUUGUGUAUAGUACUAAUUCUAUUUUCCUGUUACGCUUAUUUGAAAAAAAGAUGGUACAUGUCAUUCCAAUUUAUUAAAUAUAUAAAACAACUUGAGAAUUUCAUAAUUAAGAAAAUAGUUCCUCUGUGAUGAAUUAGGUAUUUGUUUAUUUAUAUAUCUAUUUUAUUUAUUUAUUUCUUUUUUGGGUUGGGGGAAUGUGUAGGGGUGCAGCUCUUCCAACUAAUACUCCAAGUAUUCCAUGUAUCUUUGAUCCUCAUGGAAGGGCCGGUAUAUGUGGCGAUUGGCUGUUGGGUUCAAGCGUAGAGUCAGCUGCAUUGAGUGGCAUGGCUCUUGCCAAUCAUGUAAGCAAGAAUAUGAUUUUCAUUUGCUUAUUUGGUUUUAUUUUGUGCAUGUAACCAUAUAUUUCAUGGUUGAUAUAAUAAAUAAAAUAAAUCUAGGACAACCAUUCUAUCCCUAUAUGGACAUCUAAAUAUAAUUUGUAGAUUGGCUUCAAUCAGGUUGAAAUAUCAGACAAGUUUCAAGAACAUUAGCUUGAAACUUGAUUAUUCUUAUAUAAAUAACGUAAUUGGUCUAUGUAGAUUGCAGACUAUUUAGGAAGUGAUGGAGUUCGUCCUGAGGAAUUUGCUGUCGGUUUACACAAAGACUUUCAGUCGCUCCAAGGACAUGAUAUUGGACAAUUCCCGGGUUUGAAGUCCAUGGAAAAAGAGCAAGUUCAAGCAUAUGAGCUUACUUCUUGAAUCCCUAAGCAGGCCACGAACAUUUCUAGAGUUUUUCAAGGUAUACUUCUAUUCAUACACUGUUUAUGGCUUUCUGUUUUUCACUUGGGUUACUGUCAUGUUAAUUCUCUUGGUUUUUAUAGCUAGGAUUAAGAAGUUUAUUCACAAAAUGCAGUUAUUGGCAUAGUUGCUAAGCAAGCAUCCUGAAAUUCUUUUUGUGAUGCCAUCCAUUAUGAAACGUAAUGAAUACAGAUGCAAAGGAAAGCGGAUUCUUCGGGCAGCUAAAUCCUUGCAGAAAACUUGUUUUCAGUAGCAUAGGUGACAGGAAUCGUGAUAUUUCCCCAGCUUUCAUGGAAGAAAAAUAAAAAAUUUCUAAUAACUGUAACCCUUUUGAGUUCUCCACAAAUCAGUUUGAAUAUGAAGCCAAAUAUCAGAUGCAUAUUUACAGGCUUCUUUCAGAGCAACAAAGUUUAAUGCUAUCAGUUGUUUUGGGUUCAAGUGAUCAGAGCUUCAUCCGGCACAAGCAUGCCAAACAGAGUAUGAAAAAUUUUGAAACCUACAGUUAAAAAUUCUCAAGUUCCGUAUUUGACCUGUAGUCACAUUCAAGUUUAUACACGACUGCUGAUAUAUGAAAUGACAUUUUUAUUCAGUUCCAGAAAAGUCGCAUGCAGAGGAUUUAAGUUUCAUAUUAAUGGAAUGGUUUUGAGCUUCAUUAUUAUAUUUUUUUUAAAAAUAAUUAAUGGAGUUAACAUUACUUAUUACAGGAAAACAAAGAAAGAUUAAUUCUCCAUGGGAAAAGCGUUGAAAGAAGCUUCUCAUGAGCGCAAUCAGUCCCUCAGUUGCUUGCCAUGGUAUCUUUUCCAUACUUUUACACAUGUUGAUAAAAUUCUUUCUUGGUUAAAUAAUUUGGAGAGAGAGCUGUUCAUUGGCAACACAAGCAACAAAAUAUCACACACAAAUUAAUUCCAACAAAAAUAAUAUUUUUACACGAGAGACUUGUGUGAGAGAAGAGGGUUAAUUAGAUGAUUACCAUUGAGAUCACAAGUUGGAGCGAAAUGAACACAGGCAAUUGAGCAAGCUGUGACAGAGUCUGUCGAGCUGAAGAAAUUGAAAACUCUUUGGCAUUUGUCUGCAAGCUUUAAAGCCGUCCGAAAACCAUUGUGCUUCUGCUAAUUUAACUUGAUAGCCAGCAACAAAAACAAAAAGAAGAACCCAGUACAGUUGCAGUUUCUAGUUUUUCAUGCUUGCCAUCUUUUCUUUCUUGAGAUUGAAAUGAUUUAAGAUUUAUUUAAAGGGUCUUUAUCUUAGUAUGCAAUUAAUGGUUUGAAAACAGAUUAUAUGCUAUUACAAGUGAAUUUUUCUGAUAACGAUUGCUUGACUAGGAUUCUUGUCGUAGUAUAAUUAUUAAACAUGAUUUUAUAAUUAAUGAUUCGUACAUUAAGUGAAAUAGAAACCAGGAUUUGAAAACUAAUAUGUUGGUAAAAUCGCUUGGAGCAACAGCCUAAAAUUAUCAGAUGGUGAGAAAACAGGAGAGGAUCUACGAAGAGUAAUGAAGUUUUCUAAAGUCCAACUGAAAUGAUUUCAGGAUUCGCUUCAACGAUGCAAAAAUAUAUUUGACAUCUCAAAUCUGAUGAAAUUCAUUUUCUUUACCGUUAUCUUGGACGUAUCACAUGUCAAAAUGCAUUAAUUACCGAUGCUAGCACUUGAAAUAAUAAAAAAAAAAAUCAAAUGAUAACCAAGUUAAAGAAGCAAAGUACUUUUAUAUUACAUACUUGAUUGUACCCCAAACCCAAUUUGUAAGACAUGAAGAAGAAAUCUCUUUGACAGAGUUAUUUCCAAAAUGGCAGAAUCUACCAUCUUGAACCAAAGUAUAUCAUUAGAACAAGAAGGAGAAUUAAGGACAUUCUAUUUCGAGAGCUACCUGAUAGGGUACUUCAUUCUUGACAGAGUACUGGCCUUCGUUGUCAUAUUGCCACCGAAUCUGAACUUCUUUGAGGAAAUGAAUGCUUUGGUGGAAGAAGACCUUGAGCAAGAAAGAGACCAACAUGAAAGAGAGAUGAAGAAAAUCUCUAAUUAUGCAGAUAUGGUCUGAUUGGCUUGUGAGAUAACUAACCAAACUAAUCACUACUUUCAAUCUCAAUUAAAUUCCAACAAACAAUCUAUUUUCUAUACGGACUUGUGUGGUGAUAAGCUAAAUAAAGCUGCCUGAAAACUACUCAGACGAAACUCUGGGGAUAUAGUACAUUGUUUGUUGAUAUAUAAUGGAUAAACAGAAUAAUAAAAGCCCCUGCUGAAAAUUGACGGAGAUUGAAAGUAGUGAUUAAUUUGGUUAGUUAAAACUUACAAGCCCACAAGACCAAUUUGAUUAGUUAGAGAUCUUCUUCCACCAAGCAUCCACUUCCCCACAGGAUUUCAUGGCAGCCAAUUGUAUGCGGAUCGAUCUUCAAUUUGCCGUCUCAGAGUAUGAAACAUGAUCCAACAUCAUCACAGCCUAGCAAUAUCUAAGUAGGUUUCUCUUUUAACCUUGCAUGUUAUAAAGAUUGAGUAUAUAUAAAUAAAAUUGUACUCCGAAAAUUGGCUCUUGCCCUCAAUACGUGUUAAUCCAUGAGUUAGGUAGAGUUAGUUGGCUUUGUCCUGUUCAGUAUUGCUGCCUAGUAGGUGUGGCUUUUAAGCAACAACUUCGGUUUAUGACUUUGUAUUUGAUGAAAAAAUUUUGUUACUCUCACCUUUUUUUUUUCCUCCAAAUUAUUAUUUUUAAAGCUUUAAAAAUCAUAUUUAUCAAUUACUUUCAACUUUUAUUUCAUUGCAAUUGUAACUUAAUUUUAAGCCACAACACUAAAUGGAUCCUCAGCAAUUAAUGGUCUCUUUAGCCUUGAAAUAUUAAUAACAAAACUACUCACCGUCCGUCACCAUGAGCCACCACAAACCACCAUCGGCAUUCAUAUUUUGGUGUCUUCUGACAUUAAUUUUAAACAUUAGAAUCUUCAAACUUUUGAUAAUGUAGCAAAAAAUGCAUUAACGUGGUAAUUAGUGUUGUGCAAAAUAAGUUUAUUUCAAUUGAUGCUGCACCCACAAAAAAUGCAUUUCAUUUCAAUUGCCUAUGUGGCAAACAUUUCUUUUAGGUGUUGAAAUUGGGCAAAAGUUAUGCUAUAAAAAUAUUUGAUAAACACUUGAUAUUAUAAUUUAAAAAAUAAGUUGAUUUAUUAAUAAGAUAUAAAAUUUUAAAAAAUAUUUUUUUUUAUAAAAUUUUAUUUAAAAAUCAUAUUUAUUAUGAAUUACUAAUUUUUAUAUUAAUUUAAACAAAAUUACGAAGAUGCCCAGCCUUUUUACAGAAAAUGUUAUCUUGUUAAUUUUUUAAAAUUUUUUACUAUUUAUUAUAUAAAAUUAUUUUUAUGAAUAUUAAGAAAAUUACUUUGUUAAUAUUGAUUAAGCAUAAUAAAAUGUUCAAAUGAUAAACCCAAAAAAGAAAAAAAGAAAAAAAAGAGGGAAACAUGAAGAAGUGAGCUCCACUCAUCCCGAUGCUCGCUAUUCGGUUAACGAUUCUGCAGCAGCUGUUUAAAACUUGAUUUUUUUCUCUUUGAAUCUGGUAGUUUUUCAAAAUAAUUUAGUUUAAGGGUUAGCAUUUAGUUUCAAUCACAGUUAAUUUUAUUUAUUUAUAUAUUUAUUGCUUUUUUGUUUUGUUUAGUAGGAUUGUAAUUAUCCUCGUAAAAGAUUUGAAUAGGUAUCGCAUUUGGCUUCACAUUUCCCAACUCUUCAUGUUUUUGAAUGGUGUCUGAGGUCAGGUGAGUCCAUUUCUCCCCUUUGCAUUUUUUUUCAUUUUCCUUUUAUUUUAUGUUUGUUUGGUUGCUGAGAAAAUUGAGGGGAAAAAAUAAAAAAUAAAAAACAGCAGUUAGACUUGAGUUUAACUUGAGAUUGAUAUAUAUAUAUAUAUAUAUAUAUAUAUAUAUAUAUAUAUAUAUGGUUUUAAGUUUUCUAAGUUUAAUUCAAAAUCUACCUCAAUUGACUUCAAUUCAAGUCAUGUGCAUCUGUUGGGCAUGGUUGAACUGGAGAACAGAAGGGAGUGAAAAAUUUUAGGGGCACAUGUGUGAAAUUUUGCUUAUGUACUUCGAGAAUUUUUUAAUGUUGGAAGAUUAAUGUGUUGAUCAUGUUUUGGUUUCCUUAUUAUUAUUAUUAUUAUUAUUAUUGCAAUCCUCAGUAACUAUGAAAUGAAAGUUGGUAGUAAUUAUGAAAUGAAAAGAAAAUAUCAAAUUAUAAUCGAUAGUUAAAACACAAAAAGUUACCUUUGAACUCUGCUGUAGUCUGGCAGAUAAUGAAGCAGGGAGAAAGAUUCUGAUCAUUUUCCCUCUAAACAUGCAUGAAAGUCCCGGUUCUGUAAGAUGUAUCAUUGGUAAUUUUCAAUUAUAAGCUAAUAUAUGAUAUGUUUUGGGUGGACAAAAUAAUUCAGGCCCUUAAAAUGACUUAUAAAUUAUAUUGAAAUUAAAUUUAAAAAUAAUUAAAAAAUUUUAAAGUUGGAACCCAAAAGAAGAAGAGGAACGAUUUACUCAUGACAAAAGAUAAAUAAAGGGUUGUCAGUGUCACCCAAACAAGAGGAUCGCACAUUCUUAGGGGAAAAUAUUUGGAGGAUUCACCAAAGAUGGUACCUGGGUUGUCAGCAUAACGAUUUGGGUGGUGAGAGGCAAAGAAAGCAGAGGAUGUAGGUGAUUUAAUUAGACAAAUAAUUAGGAUACAUCGAACAGAGGAGAAGACAAUUGCAAAUUCGUUGGAACAGUUGAUUUCGAUGAUUUGUUUAAGAACAGGGGCUGUCGUGGGAACGAAUCGGAUGGCGCUUUUGUAAAUGUAGCUGCGAACUGCAACCCACUAUUUGCGGUGUUGAAAGUGUAGGAAUUCUUCAUGGCCGCAAGUAGAGGGAAUAGAGCGUCUGUUUGAUUUACUAUAUGCAGUACGAACCGGAUGAAGAAGGUAAUUCGUGGGAAAAAAAUAAUAAUGGUUACUUGUGGUUGAAAUUUGAUGAAACUUAUGUUUAUUCGAAGGUAUUAACUAACAUAUAAUAAUUUAUUGUUUGAACUCUUGACUCUUGCAUAAGAAAAUCAAUUGGUAGAGAAAAUUGUUCAUUGCCAAUUUUGUAAAAUAUUUGUUGGUCCCUUGAAAGGUAUAAGAAAUUUUUGGAGUAAAAAAUAUUUAAACAGAGUUUAACAAUAUGGAGUUUACGGAGAGAGCUUUUAAACAAAUCUCGCCAUGUAAUUUUAAAUAAGGUUAAAAUCGUAAAUAUGAGAUGGGUUUUUAGAUGACUUUAGAGUAGCGCCACUUAAAUGCAAAGCAACUCUUACUUUACUCGCCACUUGGGCUUGUAGCCCAGUGGUGGACUAUUGCCCUCAAAGUUAAGCAUGACUUUGAGGGCAAUGGUUCGAGUCCCCACGGACUCAACCUCCUCCAAUUAAACAUAAUUGUGUGGAGAUUUCUAUAAACGUCUUUCUCCCUUGCGAAAUGCGAGUGGAGUAGAGACAUCCCUCCUCCGUGAGGGGUAUUUGGGAUGGGCAUGUACUUCAUAGAAUAAAAAUGUAAUAAUAUAAGUCCCAUGUAUAUAUAUCUGAUUGUAAAUAAUAUCAGGGGUAUUUGGGAUGGGCAUGUACUUCAUAGAAUAAAAAUGUAAUAAUAUAAGUCCCAUGUAUAUAUAUCUGAUUGUAAAUAAUAUCAGUGUAAUGACCUGCUGUCAUAGCAGUUGUAUAUAUAUCUGUGUAAUGCAAACUUAAUCAGUUUCAAAAAAAAAAAAAAAAAAAAAAACUCUUACUUUACUCGUCUCUAACGACCUAGGGUUCUUCUUCCACUCUCCAUUCUUUUGCUUGCCGACCUGAAAAUCCCUUCUCUUGUAUUCAAAUCUCAAAAAGUGCCAUUUCGUCAUCGAAAAUAAGCAGAUCUACACCCUGUGUUUGUAUGGUUGCAGUCCGUGUGAAGCCAUUGACGUCGAUGGAUGAUGCGGGGUUCUAACUGUCACUUUGAAAACAGUUAUGCCUAUUCUUCCUUGUACUGUAGAAGGCUCCUCUUGUACUGUAGAAGGCUCCUGUGACCUCAAAGACGUCACCAUGGAAUGGAAUCAUGCUGAAGACUUAUCCGAUGGUUGGCAUAGAAGGUGGCAAGUUACUUGUAAUAGGCAAGCUGCAGAAGAAAGAUGACGUUUUCAAGGUCGCAGGAGCUUUCUACGGUUGGGGAAAAUUUUUCCAUGCUGAAAAAAUAGACCUGUUGAAUCCAUUCGUACUUCAGCUUGAAAUCCCCCGCUCCCCCCCCCCCCCCCCAAAAAAAAAAAAAGAACAAGGCUGCGGUGAGUCCAGUCUUUUUGUGCAUAUAGACUUUGCAACAAGAUUAGCUUUAUUUUCCCUUUUAUUCUUGAAUCAAUACAAAACUUCAGUGUAGAUAUGUAUGUGUUGCUACUCAGGCUUUCUGCAAUAUUUGUAUGAUUUUUUUAUAUAUCAUUUAUUAGGAAAAUAUCCCAACUGCAACAGCAGAGAAGGUGAAAACAGGUAUGCUCGAGGACUUCGCCUGCCAGAAGGUUCACUUCAGAAGCCCUUAUACUCAAGUCCAAUUAUUGUAAGACUCCACUGUUUGGGCAUUAUCUUGUGAUUUCAUAUUUAUCGUGUCCUGUUUGAAUCCCUGUGACCUACUUGGGCUGUGACUAUUUUCUGUUGCUGUAGCUUUAGAAUGAGCGGUUGACUUGGACAGCCUUAGCAAGUUAUUGUGUGCACUUGUGUGUAAGUCCCUACUUUUACUUUCUUCUGAUACUCGUUUUUCAAAUGAGAUGGAACGUGUGAUUGCAAUUUAUUAAAUAUUUAAAACAACUUGAGGAUUUCAUAAUUGAGAAAAUUCCGGGUUCCCUUAUGUUGAUUUAGGUAUUUAUCCUUUUUUGUUUGGGAUGUAUAGGGGUGCAGCUCUUCCAACUAGUAUUCCAAGUAUUCAAUGUAUAUCUUUGAUCCCUGAGGAAGGGCUGGUAUAUGUGGUGAUUGGCUGUUGGGUUCAAGUUUAGAGUUAGCUGCCUUAAGUGGCAUGGCUCCUUGCUGAUCAUGUAAGCAAGAGUAUGAGUUUCUUUUUCCAAUUUGGUUUUGUUUUGCACAUACAAAUGUAUAUUUCAUUAUUGAUAAUUAUUAUCAAAUUAAAAAAAAAAAAUCUGCAACACCACCUUUAUAUCCCUGUAUAUGGACAUUUAAAUAUAAAUUAGUGUAUUGGCUUAAAUGCAGUUCGAAAUAUAAGACGAGUUUCAAACAUAAGAUUAAAGCUUGAUUAUUCAUAUAUAAAUAAUGUAAUUGUUCUAUGUAGAUUGCAGAUUAUUUAGGAAGUGGUGGAGUUGGACCUCAGGUGUUUGCUGUCAUUUUACACAAUGAGUUUCUGGGUUUAGAGUCCAUGGAUAAAGAAAAAGUUCAAGCUAUCAACUUACCAUUUGAAUGCAAGCAGGCCAUGAAAAUUUCUAGAGCUGUCAAGAUAUGCUUCUAUCAACACAUUGUUUAUGGAUUUAUUUCACUUGGGUUAUUCUCAUAUAUUAAUUGUCUUGCUUUUAUUACUGGGAUAAUUUGAUUGCAGUCAUCGAUGAGGGUAAUGCUUAUUUAUUGGUAAUUGAAAUAUUUUGCUAUCAACAGUGUCGCAUUUGUUCAUCAUUAUAUGUCUACACACACACACGCACACAAAAAAUAUAUUUAUAUAUAUGUUUAUAUACCAUGACAAGGGCUUUGUGCGUUAUCAUUCAUUGCUUGUAGCCAUUGUGACACUUGAGUGUAUAUGCAACUUAGGCCAUCGCAAUCCUUUUUGGAAUGAAAUUUUGAUUUGAUUAUUGCCAUUUUUGUGAUUGAGUUAUUGUGACUUUUGGUUCAAAUAUCAAAGUUUUUAUGCUUUCAAAAUUAUCCUGCCACCAAAAUGGGACUCAACUUGAGUUAUUCAAACUUGUGAAACUUGAAUUUUGUGUAUCUGAGUUGAGUGCUGAGUUGGUCAGCCACAUCCAUGCAAUGAUUCGUUGUAUUUAUUUUGUUUAUUUUAAUAUGCUUUGCUUUAUCGAGGGAAUCAUGGCUUGGGAGGAAGAACGGAAACCAGAUUGAUAGGUCCUCAACCACUGAUAUUUGAUCAUGCUGCUCAAUUCUUUACCGUGAAUGAUUCUUGGUUUGGUGAGUUGGUUGAUGGUUGGUUGGAUAGAGGUCUGGUGCAUCUGUGGAGAGCUUGAAGUGGGUGGUCAAUUCACCCCAUUUCCUUCUUCACUUCCAAGAUACAUUGGUAUUAAUGGGAUGUGCCUUCUUGCCGACUCUUGAUUAGCCCAGGUGACAAUCUACGUUUGCUUUUGUGUUAAUUCUUUUAUGCUUCUUUGCAUAAAAAAAUAGGGGAAUAUUGUUUAAUUAAACCACAAUGGUAAGCAACUACUAUAUUGAUUUGAAGUUUGCUGGUAGGUAGGGUUGCAACUUGGGUCGAUCCUCCCAAGUGCAGUUCUAUGCUAAUGAUUCAAAGUCCCAAAAUCAUCACAGUUUUGAGGUUUAAUUGCACAAGGAAGAUCAGAAGCGAAUUUUACAUUGUCAUGUGAUUUCAAUUGCUUAGGCUGCAUGGGUGACAUAAUGAAAUACUGGCUAUAAAGAUUGUAACUGAGGAAAAGAAAACUAGCACAAACAUUUUGCACCACUGUAUUAUUAAUACAAUUCCUGCGAAAUAACAAGCUUCUAUAUGCAGCAUUAAUAGUGAAUGGAGUUAGGUGUAAACAACAUCUUAUCAAGGCAUUAGAUUAUGUAAAUCAAGUUCCUUUGUCCUUCAGCUAUGUUGUUUAUAGUCUAACUCUGUUUUGAUAUGCUUGUUGCAGACUUCUUCAGUUUAAUGUAAUGAGACCUUGGUGGAUAAGUAAUCUUGAUCCAUUUAAUGGGAUGUGGCAUCGGAAAACCAUCUGUUUAAAUUUAAUAACCAGAGUGGUUUUAUAGAUCAGCUUUUUAUUUUUUUUCCUUUCAGUUUCUUGUCAGAUUGUAAGACAAUUUAAGGUGUAUAUACUUUGAAAUAUUCAGUUUGUUUAAUAUUUUCUAGCCUUUGCAUUAUUGAGAGUCAGACCAUCUUUUAGUUGUUUUGAAGAUUUAUGAUGCAUUUCGUGGGUUCUUAGAGGCUAUACUUAAGCUCAAUAUGGGCUCUUCUUUCUUCAUUUGAGGAUCCCCUUCCGCUAGACAGUGCCGCGACAUUGGAAGGAGCCUGUGUUAAGGAGUUGAUUGUGUUUCAUGGAUGGCGAUAACUCAGCAAGGCUUUCAAGUUCGCAGAGUGUUGGCCUUCGUUGUUUGACACCCCCACUUUAAUCCAAGCUAAAAUAACCUUAUUUCUCCCCACUCGUUAAACUCCUUACUGGUGGUGACUUCAUUUUCAAUACCCAUACUUGUAUAAUGGCUAACCUAACAGAUAAAAUCAUUAGUGGUGGUGAGCGAAGACUAAGAUGCCUUCGGCAACUGGUCACUGCUAAUAACAAUAAUCUUGAUUCAAAUAAUGGCGGAUCCUUAGCCCGUCUGUCCAUGCGUCAAGAGUUAUUGGCUGGUAAAAAUCACUUUGAUGAUGUGCUUACUUCCCGAUUAUUUUAAAACGAUUAAUUUCAAAUAUUUCCAUUGAUUUUAGACCACAAGAAAACCAACCAUAGAAUCUUCAAAAUGGCUUUCUACGCAAAUGCUGCUCGGAUUACAGUUUCGUUGGGAUAAAGUUUUGAGUUUCUUAUCAUUCUUCAAAGCCCCUGAUAUGUGGGAGUGAAGAACUUCAGAAAUAAAUUAUGUGUAUUAAACUCAAAUCUGGUCAAGAAUUAUGGGAAUAGUAAUCUAUUUACACGAGUUUAGUUGGGAUUAGAAAUAAAGAAAAUUUUGUGACGUUUCCGCCGUAAGAGACCGUAGGAUUGGCAAAUUUUGACCAUGGGGGGCCGAGAUUGUGCCACGUCUCCACGCGCACCAUAUACCUUACUAUAUGGUUCUUACACACCCAACCAUUCUUGUCUUAUUAGGGAGCAAUCUUGGCCGUUCACUGUGUUCGAUCGGACGCCCCACGUCUCUCUUUCUUUCAGCCACCACCGCAUCUGAAAGAACCGUCGGAUCGUGCAUCAACGGUUCCUGAAGGCGUGCUCACCAUGCUUAUUGUUGAAUGGUGACAUUACCCAUUUUCUCACCCCCAUCAUAGAUCACAGCUCGUUCAACUGAAACCCUUGUCUUGAAGUCAUAAAUCAAAAUGCACUCUGUGUUCUGGGAGGAAGAUGAGAACACUGUUCUCUUCAAGUUGCCUCUUGCAUCAGGGACGAAGCAAGAGGGUGUAAAGGUUGCGAUUGAAGAUCAUAAGUUGUUCAUAUCAGAGGAAGCAGGCACCUCUCUCAAUCAAUACUUUGGUAUGUAUGUCAACUUGCCAGUAGGUCUCAACCCGGAUAGCUUCGAGACCUCAAUGGAUCAGACGGGGCUCCUUACUGUCCGUUUCAAAAAACUUAUGCCCAUCAAUAGUAAGCUUUCAUGUAGUACCGUAAAAAGCUCCUGCGACAUGGCCCCCAUGGGCUGGCUUGAGCCUGAUGAUAAAGAAGCCAACGGAGUUAUCCACUCCAAAGCGGGUCUUUCAGCAGAAACGAAGAAAGAAGAUCUCGUCGUCGGCGUCGUAGAUCGACAAUUUCUUAUAAUAGGCCAGCAGCUGAACGAGAAAAAGGAAGGAGGCUCCUGCGAGAGCUUCGUAUUGCCGCAUGGUGUGAACCCGGAUGGGUUUGAGACCUCCAUGGAUGAUCCCGGGGUCCUGACGGUCACGUUCAAGAAGAAGCCAUCGAAGGAUGGCAAGAAAAAGAAAGAAAAGAUAUUAAAAUCAAGGUUGCUCGGAGGUUUGGCUGAAGCUUGUCUCCUGGCAGGUUGCAAGUUCGCUUGCGAUGAGCUUACUGGCGACGACUCCUAACUAAUAAUUAAGCUGGUGUGUUUGGAAUAUGGUAUUUCCUAUAUCGUGUUCUCCUUGUUGUGUCGUUUUUGUAUGAGUGUUUUGUUUGUCUGUUUGAAAAUUGGAAAUAAACUCUGGACUAGUACUGGAGAACUCCAGAGCAGAUGUUCCAAUUUACUAUGUUGUACUUCUUCCUUUUAUUUUCUUUCUUUGGUUUGUCUGGGAGUUUUGUGUGUAAUAAUAUUAAUAAUUAAAAUAAGACCUUUGUCUAUUUCCUUCUUCUUCUUCUUCUUCUUCUUCUUAUUAUUAUUAUUAUUAUUUCUUUUUUUAAGAACCAGUAAUUUCAGUUGUGUUAAAUGAUAUUGUGUGCGUUAAAUUUUUUUUUUUUCCUUUUUCCAAUUUUAAGGAUGGACUUUGAUUACCUAUAUAAUGACAAUCACAUAGGUAAACCAAGCAAACUAGAGUAGUUCAUCUAAUACAAUUUUGUAUUUGUUUAAUGUGAACUCCGCGAUUGAUGCAACUUACAUCACUAUUAUAACGAAUCUCUUAUCUUUAAGAAUAAGUAACAGAGUAUUGGACAGCUGCGCUUAAAUCUUAAUUGGGUCAGAGUCCCCUAAGGUACUCAAUACUCCACUCACAUGAAGGUAUAGGUGGGGGUACAUUCAAUAACACUACAUAGGUUUUUUUCAAUUGUUAGCGUCGAAAUUUGUUUGAUUAUGCUAUUCAGUUUUUGAUAAUCACUAUUUCAAAAUAUAAAUGUGCAAUUUGGUCAUUAGGAUACAAAUCAUAGCAAUUUUGAUAUUAUUUGUUAGGUGGAAAAAAGUUGUAGGGUAAUUACGUACGCUUAGUAUAUUAUUAUUGCUAUUUGAAUGCCAUUGCUACAUUAACUGCAAUGACAUUUGGUUUGUGGCAUACUGAAUAAAAUUUCCUUUGAGCCUACAGGAAUAGGACUGUCCUUGUAACCGUCCUAUUUCCUUAAUGGAUGUAUCUUUUAAGUCUUGCAUUUGGCAUAUGAAGCUUAUUGAAAGAAAGCAAAUGGUCAGGAGCUGGUCUUAAAAGCAUGUUCUUCGAGGAAUACAAUACAAACAGUAAUAGGAUUUGAGACAAUUCAUAGAGCUUUCCUUGAGUGAAAAAUAGUCACAUUCCUAUUUAAACUGACAUGACAUGCUCUUCUAGUUUAUUCAGAGAAUUAUGAGAAUAACCUCAGGUAUGUUAAUUGAAAAAUGCCCAAACUGGACAAGUCAUAUUCAUACCAUGUAACCCAGGUUCGUUAAUUUUAAAUUCCAAUUUAGUGUUCUGAUCUGUCUUCAUCUAUUUUAGCAUGUGUUUCAUAAUUCAUGCUUUAUUCUUCUUCUACUUUUUUUGCCCCCCUUCUUAGCUUCCAUUGGAUUAUUGAUGUGGUGAAAAAGGAAAUGUUCUAUUUGGAUCCCGAAAGGGCAAUCCUAAUCCUAAUUUAGACCAGAUCCUUAAAGCAUAUGUUUCCUUUCCAUUCGAUACCAUUCAUAUUUUAGGUUUCUUCAAUGUAUUUUGGAGAUACUCUUGUAGUUUUUCAUACAACGCCAUGACACUGUUCACAAUAUAUAUCUAAGAUGAGAUUUGUGGAGGUAAAAUAAAUUACCUUACCUGAAUGCGGUGUGGCUACUACUUUUACUAACACAAAUGUAAUUUGUAAUUAACUUUUUGGUUUUUAACUGUGAAUAGACAUAGCAACAACCGGACAACAUGGAGUGAGGCUAUUAUGUCAUGAGGUACAUGAAGAAUAUAAUAGCAUACAUUUAUUUGGUAAAGAACAAUGUGUGUUACUGAUAAAUAAUAUCAAUAGGUUUGGUUUGUAGCAUAUAUAUGUGGCGUUGAUUUGGAAGUCCAACAACAAUGAUUUUGUGGUUAACAGCUCAAUGCAAAGGACACCACACUCUAGCUGAAAUCAACAAACGACAUUCGUUUGGAGUGGGCUAAUCUUUUUUCUAAAAUCCUUGUUGCAUCGUCAUACUAUAAAUGUGAAAUUAUAGUGCAGGGUGAUAGGGAGGGAACUCACAGAUGUACACAUGGAUAAGAAGUCAAAUGGAGUUGUACCGAAUUCAAAUGAUGCAUCUUGUGAUAAAGUUCACGUGGCUCGAAAAAUCUCAGAAGACAAUGUUGAUCUAAAGGACUACAAGGUGAAAGAAUGCACUGAAGAAAUCUCGUUCAAAAAUUGUAAUGAGAAACAAGAUGAACUUGAUGUGGAAUGUAAAAAUUUUGAUGUUGAUGUAACUGAUGACACAAAUGACUAGCCGGAAGUGCAAAAGUCAAACUCUCCAUCUAAAUCUCGUGGUCCUGCUAAUGUGCGUACAAGUCUCACUGUCCUACAGCCCUUUGCUCUGGCAACUGAAAAACGUGCUUCAGGCACAACUAGACAUGGUGGGACUGAAACUGCAGCUGAUAGCAAUAAUGCGCAGUCCCCUAUGCUAAAGAAGACUUCACAGGUAACUUAAAUCCUCAAUUGGAUAAAUUGUGAAUGCUGCUAUUCUUUAUUAUUAAGUUGAAGGAUCAAUGAACUUAACGAGAAACUUGACAUUAACUACAGCCAAUAUAAUUGGUGGUCUGAAGAGGCAAAAGAAUUCCAACUAUUUGUAAGGAGUCGGGCAACUUUACCUAGCAAAUAGAUAACAAAUUCAACCAAUGGAGUUUGUACCUUAUAAAGUUACCUAAAAAUAGUUUUUCUUGCAUUAAAUUGUAGGUUUCCUUAGAUCUGUUCAAGAAAAAUUUUUAAAAAAAUCUUAAUCACUUUACUAUAUUUUCGUUUUAUUUUCGUGUUAGGAAUCUUUUCCCACUAUAUGCCUUCUUGAUUCAGUCUGUAUGCUUGAUUUCAUUGGAACUGCUCUACAUCAUAGCCUUUGUUUUGUUUUGCUUCCCUGGUGCAGCAUGGGGAAAUCCGUAGCUCAUAGAUCUGUAAUCUUGUUAUCCUAUUUGCUUUAACUUCAAAAAGAAUAUCUAGCUAACUGAAUAAGCAAUUUGUAUGGUGCGUGAAGUCUGAUGGGAAUUCAAAAUCAUCUUGAUCUUGUUUGCAAUGAUCAAUGUUGCACAAAUUAUGGAUUUUAAGUUGUUGCUAGUCUUUGAUAUUCUGCAAUUUCUUUUGGAAACUCACCCCCGAAUCACAGAAGCUAUCGCAACUUGAUAACGAGAAGCUUUUUGAUGAAUUCGAAUCCUUUGUUUCUUAUUUUAGUGUGCUUUUAACUAUUGUUGGCUUUGAUAUACAUAGAAUGGCAGCAUCUAUACACAAGGUAAUUGUUGGAAUGGCUCCAAAAUUUGGAUGUUCUGAACGUGCUAGGAAACAGGAGGAGGUAUUUUUCAUUUAUCAAAUAAUUAAAUAUAAAAUUUAUUUUCAAAUGUGUUAUCUAAAUAAUGUUUUUGUAUCUUCUUGUCAUUUCCAUCUUCUAGUUUUGUACUAAAUUAGAGCAAAAGCACAAAGCUUUGGAGGAAGAGAGAAGCAACUUUGAAGGUGCAUUUUCUUAAGUAUCUCUGAUGUACUGUGUCUGCAAUCGUCGUUUUAUCUUAUUGCAGACAUCUGAAGAUGUUUGUGAAAUAGUAAUGUUUGAGUUGAUGUUCUGAUGCCAUUUUUAGUUCUUACAAUAAUGGGUUGAUGUCCUUAUCUGUGUGAAUAUUUUUUCAGUUCUUACGAUAAUGCUAUUUGAUUUCUGAUAAUUAGUGAGGGGGUACGGAAAGCGAAUUAAGGUUCAUAAAUACAUAUAUGUUUACUUUCAUGCACUUUUUAACCAAUUGCUGAGAGCACUAGCAUGGUAGAAUAGAUUCACACUUCAGCUUGAAAUCCCAAGCUGUUGAAACAGGCCGCAAUGAGGUCAGUUUUAUGUGCACUUUUUGUCUUGGAAAUAAUAUUAGCUUGAUUUUCCGCCUUAUAUUUUGAAUCAAUAUGAUAUUUCAAUUUUACAGUAUAGAUUUAUAUUGCAGUUUAGCUUCAAAAAGAGUGGCCGAUUUGGAUAGUCUGGUUAUGCUCAUCUGAAAAACGAAAUGGAACAUGUGAUUCCAAUUUCUUAAAUAUUUGAAAUAAUUUGAGAGUUUCAUUAAAGUUUUCUAAACAAUCAUGAUUAGCCUAGAAAUUUAUGAAAACUGCGUUCCUUUGCAAUGACUUAGUUUGAUUUGUCUUUUUUGGGAUUGUGUUUUCGGGUGCAGAUGCGGCUCUUCCGACUAAUACUCCGAGUAUGCCAUGUAUCUUUAUCCCCAUGGAAGGGAUGGUAUAUUUGGCAAUUGGCUGUGGGUUCAAGUUUAGAGCCGGCGAGUCAGCAGCCUUAACUGGCAUGGCUCUUGCUGAUCAUGUAAGAAAAUUAUAUGAUUUUCAUUAGCUCAUUGGCUAUACUUAUAUAGCUUCUAAUAAGUCUGGGACUUGACAUUCAUUUUUCAUUGUUCUACAGUGUUAUAAACCUGGUUUACAACAUUAUAAAAGUUUGUUUACAGUUUUGUAAACACAUCCUGAACUCUAAUACAAUCCAAAAUUCUUGGAUUAGUGUGUGUAUGUGUGUGUGUGUGUGUGUAUAUAUAUAUAUAUAUAUAAUGAGAUCUGAUCAGGUAGGCGAUCUCGCUCUCCAAGAUCCAACAUGAUCAGCCUCAUCUUGAAGAGAGCUGUGCAGCUUUUUGCUUCCUACUGCACGGCUCUCUCUCACACGCUUUUGGAGAGCGAGAUAUAUCGCCCACCUGAUCAAAGUCCUAUAGCUCUGCGUGUGUGUGUGUGUGUGUGAUGAUCAACAAUUAGUAUCAAGUAAAGUGAUCUAUAACACAACAUUUAUAUUCCUAUAUGGGGGCAUUUAAACAUGAACUUUUAUACUUGGCAUCAAUUUAGUUUGAGAUAUCAGGGAAGGAAUUUAAAAAAUAAGCUGGAAGCUUGAUUAUUCAUAUAUAAAUAAUGUGAUCUACAUCGAUUGCAGAUUAUUUAGGAAGUGGUGGAGUUCGUACUAAGCAGUUAACAUGGACUAAAUUGUUGUUUCAUCUGACAUAUUGUUAGCUCAAGCAAUAGUAAUGAACUUGAGAGUGGCAGUUUUUGAAAUCUUUUGUACAUGUAUACGAGUUGUAUCAAGAUUCUGUGGACAUUCUUUCUUCUAAUUUUGAUCUACGCAUCACAAUUUUAUGAUCCUUGUAUCUUAAAUCAAACUUUGUUGCUGCAGGUUCAAUUUCCAAUAAAACACUUAUGCCAAAUAAUUUAUAGAACCUAGUAAUAUCCAACUGAAUUCUCCCCUGCAAAUAAUUAAAAUUUUCAAGUUAGUCAAUAAGAAAAAACAGCCAUCAAUCAUAAUAAGAAGCAACAGCAAAUUACACUAAAAAAAGACAAAAAACAAAACAAGUGAAACAACUAUUUAUCCCAAAUGUAUAUUAUAUAUAUUGGACAGCAUUGAACUGUUUUUUUUCCCCCUUCAAUUGUUACAAUUUUCACAUAUUAUAAUCUAAAAUCUAUUCGGUAUCUAGGUACAUACACUUAGUAGUAUAAUCAAAAGGUCUGUGGGUCAUUAACUUGAAAAUAUGUUUCUACUAAUAUUUGGAGAAGUGUAUAUUGUAUGUGGCAUUGAACUUUUCUUUCUAUUUCUUUUUUCAAAAUUAUUACAAUUUACACACAUAUUUCAGUCUAAAUUAUUUAGUGAAAAUAAAUUAGAUAUCAAAUUAUGUCGUAACAAGAUAAAUCAGAGAGCAGGGCAGAAUCAAGUAUAAAACGUAGGAUAAGGAACAAGAUUAUAACGAAUAAAACUACCAGUAAAUGAUGACCACUUUAAUUUCCUCUGCACCUUCAUCUUCUCUGAUUCGUCAACCCCUUAAACGCCCAAAAUCCUCAAGACUCUCAAAAGCAAAGACACUAACUUCAACCAUUGAAGCAACUUCUUCUCAACCAAAACCCAACAACGCCAAUGCUAAAAAACCCACUUCAAGAAACCGCAGAAGAUCGUCGUAUGGCAGCUCGAGAAGGUCAGCUCGAUAAGAAAACAUUCGCUCAAGAGCAAGUCACGUUCACUGCACCUGUCUCCAGUGACCCGCGUGUGGGGAUUAUUGGUGGAGGCAUGGCCGGUCUCGCUUGUGCUCUGAGUUGGGAUAAGAGAGGUGUCAAGUCCACUGUUUUUGACACGGUUUGUCAUUCGUCUGGUUUCUUGGUUUUUUUUUUUCUGUACUUUUGUGUUUCUGAUUGGAGAGCUUGAAGUGGGUGGCCAAUUCAAUUAUCUGUUUAAUAUGGUUAGGUUGUGUUUGUAUUUGAGAGCAUACGCUCGUGUAAUGGUGAUUGAAAAAUGUGCUGUUAACGGUCUAGCAUGUGUUGUUAUGCAUCGAAUUUUGAUUAUAAGCAUGUUUUGGAGUUGAGGUAUUGUGACUUUUGAUCCGCAUUUGUUGACGAAUGAAAUUAAAACAUUAGCUGCUAAAUAUAAGUGGGGGUUUAUCAAAUAUUUUAGUCAACCACAUUUAUGUAUUCUUAACACCGUGCUUUGCUAUAUCAGGGGAAUCAUGGCUUGGGAAGAAGAAUGGGAACCAGAAUGAUAGGUCCUCAACCACUGAUAUUUGAUCAUGCUGCUCAAUUCUUUACUGUGAAUGAUUCUCGGUUUCGUGAGUUGGUUGAUGGUUGGUUGGAGAGAGGUCUGGUGCAACCAUGGAAGGUGUGAUUGGAGAGCUUGAAGUGGGUGGCCAAUUCACUCCAUUUCCUUCUUCACCUCCAAAAUACAUUGGUGUUAAUGGGAUGCGCCCUCUUGCAGACUCUUUAUUGGCCCAGGUGGCAAAUCUUUGUUUUGCUUUUGUUUUCUUUUCUUGCUGAUUCUAUCAUGCUUCUUUGCAUUAAAAGGGGAAAAUUGUCUAAUUAAAUCACAAUGGUAAAAAAACCGAAUUAUUGUUUUGAAGAAGGUAGUAUUGCUGCCUGGGUAUUCAAAGUCCCAAAAUCAUUAUACCGUUGAGGUUCGACCAGAGAACGAAGAUAAGAGUAUAUGAAACUAAAAGCUAUAAUUACAUGGUCACAUGAUUUUAACUGCUUAGGCUGCAUGACUAUACUUAAUGAAAUGUGCCGAUAAUGAUCAUAACUGACGAAAAGAAUAACCAGCAUGAACAUUUUGCACCGCUGUAUGAUGACUACAAUUCCUGUGAUGUAACAGGCUCCAUAUAUGGAUAAUGGAUUAUUCAUAGUGAGUUGGAGUUAGUUAUAUACAACAUCUUAAAUGGCAUACCUUUACUUUUAAAUCAAGUAAAUAAGUUCCUCUGUCCCUCAUGCCUUGGCUUAAUUCAUUUUGAUUCUUGUUGCAGACCUCUAUGUUUAGCAUAGUGAGACCUUGCUGGAUAAGUAAUCUUGAGCUAUUUAACGGGAUGUGGCACUUGAGCGAGAAUGUGAAACUACGUGGGCAGUUUGACGUGGUUGUUAUUGCUCAUAAGGGUGAUUCAGUGCUGCUAUCCUUUCUCGUUUUCUCUCUCUGUGGAUUGUUAUAGUCUUACAUUUGCAUUCCAAAAAUGCAGGUUAUUGUUUUUUGCAGUUGCAUGAAUGUGACAAUUGGCUUUGCUAUUGGAAAAAAAUAUAUCUAUAUUUCUGAUUUUACUCUCUAUCAUUACAGUGGAUUAGGAAUGGCAAAUAAUCUGGUUCAUUACAGCGAAGCCCUACCCAAAUCCAAACUCCUAUGGAAGGGGUCCCUCUCCCUAACCAUCCUGGAAUACCCUUAGAAUGCAUUUAGGUAGUGUUUACUUGUUGGAGUGGGAGUGUGGAGUGUGGAUUCCUCCCACUCCAGUGUUUACUUACCUUAAAAAAGAGGGGAGUGGGAGUGGGAAUCCGUGGGUCCCACUCAAUUUUGGAGUGGGGAGUGGGAUUCCCACUCCCAUGGGGGGAGGUGGGAGUGGGAAUCCACUCCCUCCUCUUCCCAUUUUAUCAUUAUAAUUAAAAUUAAAAUAAAUAAAUAAUAUUUAAUAAAAUAAAUAAUAUCAUAUUUAUUAAAAAUAAUAAUUAUAUCAUAUUUAUUUUAUUAAAUUUAAUAAAAUAAAAAUAAAUAAAUAUUAUAUUUAAAUUAAUAAUAUUAAACAUUAAUUUUAAUAAAUAUUAAUUAUUUAUUUAAUUAAUAAUAAUAAAUAUUUUAUUCUAAAAAAAUAUUAAUUUUGUACUAUAUUAUCAAUAAUAAUAUUUCAUUUGUGUUGCUAUUAUUAAUAAUUUUUAUUCACAUAAUUUAAAUUUAAAUUAAUAAAAAAUUAUGAUUCACAUAAUUAAGAAUAUUAGUAAUUAUUAUUAAUUUAUAAAUAUAAUAAAAUUUUUAUUUUAUUUUCUAAAUAUAUUUUUUAUUAAUUUUUUAAUUACAAAUUAUGAUUCUGUACAUAAGGAUAAAAUUAUAAUUUAAAAUAAUUUACUCUCAAUCCAAGACAAAGUAAACAAUAAUUGGGAUUCUGAUUAACAAUCCAUACUUUCAUUUAGUCUAAGUAAACACCCUACUCCCACUCCCACUCCACACUCCUAAUCCAAGGAUUCCCACUCCUCAGGAUUCUCACUCCAAUCCAAAAAGUAAACGCAGCAUUAGUGUUACAUUAUAUGACUUUGUAGUUCGCUGAGUUCUUAUGUUUUCUGGGAUACUAGGACUUCAAAAAGCGCUGAAAACUUCAUAGAAUUUCAUACUGAUUUUCACUGUCAAUUUGGAGAAAAUGAUGGCUAGAUUAGAAGUAAGAUUAAGAGCAACUUGUAAAUUUAAUCAACUGGAAGACUGGUAUUGAAUGGCUAUUAGUUAGGUUAGAAUAAGAUGAGCCAGACUUUCAAGCUGUGUCAUGCAUUCAAGGGCCGUUGAGUAUUACGUAGGUUGUUAUGGAAGAGUUAAAAAAUAUCUAUAUAAAUUUAACAACCAGAUUAGGUUUCUAGAUCCAGAAGUCGAGGUUAUGUUUAUUUGCUUACUCUUUCGACUGUUGAUUGCCUAUGUCUUUUCCUGUUUACAUUUUGGCUUAGCUUUGUAAUAAUAGUUCCUUCAUGUAAUGAUAGGAAAAUGUGCAAACCGGUUGCUUGGUUCAUCUGGCUUACCUCAAAUAGCUAGACAAAUGAAGGUAUAUGCAUUGAAAUAUUCAGUUCUUUUAAUAUUAUCUAGCCUAUGUUUUAUUCAGUAUUGGCCAAUUCUAAUUAUUUUGAAGAGUCAUAAUGCAUUUGCCUGGUUUGUAGAGGCUGGAACUAAGUUCUAUAUGGCCCCUUCUUGCUGCAUUUGAGGACCCCCUCCCACUGGGCAGUGCAUCAACAUUUGAAGGCGCCUUUGUGAAAGGUGUUGAUUCUGUCUCGUGGAUGGCAAAUAGCUCAGCAAAACUUUUGAAUUCUCAGAGUGAUGCUCCUCACUGUUGGACCUUCUUCAGCACCGCAGCUUACGGAAAACGAAACAAGGUUCCACAGG